GAAAUAAAACAAAAAAUGUGUAAAUCACACAUAAAACUAGUAAAUUGAUGGAAAAAUGAGUAAAUUAAUGUUGGAGUUGUAAUUUGUACGAAAAACUUGUAAACAAAACAAAAACUUAGAAAAAUGACAUAGAACUAGUAAAUUCACAGUAAGUGUGAAAUAAAACAAAAAAUAUGUAAACCACACAUAAAACUAGUAAAUUAAUGAAAAAAAUGAUAAAUUAAUGUUCGAGUUGUAAAUUGUAAGAAGAACUUGUAAACAAGACAAAAACUUAGAAAAAUGACAUAAAACUAGUAAAUUGACAUUAAUUGUGAAAUAAAACAAAAAAUGUGUAAAUCACACAUAAAACUAGUAAAUUGAAGGAAAAAUGAGUAAAUUAAUGUUGGAGUUGUAAUUUGUACGAAAAACUUGUAAACAAAACAAAAACUUAGAAAAAUGACAUAGAACUAGUAAAUUCACAGUAAGUGUGAAAUAAAACAAAAAAUAUGUAAACCACACAUAAAACUAGUAAAUUAAUGAAAAAAAUGAUAAAUUAAUGUUCGAGUUGUAAAUUGUAAGAAGAACUUGUAAACAAGACAAAAACUUAGAAAAAUGACAUAGAACUUGUAAAUUCACAUUAAGUGUGAAAUAAAACAAAAAAUAUGUAAAUUACACAUAAAACUAGUAAAUUAAUGAAAAAAAUGGUAAAUUAAUGUUGGAAUUGUAAUUUGCACGAAACACUUGUAAACCAAACAAAAACUUAUAAAAAUGACAUAGAACUAGUAAAUUGACAUUAAUUGUGAAAUAAAACAAAAAAUGUGUAAAUCACACAUAAAACUAGUAAAUUGAUGGAAAAAUGAGUAAAUUAAUGUUGGAGUUGUAAUUUGUACGAAACACUUGUAAACAAAACAAAAACUUAGAAAAAUGAUAUAGAACUAGUAAAUUGACAUUAAUUGUGAAAUAAAACAAAAAAUGUGUAAAUCACACAUAAAACUAGUAAAUUGAUGGAAAAAUGAGUAAAUUAAUGUUGGAGUUGUAAUUUGUACGAAAAACUUGUAAACAAAACAAAAACUUAGAAAAAUGACAUAGAACUAGUAAAUUCACAGUAAGUGUGAAAUAAAACAAAAAAUAUGUAAACCACACAUAAAACUAGUAAAUUAAUGAAAAAAAUGAUAAAUUAAUGUUCGAGUUGUAAAUUGUAAGAAGAACUUGUAAACAAGACAAAAACUUAGAAAAAUGACAUAAAACUAGUAAAUUGACAUUAAUUGUGAAAUAAAACAAAAAAUGUGUAAAUCACACAUAAAACUAGUAAAUUGAAGGAAAAAUGAGUAAAUUAAUGUUGGAGUUGUAAUUUGUACGAAAAACUUGUAAACAAAACAAAAACUUAGAAAAAUGAUAUAGAACUAGUAAAUUCACAUUAAUUAUGAAAUAAAACAAAAAAUAUGUAAACCACACAUAAAACUAGUAAAUGUAUGGAAAAAAUGGUAAAUUAAUGUUCGAGUUGUAAAUUGUAAGAAGAACUUGUAAACAAGACAAAAACUUAGAAAAAUGACAUAGAACUUGUAAAUUCACAUUAAGUGUGAAAUAAAACAAAAAAUAUGUAAAUUACACAUAAAACUAGUAAAUUAAUGAAAAAAAUGGUAAAUUAAUGUUGGAGUUGUAAUUUGUACGAAAAACUUGUAAACAAAACAAAAACUUAGAAAAUUGACAUAGAACUAGUAAAUUCACAUUAAGUGUGAAAUAAAACAAAAAAUAUGUAAACCACACAUAAAACUAGUAAAUUAAUGAAAAAAAUGGUAAAUUAAUGUUCGAGUUGUAAAUUGUAAGAAGAACUUGUAAACAAGACAAAAACUUAGAAAAAUGACAUAAAACUAGUAAAUUGACAUUAAUUGUGAAAUAAAACAAAAAAUGUGUAAAUCACACAUAAAACUAGUAAAUUGAUGGAAAAAUGAGUAAAUUAAUGUUGGAGUUGUAAUUUGUACGAAAAACUUGUAAACAAAACAAAAACUUAGAAAAAUGAUAUAGAACUAGUAAAUUCACAUUAAUUGUGAAAUAAAACAAAAAAUAUGUAAACCACACAUAAAACUAGUAAAUGUAUGGAAAAAAAUGGUAAAUUAAUGUUCGAGUUGUAAAUUGUAAGAAGAACUUGUAAACAAGACAAAAACUUAGAAAAAUGACAUAGAACUUGUAAAUUCACAUUAAGUGUGAAAUAAAACAAAAAAUAUGUAAAUUACACAUAAAACUAGUAAAUUAAUGAAAAAAAUGGUAAAUUAAUGUUGGAAUUGUAAUUUGCACGAAGCACUUGUAAACCAAACAAAAACUUAUAAAAAUGACAUAGAACUAGUAAAUUGACAUUAAUUGUGAAAUAAAACAAAAAAUGUGUAAACCACACAUAAAACUAAUAAAUUAAUGGAAAAAUAGGUAAAUUAAUGUUACAGUUGUAAAUUGUAAGAAGAACUUAUAAAUAAAACAAAAACUUGUAAAUGUUGCAUAAAACUUGUAAAUCAACAUUAACUUGUAAAAGUUUCAUAAAACUUGUAAAUCACACGUAAAAUUGGUAAAUGUAACCUGGAACUUGAACAAAAAAGAGUAAUUACCUGCUACUUAGGUAACAGGUUACCUAUUUAUUUAGAAUUAAUGGUAGAGAUUUUUUAUUCAAAUCUAACGGUCCACGUCCAUUACGGCAUCAAUGCCGUAAAUUUAAUUACGGCAUUAUAGAAUGACCCUUCCAUAAUUAUAUCUUCAAAAAAAAUCUUUCAUUUUACUAUACUUUCAUUAAUUAUCCUUUAUUGUUUCUAGUUGUAGUACGGCAACUCUCGAAGCUAGUCUUAAUAGACAUCAGUUCAAUGUUAAUGUCGUAACUGACAUUAAAGCAGUGAAAAUGAGUUGCAUACAAAAACAAGAUAAAAUAUUAAGUGCUAGCCCCCUUCUUGUCUGUUAAAAUAUAGCAAAAACCCCUAAAUAUUUCAAAAUCUAGCAAAACCUCCUGUCUUCGGUAUUAUUAAAGUUUAAAAUUCGGAGUUAUCAUUUAAAUUGGGCCCACACAUGAUUAUUUUUAACCCCGUCAAUGUUGUCACGUGUACACCACCAAAUCGGGUGUCUAAAUUGGAUUAACCGUUUGAUUUAUUCAAUAAUUAACGGUAAAGUAGCCACUCCUCCCUUCUCGCUUCUAUGCUCCGUGGGUCCUUUGUAACCUAAUUCCCGUAAACAACGAAUUUGUUCUAAUCUUUACCCAAGGGAUGUGUAUGAGGUCCAUUAGAUCCACGUUUCUUUUGCAACAAAGCCGCUUACUACAUUGCCUUAGGCCCCUUAGCUAAUGGCUAUUUACUAUUUAGACCACUUGCUGGUGGUUAAAACUCUUCUUCCUUUAUAGAUAGAAUGAAUGACUUUGAAUUUUAUUAGAAACCUCAUUUUUUUUUUUUUGGUAAAUAUAUUUUUGUAAGGGUUAAGUAGCUCCGAUAAUGACUUAAUGUAAUGAGAGUAAACUGUAAUAUAAAAUUAAAAAAAAAGAAGGUUUAUAUUAUUUAAUUAUCAAAUGGCUAGGCUUUGGAGUUUUUUUUUGGGGGGGGGAGACAAAAAAAUUCUUAUUAAAUAGAACAAAAUUUAAAAAAUGACAAGCUAAGUGAUGCAAAAAAUCUUCCAUCAUUACAAAACAACUACGGGAACGAACUAUAAAGUUAGCUAAAGCAACUUCAUCACAAUUAGCUUAGGAGAAAUUUUGAUCUCUAGAGAGUAUAUUAAUUAUCAAACAAACAGAAACACCGUUAAAAAUAUAAAUAAAUAAAAUAAAGAUAAAAUCUCUAAAUAGGUUAUACUUUGUCAUAUGUAGAGCAGGAACCUUAUUAUGAAUCAUAAAUAAAAAUAUAUAUUAGUUAUAUUAUAAAUUUUAGGGAAAUUAUCAUUCGUAUAUCCUAUAUUUACUCUGUUAUAAAAAAUACUACAAUACUUUGAGGGUGUAUCAAUCGUCCACCCUUAAUUGACAAAAUGUAUCAGCCGACCACCAAACCAUUAGUUACCGUUUGAAAGUUAACGGAAUUACAGUGAAUUGACGAUUUUACCCUUGAAAAUUAUCACUUGUAUACCCUUAAAUUCUCUUUUUAUCACUUGUAUACCCUUAAAUUAUCACUUGUAUCAUAUGAAAAGACCAAAUUACCCUUCUGACGUCAUCAUACUUAAACGGCAACUAACGGUUUGGUGGUCAGCUAAUACAUUUUAUCAACUUAGGGUAGACGAUUGAUACACCCUCAAAGUGUUGUAGUAUUUUUUAUAAUGGAGUAAACUAAGGGUAUACAAAUGAUAAUUUCCCUAAAAUUUAUUUAUUUAAAAUCAAUUCUUACAACGUUCUAAAAUGUCAAAUUAUUAAAUAAAAUUCUAUUCUACUAUUGCUAAUCUAUGAAAUUUUAAUUCAAUUAUAUUAUUUUCGCUUAUUGCUUCUUUACUCAAAUUACAUCUUUUUUACCACUCUUUUUUUAGAUUAAACUAAUUUUCCUAUUUUCUAUUUUUUAAAGUUUUUCGACACAGUUUUAUUUCAAAAUGGAUAAAAUAAGCACACAAAUAAUAAUAAUAAUAAUAGUAGAUGAACAAAAGAAUAAAUUAAAAAGAAAUAAGAACAAUUAAAUAACACAACUAAUUAAGAGAAAAAUAAAAAGAUAAAAUCUGAAAUUUGUGAUGAAAUCAUAAACUAACUUUAUCUUUAAUUGUUUGAGAAUUUAAGCAAUGAGUAGUAUUAAGGGUGUUCAGAAUCCAAUCUGAUCCAUUAAAUCCAUAUGGUCCGCAGAAAUCCGAUCUCUGGAUUGGUGGAUUAGAUUAGAUUUGAAAAUUUGAAAAUCCACAGUCAUUAUAUUGGAUAUGGAUUUACUUCUGUGAAUUCGCAAAAAUCUACGAAUCCGCAAAAAAAUAAAAAAUAUUUAUUUAAUAAAAAAUUAAACUUUUAAAUAUGGAAUUAUACUUACUAAUAAAUAAAUAAGUUAAACUAUACAUUAACACCAUAUUAUGUCUUAUCCGAUAGUAAUAUAAAAUAAAAAUAAUUAAAUAAAAAAACAUAGUUUCCUAAGUAAUUAAUUUUCAUGUAUUGAUCUAAACAAAUGAGAUUUUUUUUUCUUUUUGGUGUGUUAUAUUUUGAAACUUUGAAUGUAUUUUCUAACUUUAUUUAAACAAUUAAUUAAUUUAAAUAUUAUUUAAUUUUAAAUUUAAUCGGUAUUAAAAUUAUUUUUAUAUUAAUUUUUUUACUUAAAGUUUGAAACAUUCAAUCAAAAUCUCUUUUCUCUCCCUUUUCUUUUUAGCGGGUUUAAAAAUCAGUAUUAUCGCAAUGUGGGCACAUUCAGUUAUUGGAUCAACUGAUGAGAUACAACCUAAAUAGAAAAUAUGCAACGCUCUUAGUUAUUACGUACAGAAGGUAACAAAAUUCUCCUCUGCCACUUCCUCCUGCCUUCGACAGUGGCUUCUCAACGAUCUUUUGUUAUAGGCGUUGGCACAAAUAAAGGACGUUGAUAAUUGAGGGAAAAAAUUAAAUAAAUAAAUAAAAAAGGACGGUUGAUUAAUGCUGUCGGUAAUAAAAUAGUGUUGGAUGGGUAGACUUGCGCCUUGACGCAAAAUACGGGAAAGAACAAGCGAACCUGUAAUUCUUGAUAUCUAUGAUGGAGGUGCUGUGAUUUUUCUGGUACCGUGGCUGCUGUAAAAGAAAAAUAUAAUUAUAAAAUAAAAAUUAAUAACAUAUAAUAAAUAUAAUUUUUAAAUAAUAAUUUUAAUAAAAUUAAAAAUAUAAAAUAAAUUUUAUUAUAUAAAUAUAAAUAUAAAAUUAAUUUAAUUUAAUUUUUAAAUUAUAAUAAUUAAUAUUUAUUAAAUAUUUUAAUAUUAUAAUUUUUAUGUUACAAUUAUUCGAUCUCAAUUUCAAACAGUACCUUAAUCGAAUUAGUUGGCAUCGAGAUUCUUCUCCAACUAGAGAGGAACGUCAUAAAAAAUAAUUGUGAGAAUAUCAAUGGGGUUCAAUUGUUCAAACAAGUCCACGCACUUUUUCUCAUUUGUUUCUCUUUUUUAUACAUGACAAUUUCGUAUUUAGUUUAUCAACAUAUAUAUACACUUAUCAUAGAGUUUAUAUUUAUAUUAAUGCACGUGUUACUAUUCAUUAAUUAAAAUAUGCUUUAAAAAAUAAUAAACACCAAGGUUAUUAUCUUUGAUGAAUUCAUAAAUUAUUUAAUAAGUACCAUAAUUUAUUAUUAUAUUUUUAUAAAAAGUUCCAUUUUACUACAUUUUCACUUAAUAUUGUUGGUCCUUUACUGUUACUAAUUGUAAGGUGACGGCUAAUGAAGCCAAUCCUAACAGAAAGUCGUUCAACGUCGAUGCCAUACCAACAUUGAAGGGGUAAAAAUGAGUUCACAUAUAAAACCAAGAUCAAAUCCUGUAAGCUAUUAUCGUUAAUUAUUGAAUAAAUCAAACAUGUUAAUCCAAUUUGGUGGUGUACACGUGCGAACAUAGAGAAGGUUGAAAAUUUAAGAUGUGGGCUAAUUUUAAAUUAUAACUCCGAAUUUCAAACAUUGAUAAUAUUCACAACAAGGAAACAUUUUAAAAUAUAUUGGAGCUAAUACAAUCAACUAAUAUAUAUAUAUAUAUAUAUAUAUAUAUAUAUAUAUAUGGCAUGUGUAUUUGAAUUUAAUAUAAUCUCACUUGAAUGAUGAUAGUUCGAAAUAAAUGCAUAAAUGUCAUAAUAUGAUUUACUUAUUGUAUGAUUGAUAUGGUAUCUUCAAUGUAUUUUAAAAGUUCUCGACAACAGAAGGUUUUGUUGAAUUUUAAAAUAUUAAGAGGUUUUCGCUAUAUUUUAAUAAAUAAGAAGGAGGUUUUACUCAUUUCCCUUAAAUUAAUUUUGUAAACUAAGGUUCUUAGAUCCAUAUUACUUUGGCAACAAACCCGCUUACCACAUUGCCCUUAGCUAAUAGCUAUUUAUUAUUUAGAGCAUUUGUCUGAUGGUUAAUAAUCUUCUUUCUUGGUAAAUAGAAUGACUUUGAAUUUUAUUAGAAACCUCAUAUAUUUUCUUAAUAUAUUUAUGUAAGUGUGAAGUGCACCUGUAUCCGGUGCUCCGAUAGGAAUGUAAAUGAGAGUAAAUUGUAAUUUAAAUUAUGGAAAAAAUAUUUGUAUUAUUUAAUUAUCAAAUGUUUAGGCUUAGGAGAAGGUGUUCUUUUUUCUUUUUAAAUACAAGAAUUAUCAAUAAAUAAGUAAAUAAUAUCUAAAAAAAACAAGUUAAGUUUCGUGAAAAAUCUUCCAUCCUUAAAAAAAAAAAGGAGAAUGAAUUGGAAAUUUAGCUAAAACAUAUACAGAUUUAUUAUAAUUGGUUUUGGAAAAAAUCUUACAAGUAGAUCCUACUUUAGAAUUCAUAAAUUCUAAUAUUUAAAAAAUAAAUGCUAUGCUAAACGACAUCAUAAUUUAAGUAGUUGGUCCUACCUUCAGCUGAGGUGAUAGGGCGGCCGAUAGAAUUUUCUCCCAUAAGUAACGACAUAAUAUCUUAGAUUCGAAAUCUUUAAAGACAAAAUUAGAAAGUGGUGUAAUUGUAAUGUUUGGUACAAAUGUGGCAAAGUAUAAUGGGAUAAGUCCAUUGAAGCCAGGUGAUCUCGUGAACAACGUGUGAUCUAUUAUUAUGUAUUGUCGUGGAAAUGAGAAGUGUCUAGUUGUAAAGCGAAGUCUCCGCUAGAGAAAGUCAGAAGAAAAGGACCAUUGUUGAUUGACGAUAUCAGUAAUAAAAUAAUCCUGGAUGGCUAGACUUGGGCGUUGACGCCGAUUCAACGAAAAGAGAGAAAAGAUUGAAAACGAAGGUAAAAUAUCUUUAAAUAAGUUUAAUCUCCAUCUCAAUGAUAACAAGUUUAAGUGAUGUUAAAAAUCUCCCUUUAUUACAAAACAAUUACGAAGAUGAAGUACAAACUUAGAUAAAUAAAUUAUCUAUAAUAUUAUUAUAAAUGGCUUAAGAGAAGAUCUUAUACCUUAAAGAACAUUAUAAUUAUUAAAUAAAACAAAUAAACAACCCAAUAAAAUAAAAAAUAAAAAAUAAAAUAGAGACGGAGAAUCUUUGAAUAUUUAUAUAUUUAAUAAAAUUUAUAUUAAAUAUUUGCUUUCAUAUAUAUAUAGACACACACACACCAAAAAUAUUACACAUUUUCAAUAUUGAAGUUUUAAUUAUAUAUAUGUAAAUAAUAUUAUAUAUCAAUAUAAUAAAAUAUGCAAAUCUACCGAUAUUUUUCACAUUUACACUAUUAAAAUUUUAAAUCAAUAUAAAAUUUUAAAUGAAAUAUUGUGUAUAUAUCUAUCCUUUCAAAAAAAGAAUAAAAAAAAGAGAAUUAUGUUCAAUAUUUUAGUUUUAAUGGAAAAAACUUAGAAAUCAAUUUAAAAUUAAAAAAAAUAUAAUUGUAUUAUUAGUUGAAUAAAUACGUUAAGAACUUUAAUCUUAAUCUGACAAAGAAAAAAACAUGUUGACUUUGACCUAAUUCAUUUAAUAAUUGUGUCAAAUUUAAUAAUUUAUAUAUAUUUAUUCAUACCAUGUUCAUGUCGAAUAAUCGAGUAUCGCAUCAAAUUUUGACAGCCUUACUUUAAUAUAAUUGUAAAAAUACUCUAGGUCAAACUUAUCAGCUAGCUAGCUGAGUAAUACACCGUACAAUAAUGAACUGACAAAUAAAAUUCUUUAAGGAUAGACUCAAAAGAGAGAGUUAUAGGGGGAUCGGACAUCAAAACAAAUUUGUUAACCUAUUGUGCCAGUUUGGAUCUUUUUAUUUAGCUGGAAAAGAAAAAGGAAAAUAAUAAUGGAACAAAAGUAUGAUAAAAUCAUGACAAAAUUUUUUUUUUUAUGAAUUUUUAAAUUUUCUUUCGUAAUUUAACAUUUUUCUUUUUAAAAAAUUCUCUAAAUUAAUUAAAUUAUAAAAGUUUUUAUCAUUAUGUCGUCAUACUUUUAUUCAUCUAGAAUUGGUGAAGGUAAAAAAUGAUUGACGCUAUCGAUAAUAAUAUAAAAUAAUAUUGAAUGCCUAGACUUGGCCGUUGACGUCUUGGCGCCGAAAAGGAAAAAGAAGAAAAUAAUUGGUAAGGAUCGAACAAGCGAAAAGUCACAGAAAAAUAAUAAUUACAGUUUUAUACGAGACAUUAUUGACUAGCGGGGUUCAAAUAAACCUUUCCCCACCCAUUUUUUAAAUAAAAAUUAAUAAUAUGUAAUAAGUAAAAUUUUUAAAUAAUAAUUUUUAAAAAAUAUUAUUAAUUUUUAAUAAUUAAUUUAACUUUAUACUACAACAAUUAAUUUUUAUUAAUUAUUUUAAUGUUAUAAUUUUUAAUUUACAACUUACAACUGUUGGACCUUAAUUCUAAAUAUAGUUGUACUCGAAUUAGUUGGCAUCCAUACUCUUCACCAACCAUAGAGAAAGUUAAAAAAAAUAAUUGCGAGAACAUCAUGGGAUACAAACAAUACUACUAGUCCACGCACUUUUUCUUGCUUUCAUAUUUGCUUGUCUUUAUGGACGUGACCAUUUCGUAUUUUCGGGUUUAGUUUGUCAUCAUUUUUUUUAUAUGUAUACUUAUCAUACAGUUUAUAUCCAUAUUAAUACGCGUGUCACUAUACAUUAAUUAAAAUAUGCUUUAAAAAAUAAUAAACAAUAAGGUUAUUGUCGUUUGACUAAUUCAUAAAUUAUUUAAGAAGUAUGUUAAUUUAUUAUUUUAUUACUAUAUUAAAAGAAAUUUUCCAUUUUACUACAUUUCAUUUACUGUUGGUCCUUUAUUGUUACUAAUUGAAGGGGUAAAAAUGAGAUCACAUAUAAGACCAAUACCAAAUCCUCUAAGCUACUCUAUCGUUAAUUAUUGAAUAAAUCAAACGUGUUAAUCUAAUUUAGAGGUGUAUACGUGACAGCAUAGUGGAGGUUGAAAAUAUUGAGAUGUGGGCCCAUUUUAAAAUAUAACUCUGAAUUCCAAACGUUAAUAAUAUUCACGAGGGAGAACAGCUAACCAAACAAGCCCACUAGCUUCUUCCCCACCACUUGUACUCAAAAACUCAAAUAUCAUGAACUCUGAUCUGUACGAGGCUGCUGCAAAGGGGAAAUUGAACCCUUCAACCAAUUGGCGAUAGAUCGUCAACUUGGAAGCCUAGUGACUCACAAAAAGAAUACCGUCCUGCACGUCAGCAUAAUUGCAUCCUACACCCAGAAUAAAGAAGGAAAAAGUGUCUCAACCAAGUUUGUGGAACGGAUACUUGAAAUGUGUCCAUCAUUGCUACUACAAGUUAAUGCCAAAGGUGAUGCCCCACUCCAUGCUGCGGCCAGAUGCGGGCAUGCUGCUGUUGUGGAAGCUCUGAUUGAAUUUGCGAAAAAACAGCCCGGUCAAGAGCUAGAAAGUGGCGUGGAAAGUACAGCAAAGCAUAUGCUAGGGAUGAAAAAUGAGGAAGAAGACACAGCGUUGCACGAGGCAGUGCAAAGUGGUAGCCUUGAUGUCGUGGAAAUUUUAUUGGGAGCAGACCCUGCUUUUACGUAUUCUGCUAACGGUAGCGGUGAAACUCCACUUUACUUGGCAGCCGCGAGGGGACAUAAGAAGAUAUCAGCUGAAAUAUUAGAAAAAUGUCCGUUGGCGGCCCAUGAAGGCCCCAAUGGAAAGACUGCCCUUCAUGCAGCAGUCUGCAGUGGCUCUCGCGGUAUGGAUGCGCAUGGUUUCGUACAAAAUUUAAUACCAUAAUUGUUUUUUAAAUUGUUCGGUUUUUUAAUAAAAUUUUUAAAGAUUAAAUAAUUUAUUCUAAUAAAAAUAUAAAUUUUAACCUUUUAAUAACAGAGUUUGAAAACUUUUUAAAAUAUUUAAAUAUCUAAAAUAUUUUUUAUUUGUUUGACAAUUUAUUUUAUAACAUAAUUUAAAAAAAAUUAUUCAUUAAAAUAAUUUUAUAAUUUUAAUCAAAUUUUUAUUGGCAAUCAAAAAAUUAAAUUUUUUUUGAUAAAAAUUUUACUAACAGGAACUAUUCUUAAAUGGAUUUUAUUUUAAAAAUAAUAUCAAACAUAAGCUUAGUUGUUUAAUUUUCUUUUCUUUUUAGGUGUGAUACAACUAUUACUUGACAGAAAGAAAAGUUUGACCAGAGAAAGAGACCAACACGGUUGGACUCCACUCCAUUACGCUGCGUAUAUUGGUCGCUUCGGCUUCUUAAUAUUAGAAGCUUAUAAAUCUGUUGCGUUGAUUCCUGACGAAGAUCGGAAGAUGACAGCUCUUCAUUUAGCAGCCGGCCAAGGGAAUGUUUGGAUGGUACAAGAAAUUAUUGAGUGUUGUCCGGAAUGUUGUGAAUUGGUUGAUGACAGAGGAUGGAAUGUUCUUCACUUUGCUAUGGUUAGUUUUUAUAAAAGUGAAUUGAAACGUCUGCUGAACGAAUAUCCGAUCGUCAGAAAUCUAAUUUUUGAGAAGGAUGCGAAGGGGAACACUCCCUUCCAUGUGCUUGCUGCUGUCUGUCCGCAUCCAGGCAAAGCCGGCUAUGACAUCAUCCCUUACAAAAUUGCUAAAGGUUAUUAUCAAGCUGUCAACAAUCAAAAUAUUAGUGUUGAACACAUAAAUCGUUAUGGAUUUCCUGAACUCGAGGUACUUAAUUCCUUUUUUUUAACUCAUCAAUGUUAUAGUUUUUAUAUGGAUAUCAGCAAUGAAAUUAGAUUUUGAUUUAUGCUAAUUUUUUCUAGAUCUUUUGUCAAGGGUGUUUUUAUAACAAUUAUUUAUUUAGGAUUCAAUUAUAUGCAUUUGUUAUAUGAUACGUAAACAAAACAUUAUUGAUUCUGAUAUCAUAUAUGAAAUUAAUUUUCAGCAUAUUAAUUAAUAAAAUGUAUAGUCCAGCGCGUUAAUGUUGUUGCCACGUCAAUUUUUCCUCCCUCUUCCCCCACGUUUUUUUUUUUUUUUUAAAUUACUUUCUUCUUGUUACAUUUAUAAUUUAGCAAAUAUGAUUGCAGAAAGAAAUCAAAGAAUUGGCCAAAGCUGAUGGCAAUGGACAAUAUCCAGCCGGUGUCAUCAAAAUGAACAAAGAAAAAGAAGAAAAGACUGUGAUUUAUUCGUAUUGGAAAGAUUUAGAUGAAGAUGUCAUUGGAAUGGAAAAAGCAUCAGAAUAUCAUUUGGUAGUGGCAGCACUCAUAGCAACAGUAACCUUUGCUGCGGCAUUCACCUUACCCGGUGGUUACAAGAGUGACACUGAAGACGGCCCAAAUAGGGGCACUGCAAUUCUCAGUAAAAACGCAGCUUUCCAAGCAUUUGUUAUAUCAGACGCCAUAGCCAUGGUCCUCUCACUUUCUGCUGUUUUUGUCCAUUUCAUUCUGUCACUUAAGUUUUUUAAAAAAUUCAUCUUUUUAUUCGUUUUUGCUCUUUCCUUCACCUUAGUUGCCAUGGCGGCAAUGAUAGUAGCAUUUGUUACGGGCACAUAUGCAAUGCUGGCAACACCUUCUUUGUGGCUUGCCAUUGUUACUUGUAUCAUUGGCUUGACCUUCUUCCUCUUGGUGAUUUUCAUGUUUUACAUGGUUUUUUCAAGAGCAGAGGAAAAGGAAUUCGAAGAUUAGCUUAUGGUUGCAGCAGAAGUAUUAUUGUAUACCUCUUUCUAAUCUAUGAUUGUGUUACCAUCAUCCUACUAUUAUGAUCUGGAGUUAUAAGUUGUGAUUGAAAUUUAUUACAUUAUCUUAUUUGGUUUAUUGUUUCAAGGUUGUAUCAAAUACUGAGAGCUUGAAAGAAAUGAUCUCAUCUAUUUAUGAUGUAGAAUUAUUUGUUGCAUAAGCAUUCCAAAUUAAUUUUAAUCAGGAAUCUUCUCUACUCAUUUCAAGACUGGCAGAACGAGUACUAGUUGUUUCGAUGCGUAAAGUUUCUUUUUAACCUAAUUAAGUAGAGAAACAAAUUUGAUAUUUCACAUUGCUAAGAGCAUACUCUUUCAUCAAAAUCAAUUAUAGAACGAUAAAACAAAUUCUAGUUUUGCAAUUUCUACGGUCGAAGUUGAUACAGUUAUUUUGUACAACCAAAUUCCAACUCCUAACACUUGCUAAAUUUAAAAAUCAACUAAAGUAGAACAACAAAAUAAUUACAAGCCGGAUAAGCUGAUGCUAACAGUUUCUACUUUCAAGAGGUUAACAAGACCAACGGGAAAUUGAAAGUAGCAGUCCAGCAUUUCUAAUUAGCAUUUUAAAAUUUUCCAUCUAGACAUGCUUUUCCAGAACUGAACAAACAUAAGGUUAAAGGUUACUGCGCAAAAGCUUCAUAAACAAACUGGUCCUAGAAAAUCACCUUCUAAAUGAUUACUCACAUUAUCAUCUUAAUUAUUAUAUUGUGAAUUGUAUAAGAUAUUCAUGUGUAUGCGUAUGGUAUGCUACGUUAUUUGUAUCAAAUUUUAGUAGAGCACGACACACUCCUUCUCCCUUUCUCUCUCUCUCUCUCUCUCUCUCUCUCUCUCUCUCUCUCUAUACAUACAUACAUACAUACAUACAUACAUAUACAUAUACAUAUACAUACACAUACACACACACAUACAUACAUAAAUUAAAUAAAUUUUGUUCGGUUCUUUUAAUAAGAUUUUUAAAGAUUAAACAAAUUAUUUUAUUUUUACUAAUAAAAAUUUUAAAUUUUAAUAUUUUAAGAAUAGAAGUUGAAUUUUUAAAAAAAUAUUAAAUAUCUAAAAUCUUUUUUAUUUGUUUGACAAUUUAUUUCAUAACAUAAUUUUAAAAAAAAAACUACUUAUUAAAUAAUUUUUUAAUUUUUAAUAAAAUUUUCAUUGGUAAUCAAAGAACUAAAAUUUUUUGAUAAAAAUUCUACUAACAAAAACUGUUCUUAAAGAAAUUUUGUUUGAAAAAUUAAACGAGCUAUUUAAUUAUUAUUUUCUUUUCAGAUGUGCCGAAACUAUUACUUGACGUUGACGAAAAGAAAAGUUUGAGCAGAGAAAUAGACCGACACGGUUGGACUCCACUCCAUUACGCUGCGUAUUUUGAUUGUUGUUUCACCUCAGGGGAUUUAUUCUGCUGUGUUGAUUCCUCACAAAGAUCGGAAGAUGACAGCUCUUCAUUUAGCAGCCGGCCAUGGGAAUGUUUGGGCGGUACAUGAAAUUAUUGACCUUUGUCCAGAAUGUUGUGAAUUGGUUGAUGACAGAGGAUGGAAUGUUCUUCACUUUGCUAUGGUUAGUUUUAGUAUUAGACAACUGAAAUACCUGCUGAACAAAUAUCCGGUAUUCAGAAAUCUAAUUUUUGAGAAGGAUGAGAAGGGGAACACUCCCUUCCAUGUGCUUGCUGCUGUCUGUCCACAUCCAGGCAAUGUCGGCUAUGACAUCGUCCCUUGGAAAAUUGCUAAAGGUUAUUAUCAAGCUGUCAACAAGAAAAAUAUUAGUGUUGAACACAUAAAUCGUUAUGGAUUUCCUGAACUCGGGGUACUUAGUGCCUUUUUUAACUCAUCAAUGUUAUAGUUUAUAUAUGGAUACUGAUAAAUUUCAAGAGUAUUGAAAAGGAUUAAAAGUUUUUAUUGACUUUUCUUCUUAAGGAACAAGAUCGGGUAUUUAUACACAAGUAGAGGAACUAUAUAUGGAAGAAACAUUUUACAGAAAUUAUGGGAUUAAUACUAAACUUAGUCGUUGACUAGCCGUUGGCUAAGAUAUGAAGAGAAUAUGGACUUGAAUAAUGGCUGGCCAUCUUUCUUUGGUGAGUUUGCAUGUCACGGGAUUGUGUGAGAUGAUUGUUGCAAGCCUUUGGCAAGAGCAAUACAGAUUGCCAUAUUUGUUUCCAACGGUUUGCAACUUGCCUUGUUAAUGUGGGAUUGAGUUGGUGUGCUGAUUUUUUCCAUGUUGGUGCGUGACUCAUGUGGCUGCAUGUGGUUCAUGUGUUGUGACUGUUCGAAUUCCACAUUUGGUGGGCAAUGUAUCUUAACAGAUACGACUAAUGAAAUUAUUGAUCUUUUUUCACCCGUGUAUUUAUAGUAAUUAUUUAUUUAGGAUUUAAUUAUACACAUAUCUCAUAUGAUGUGAAAAUAAAACAUUAUUUAUUCUGAUAACAUAUAAGAAAUUAAUUUUAGUAUGCGAAUUAAUAAAAUAUAUAGUCCAGUGCGUAGAUGUUGAUGCCAAGUCAAUUUUUCCUUCCCUUUCAUUAAACUCAUUUUCUUCUAGUUACAUUUAUAAUUUAGCAAAUAUGAUUGCAGAAAGAAAUUGAAGAAUUGUCCAAAGCUGAUGGCAGUGGACAAUAUCCAGACGGUGUCGUCCAGAUGAACAAAAAAAAAGUUCAUCCGUUUUGGAAAUAUUUAGAUGAAAAUGUCUUUGGAGUGGAAAAAGCAUCAGAAUAUCAUUUGGUAGUGGCAGCACUCAUAGCAACAGUAACCUUUGCUGCGGCAUUCACCUUACCCGGUGGUUACAAGAGUGAUACUGAAGAUGACCCAAACAGGGGCACUGCAAUUCUCAAUAAAAACGUAGGUUUCCAAGCAUUUGUUAUAUCAGACGCCAUAGCCAUGGUCCUCUCACUUUCUGCUGUCCUUUUCCAUUUCAUUCUGUCACUUAAGCUUUUUGAAAAAUCCACCUUUUUAUUCAGUUUUGCCCUUUGGUUGACGUUGGUUGCCAUGGCAGCAAUGAUAAUAGCAUUUGUUACAGGCACAUACGCAGUGUUGGCACCUUCUUUAGGGCUUGCCAUUGUCACAUGUAUCAUUGGCUUGACCUUCUUCUUCUUGGUGAUUUUCAUGUUUUACAAGGUUAGAUCAAAAGCAGAGGAAAAGUUAUUGUAUACCACUCUCUAGUACUAUAAUUAUGUUAGCAUCAUCCCACUGUUAUGAUCUGGAGUUAUAAGUUGUGAUUGAAAUUUGUUACACUAUCUUAUUUGGUGUAUUGCUUCAAGGUUGUAAAACGUUACUGAGAGCUUGAAAGAAAUGAUAUCAUCAAUUUAUGAUGCAGAAUUAGUUGUUGCAUAAGCAUUCCAAAUUAAUUUUAAUCAGGAAUCUUCACCGGCGGAAUGAGUAUUAGUCAUUCGAAUGGGUAAAGUUUCUUCUUAACCUAAUUAAGAGGAGAAACAAAUUUGAUAUUUCAAAUUGUGAAGAGAUUUUUUCUUUCGAUAUUCUACCAUCAAAAUCAAUUAUAGAAUUCGAAACAAAUUAUAGUUUUGCAAUGUCUACAGUCUACUUAUGAAUUGCAUAAAGGAUAGAGCUGCAGACCUGCAGUUAGACAUAAGUUGACAAAGUUCGUACGAACGUACAGCCAGAUUCCAACUGCUAAUUUACACUUGCAUCUAAAUUUAAAAAUCAGCUAAUUACAAACCCGGAUAACCAGCUGCUAACAGUUUCCACUUUCAAGAGCUUGAGAAGGUCAACUGGAAAUUGCAACUAUUCAAAUGGUGAUAAAAAAGAGAUUCUUUUGAUAUGUUAUCCAGGUGCAAAAAUAAAAAAUGUCGCUCGAUGAUGAAGUGAAAGAACUAAAACCGCCGCAACAAACUGUGGCGGCCACACUCGUAGCAACAGUUGCCUUCGCUGCGGGGUUCAUAUUACCCGGUGGUUACUGGGCUCAAGAAGGCCCAAUUCCCAGCACUCCAAUUCUCAGAAAAAAUGCAGCUUUUCAAGCAUUUGUUAUAGCUAAUGCCAUGGCCAUGGUCCUCUCCCUUUCAGUUGUCUUUUAUCCAUUUCCUUACUUCAACUAAGACCCUUCGGCAAAUGACGUUUCUUGUCAAUGUGGCUCAUUGUUUCAUCCCGGCUUCCAUGUUAGCAAUGACGGUUGCAUUUGUUACAGGAACAUCCCCAGUGUUGGCACCUUCUGUUGGGCUUUCCGUUGCUACUUGUGUCCUAGGCUUGAGCUUCUUCCUCUUUGUGCUUUUCGCCAUGUUCAAGUUUGCUUAUGGAUUGGCGCAAAGGUUGCUGGGCUUCAUGAUAUAAUUAGAAAAAAACAAAUCUCCAUGUUGGAGAAAUUAGCAUGUUUCUGUCUCUGUUUCUAGUAGUUAAUAUGUAAUUUCCAUCUCUUCAAUCUUUAUUCUCAGUGUUAUAUUAUAUGUGUAUACACUACUACAACUGAGAUUGUAUCUAAUCCUCUUUUGUGUUGAGCUAUUAUCAUCAAAAGAGGAUUAAGUACAAAUACAAGGUCAACAUGAAAUUGCAAGUAGCAUAUUAACAUUCCAACAUUAGUAAUUAACUAAAAUACUCUUUAUAUUGUAUUGGUGAAAACUCUGUAAUAUAAGGUUAAUAUAAUCAAUUUUAUCAGGUGUUAAUGUGUUAGGAGCUUAUUUACAAAUAGAUAAAUAAUAUCUAAAAGAUAUGCAGUGAGUCUAGUUUUAGUACUAUGUUCUCAUAAACUUUUCCUCCUCUGAUUCCACCAUUUUGGAUUCUUGAACCUGGGCUGGCUUAUGCUAUCGAAACUGAAUAAACUUACUAAUAUAGACUCAAUUGCAAGUCUCAAAUCUUUUCUUUUUCUAAUUUGUAUAACCAAAAUUUUGUAAAAAAAAUAAAGCUUAUAUAAAAUUAUCAUACGUUUUCAUUGCAUCUUGAUACAAAUUGUUUCUUAACAAAAUGAUUGAGAAAAAAAUAUAAGAGACAACAAUGAAAUUUACAAUUUUCAGAUUAGGGAAUUGCAAAAUGCAAUGCUGAGACAACAAAAUAGCUUAGGUAAAUUAAUAUGCAACAAAAUAGAAGAUAGUAUCCAUCAUUUCUGUUUCUAAUAUGCUGAGAAACUAGCCCUCUAGGCUUAUAUAAAAGUCGCAACUACAUAUUCACAAGAUUUUUUUUUUUUUUUAAAGUAAUUUAUAUAAACCUCCUCUUGCUUAUACUGCAAGCAAAUGCAAGUCCAUUCACUAUACCUGCAUAAUAUGUACAAGCAUUUACAAGUUAAUAUCAUCAGUUCCAGCCCGACCAGAUAAUGAAACUGGUCCAAGUGAUUCACCUUCUACUCUACCAAAUACCAAAUACUUCUUUUUUAGAUUUCUCCCUUCGUCAAUCCAUUGCACUGCAGUCACCAAGAACUGGACCACUAAGCCAUUCCCUAUCUUUGCUUCUUGUUCAUUUGAGAAGAAUGGUUGUUCCCUAGGUUAACAUAGCAUACUUCACAGGACCACACCGCAAUAUGAAUAACUCCAUGCAAGAUUUCUCCCUUGACAGGCAAGAAAGUGCGACACAGAAAUGUUAAAGGGAAGAACACAACCCCUGACUCAUUCACAGUUCCUCGCUCUCUGCCGAUGCUCUUCAAGUUAGUUACUGAAAGAAAGUAACAGUGAUCCUUGCAAGCCUUCUCAUUUAUCAAGCCCUUCAACAGGCAUGUUACAAAUAUCGCUGAGGAACCUGCAACGCGUUUCUGUCCAAACUUUUAGCAGGCACUGAUACAUCCUGAGCAAUUCCACUUCGAAAGACAUUUCUCCUCUACAUCAAAACAACUAAAAUAAGUAGGACUAUUACAAAUUAACCAACCAGAAUUCUUCCAGAUUCUAUGCAUAUCAAUGCUGUUAAGAAAUCUAAUAGAAAAGAUGAAUAAGAAUACAAUGAUGCUGAUACCACUGUAUGCAUCCCCAACUGCGCCAUGACCUGGAGGUUAAUUUUAAAGCUAAUCAAGAUUUUAAACUUAGUAUUGUAUCCAUAAUACAAUCCACAAAAAUCGAAGAACGAACCAAUAAAAAGGUUGUACCAAAAAGAGAUAAAUCACUAAAGGAUCAUUUUCAGUUACAUUACGAAUGCUAUACAUUUUGAACAGAAUAAUUUAUUCCUAUCAACACAUCAGUGUUUCUUAUCAUUACACACAUCAGUAAUCUAUUUGGUUGUAUACAUACCUUCUCUUGCGUAUUGACUCAUGUUAGAUAUCUGAAGUAAUUUAUGCUAGCUAGCUCUUCAGUAACACAAAAAACAGCCAAAAGUACCAGCACUCUCUGCAGCUAACAUGAAAAAGAACUCAACAUUACCAACAAAAAAUUUCAAGUAUCAUAACCAUUUCUAAAGAUCCCAUUUCACAACAUUCACUAUAAAGGCCUUCACAAUAUAGCAAGUGACUAGGAAUAAAUAAGAAUAUAGAACUCUCUCUCUAAUUCUCAAUCUAGCUUUUAAUUGUCACUCAAAACCCCGAAUUUAUCCUUAAAAGUGUAAGCAAAUCAGAGAUGACAGCGUCUGGUUGUCAUACGCGCCUUUUAGUUUCCCGAUGACAUGGCGUACACUUCUUCUGUAAACCCAACACGACAUGUCGUACUCUUUGUUUUGAGAUCAUAUUUCAAACUCUUCAUGUUAUGAAUGAAACAUAAACUACAAUCAUCAAAACAUUUAGUGUUUAUUUGGUAAUGUAACGUCACGAUUGUUGUGAAUUGAAAUUAUUUCUGUAAAAUAAAAGGAUUUGGGUCAUUGUUUGUUAUUUUCUAGUAAUAUUUAUUAUAUAUUAAAAAAUAAAUUUAUAUUUAUUAAGUAUAAAAAAUAAAUAAACAAAUAGAAAUAGAAGGAAAAGUUUAUACAUUUCGUAAAAUAAUAAGAACAAUAUCAAUAUUUCACACUCUAUAAUUGAGUGAUGUGUUGUCCAACUGCCAUACAUUGGUCCCAAACGGAGACUUAAAUAUCAAAGUCUACAGUUAUUGUGAUGAUGAUUUAUAAUUGUCGAACUUGACAUUAUAAGGUAAUCAUGCAUUAUAAGGUGCUGAUUUCUUCUGAUCGGAACCUUAUUUUUCAUUUACAAAUAAAUAAAUGAUGUGACUUUCACAGAAUAUUCAUGCAAAAAAACAAAAAACAAAAUAUCAUAACUGUAUUUCAAAUUGUCAAUGUUCUAUAACAUAAAACAAAAAAUUUGUUUUAAAAAAAAAAGAAAAAGAAAAAGAAAAGACCUCUGUUACAUGAAAAAGAAAUUUCCAUUCUAUAGAACGAAUAUUAUACUUUUAUAUUAGAAUAGAAGGACACUUUUCCUUGGUGCUACUCCAUGUAGUUCUUAAAAUUCGUACCUUAAUUAAUGUCAGUAAGUAAUAUAGGAUUUUUACAUGUAAUAGUUUUGUAAGUUUAGGAGUAAAACUUGGUCACAAUAGGACUGGACAAGUCUUGUGUUAAUAUUUUACUCUUUUUUAUUUUACUUUUAAAAGAUUUUCCAAUGCAUAUUAAUCUCUUCAAAAUAUUUUGAUUUCUAUUUUCUUUUCAGUUAAGAAGCUGAUAAUAUUUAUAUAUCUAAUUUCUCUGUUUUUAUAAUUUUAUUUUUUUAUUCAUUUUUUAUAAUCCAAAUACUAUUACCUUAGAUAUUUUUCCCCGCCACAGAUAACGUAGCCAUGCCAAAAUAGUCUUGAGAAAUAUGUCAGCGUCUAAUUGCUGCUGAGCUUCCGAAACCCAAAGCCUCAAAUUCGUAGCCUCAAAACAGUGGCAAUUCGAUGCCUGCUUUUUCACUAAAUUUAGUUUUUGCGCAGAAGAUCUUUAGCUAAUUAAUGAUAUGGCUCGAGUCCCUAGUCGCCAGUUCUGCCCAGCAACAGCCAUAUUCGAUUCGUUUCAAUCAUCCUUUUCAAAGUUCCACGGUACCCAUUUUCAUUUCUUCAGGUGCGGUUACACAAUUCCUCUUAAAAAUAAUUUCUUUUAUAAAAAUUCUUCUUCAAACUCUGCCCAUGAAAAAAACCCGCCAAGAAAAAUUUGUUCUUUAUCCAGGAAUAAAUUUUUUUUUUCUCAACAUGAUAAAGAUGAGAAUGCCAACUUAUGUUCUAGCAGCAGUUGGUUAGAUAAAUGGAACAAACCCAAUAAGUAUAACCACCUGAAACCUCCUCAGGCACGCGAGAAUCUUAGAAAAAAUAAUGGUAAUGGUGUUGGUGGUGUUGAUGAUGGUGGUAAUACCAUGGGGAAGAUUGUGGAGAAACUGAAGAAAUUUGGUUACGUUGGUGACGGUGAUGGUGAGGGCAAGGAAAGAGAGAGUGAUUGAAAAAGGGUCUAGAGAGGAUAUAUUUUGUUUGGAAGAAGGAUUGUUGCCGAAUGCAGGAGGGUGGUUUUCAAAAGUAUACCCGUUGGGGUUAGGAGAGGAGGUAGGGGGUGACGGAGAAGUGAAGUUUCCAUGGGAGAAGCGGGAGGGAAGAUUUAUGUUACAAAUUUUUUUAAAAUGUAUAUAUUGAUGCAUUCACUGCAUUUCUUUUUAACUUAAUUUCAAUUGAUCGUAUAUUACGUUGCAUUACGAUCCAAAUUGCUUCUUCAGAGAAUUAGUGAGAAAUUAUGAAAGAAAAAAUAAUUUAAUUUGCUUUCCAAUUCUAUUUUUUUUCCCCAAAAUCAAGGCAAAUUAUGCGAGGCCCAAAAUAUUAUUUGUUUUGCCGUGAAAUUUAGAAACAAAAAAAAAAUACCUGGACAGAUACCGAACACCCCACGCCUCAUUCACAGUGCGCAGGAAGAAGUUUGACUACUGGGAAUACGAGAGGUAUGGAAUUGACCCUUGGCCGAUGUCCUUCAAGUUGGUCACUGCAAAAACAGAAAAUUUUUAGAAGGGAGUGCUAAAAUCUGAUUAUGAAUUGUUUAUAUGUCAUUUUUACCCUCUUUGAUUUUUCCUAAUCCCAAAAUAACCUUCCGUCAAUAUUUAAAUUUAAUUACCUUAUUAACUAUGAAAUAUUUAUUUGAAUUUUAUUCAAUAUAAAAAAAAAAAAACUGAAAACCAGAGGCUACCGUCGCCGGCGGGGAGCGGCCAUUGUUGACAUUGGCAUUCAAGCUUGUGAAACAUUGUUAGCAUAAAAAAAAAAGAAAAAAUCGGAAUCCAACGAUCUAUGCAACGGAGUGAAUAUUUCCAUCCACAGCGGUGCGGUUUCACGGCGGAGAUGCUGCAACCUUCCUCAUGAUUUGCGCGUGUAGUAGGAUUGGCCAUUUUCUGACAAAAUCUUACCCUAUAUUUGAGCACAUCAUGAUCUUAGGGUUUGAUUGGUGUAAGUGGUAUUGAUAACGGACCAUUUCCGGCAGUAUCUGAAAUUUUGACCGCUGCAUGCGGUGAACUUGUUCACUAUUUUCCGACGGUCAUGAUAGUAAGGGUCUUAUCGGCGAACUAGGAUUUCAAUGAUGAUGGCGGUGCGUUCUGAGGGCGACAUCCUUCUUCAUCGCCAGUGAUUGGCCGAUGAGCUAUUUUCAAAAUUUCCGGUGAUCUAUUUUCAAUUUCUUAGUAAUUUUUUUUUAAAUUUAAAGUGAAUAUAAACACAAGUUAAUUAUUUUUUGAAAUAUGAACAGAAAGUUAACAAAAAAAAAAAAAAAAGAUCGUACUUAACGUAACGAUUUAAAGAAAAUUUAAAUUGAAAGUUGAAAAACAUAAAAAUAUUUCUUUAUUGAAUAAUUUGCUUCGAAAUAAAUUUUAAUUUUUUGAUUUAAAAUUUUAAUUGUUUGUAAUAUAACCAAAUAAUAUCAUUAGUUCACUUUCGUCAUUUCAAUUUACAUAUUUCUUUUUAUUAUUAAUUUACCAAACAUGCAUCUCAAAUUAUAUUAUAAAUUAUUAUGGUAUAAUUUGAAGAAACUUGUUUCUCAUUUCUUAAAAUAAAACAUUAUACAUUGAAUGUUAUUUAUAGAUGCAGAGACUAUAUUUUUUUCAAAGAUUACAUACGUGAUUACGGAAGGAAAUAUGUCAAUUUGUUCGGUGCAGAUUGUGUCUUUAACAAGUGCGGAUCAGGCUUUUGUCAAGUGCAGAUCAUACCUUUAAAAAAUUUCUUCAAUGUCGUUUUAUUUGACAUUCUCAAUAUAAUUUUAAUUUACAAACAUGCAUUAAGUUAUUAAUAAAACUGACUACUUCAAAAUCUAUCCUAAAAUAGAUUAUUUGAGAAGGUAAUGCAAUCCUAAACAUACCCAUAAUCAGUAACCCAAUAGCAAGAGCGUUACAUAAAAAAGAGGCAAAGAAUAAGGUACAUAAUAUAGCUUCGUCUACUCUCGAGUCAUUUUGGUUCUUUGCCCGCCUGACAAAAAGUGAAAGAAAAAUGUCAAUUGUCAAAUGUGAUGGGGCAAGCAAAGGAUAUCGAUCGAUCAGGCGGCAAGCUGCAGUAUUUAAAGAUAUCCAGGUCCAGGAUUAACUAGUAAGCGUCAAACAAUUACUUAAAUAAACCAUCACAUUCGCAAACAUAAAUCCUGAUUUGUACAGAGCUGCAGCUAAGGGUGAAAUUGAACCCUUCAUCGAAAUUGCAAAAGAUGAACUUGUAAGCAUGGUGACUCACGAUGAGAAUACGGUCCUUCAUGUCAACAUUGCAUCCCACCAAGAAGGAGCGAGGGUAUCCAACGGAGUUCGUGCAACGGAUACUUGAAAUUUGUCCAUCAUUGCUACUGCAAGUUAAUGACAAAGGUGAUUAAUAUUUUUUAAUAUUUAAUAACAAAAUAUUAAAUAAAUAUUAUAAUCUAUCGUUCCAUUAUUAUAUCUUCAAAAAAAAAAAUCUUUCAUUUUAGUAUACUUUCAUUAAUUAUCCUUUAUUGUUACUAGUUGUGGUACUGCAACUCGCAAAGCUAGUCUUAAUAGAGAUCAAUUCAAUGUUAAUAACUGACAUUAAAGCAGUGAAAAUGAGUGACAUACAAAAACAAGAUAAAAUAUUAAGUGCCAACCCCCUUCUUGUUUGUUAAAAUAUAGCGAAAACCUCAUGUCGUCAGUAUUAUAAAUGUUUCAAAAUUCGGAGUUAUCAUAUAAAUUGGGUGUUUAAAUUCGAUUAACAGAUUUGAUUUAUUCAAUAAUUAACGAUAGAGUAGCCACUCCUCCCUUCUCGCUUCUAUGCUUCGUGAGUCCUUUGUAACCUAAUUCUCAUUAACAACGGAUUUGCUCUAAUCUUUACCCAAGGGAUGUGUCUGAGGUCCAUUAGAUCCACAUUUCUUUUGCAACAAAGCCGCUUACUACAUUACCUUAGGCCCCUUAGCAAAUGGCUAUUUACUUAUUAGACCAUUUGCUAGUGGUUAAAACUCUUCUUCCUUUAUAGAUAGAAUGAAUGACUUUGAAUUUUAUUAGAAACCUCAUUUUUUUUUUUUUGGUAAAUAUAUUUUUGUAAGGGUUAAGUAGCUCCGAUAAUGACUUAAUGUAAUGAGAGUAAACUGUAAUAUAAAAUUAAAAAAAAAGGUUUAUAUUAUUUAAUUAUCAAAUGGCUAGGCUUUGGAGUUUUUUUUUUUUUUUUGGGAGGGGGGACAAAAAAAUUCUUAUUAGAUAGAACAAAAUUUAAAAAAUGACAAGUGUCGCAAAAAAUCUUCCAUCAUUACAAUACAACUACGGGAACGAACUAUAAAGUUAGCUAAAGCAACUUCAUCACAAUUAGCUUAGGAGAAAAUUUUGAUCUCUAGAGAGUAUAUUAAUUAUCAAAUAAACAGAAACACCGUUAAAAAUAUAAAUAAAUAAAAUAAAGAUAAAAUCUCUAAAUAGGUUAUACUUUGUCAUAUGUAGAGCAGGAACCUUAUUAUGAAUCAUAAAUAAAAAUAUAUAUUAGUUAUAUUAUAAAUUUCAUUUAUUUAAAAUCAAUUCUUACAACGUUCUAAAAUGUCAAAUUAUUAAAUAAAAUUCUACUAUUGCUAAUUUAUGAAAUUUUAAUUCAAUUAUAUCAUUUUCACUUAUUGUUUCUUUACUCAAAUUACAUCUUUUUUACCACUCUUUUUUUCGAUUAAACUAAUUUUCCUAUUUUCUAUUUUUUAAAGUUUUUCGACACAGUUUUAUUUCAAAAUGGAUAAAAUAAGCACACAAAUAAUAAUAAUAAUAAUAGCAGAUGAACAAAAUAAUAAAUUAAAAAGAAAUAAGAACAAUUAAAUAACAAAACUAAUUAAGAGAAAAAUAAAAAGAUAAAAUCUGAAAUUUGUGAUGAAAUUAUAAACUAACUUUAUCUUUAAUUGUUUGAGAAUUUAAGCAAUGAGUAGUACUAGGGGUGUUCAGAAUCUAAUUCGAUCCGCUAAAUCCAUAUGGUCCGUAGAAAUUCGAUCCAUAAAAAUUCGAUUUGUAGAUUGGUGGAAUGGAUUAGAUUUGAAAAUUUGAAAAUCCACAGUCAUUGCAUUGGAUAUGGAUUUACUUAUGUGAAUCCGCAAAAAUCUGCGAAUCCACAAAUAAAUAAAAAAUAUUUAUUUAAUAAAAAAUUAAACUUGUAAAUAUGGAAUUAUACUUACUAAUAAAUAAAUAAGUUAAAAUAUACACUAACACCAUAUUAUGUCUUCUCUGAUAAUAAUAUAAAAUAAAAAUAAUUAAAUAAAAAACAUAACUUUCUAAGCAAUUAAUUUUCAUGUAUUGAUCUAAACAAAUAAGAUUUUUUUCUUUUUGGUGUGUUAUAUUUUAAAAUUUUAAAUGUAUUUUCUAACUUUAUUUAAAUAAUUAUUUAAAUAUUAUUUAAUUUUGAAUUUAAUUAGUAGUAAAAUUAUUUUUGUAUUAAUUUUUUUAUUCAAAGUUUGAAACAUUCAAUCAAAAUCUCUUUUCUCUCCCUUUUCCUUGUAGCGGGUUUAAAAAUCAGUAUUAUCGCAAUGUGGGCUCAUUCAGUUAUUGGAUCAACUAAUGAGAUACAACCUGAAUAGAAAAUAGGCAAUGCUCUUCGUUAUUACGUACAGAAGGUAACAAAAUUCUCCUCUGCCACUUCCUCCUCCCUUCGACAGUGGCUUCUCAACGAUCUUUUGUUAUAGGCGUUGGCACAAAUAAAGGACGUUGAUAAUUUAGGGAAAAAAUUAAAUAAAUAAAUAAAAAGGACCGUUGAUUAAUGCUGUCGGUAAUAAAUUAGUGUUGGAUGGGUAGACUUGCGCCUUGACGCAAAAUACUGGAAAGAACAAGCGAACCUGUAAUUCUUGAUAUCUAUGAUGGAGGUGUUGUGAUUUUUCUGGUACCGUGGCUGUUGUAAAAGAAAAAAAAUAAUAAUUAUAAAAUAAAAAUUAAUAGUAUAUAGUAAAUACAAUUUUUAAAUAAUAAUUUUAAUAAAAUUAAAAAAAUAUAAUAAAUUUUUAUUAUAUAAAUAUAAAUUUAAUUUAAUUUUUAAAUUAUAAUAAUUAAUAUUUAUUAAAUACUUUAAUAUUAUAAUUUUUAUGUUACAAUUUUUUUACCUCAAUUUCAAACAACACCUCAAUCGAAUUAGUUGGCAUCAAGAUUCUUCUCCAACCAGAGAGGAACAUCAUAAAAAAUAAUUGUGAGAAUAUCAAUGGGGCUUCAAUUGUUCAAACAAGUCCACGCACUUUUUCUCAUUUAUUUGUCUUUUUUAUACGUGACAAUUUCGUAUUUAGUUUGUCAACAUUUAUAUAUAUAUACAUAUACACACACACACACUUAUCAUAGAGUUUAUAUUUAUGUUAAUGCAUGUGUUACUAUUCAUUAAUUAAAAUAUGCUUAAAAAUGAUAAACGCCAAGGUUAAUAUCUUUGACGAAUUCAUAAAUUAUUUAAAAGGUAUCAUAAUUUAUUAUUUUAUUAUUAUAUUUAAAAAAAAUUCAUUUUACUACAUUUCACUUAAUACUGUUGGUCCUUUACUGUUACUAAUUGUAAGGUGACGGCUAAUGAAGCCAAUCCUAACAGAAAGUCGUUCAACGUCGAUGUCAUACCAACAUUGAAGGGGUAAAAAUGAGUUCACAUAUAAAACCAAGAUCAAAUCCUGUAAGCUAUUAUCGUUAAUUAUUGAAUAAAUCAAACAUGUUAAUCCAAUUUGGUGGUGUACACGUGCGAACAUAGAGAAGGUUGAAAAUAUUAAGAUGUGGACCAAUUUUAAAUUAUAACUCCGAAUCUCAAACGUUGAUAAUAUUCACAACAGGAAAAAAUUUUAAAAUAUAUUGGAGGUAAUACAAUCAACUAAUAUAUAUAUGACAUGUCUAUUUAGAUUUAAUAUAACCACACUUGAAUGAUAAUAUUUCGAAAUAAAUGCACACAUGUCAUAAUAUAAUUUAUUUAUUAUAAAUUGAUAUAAUAUCUCUAAUGUAUUUUAAAAUUUCUCAACGACAGGAGAUUUUGUUGAAUUUUGAAAUAUUAAGAGGUUUUCGCUAUAUUUUAAUAAAUAAGAAGGAGGUUUUACUCAUUUCCUUUAAAUUAAUUUUGUAAACUAAGGUCCAUUAUAUCCAUAUGACUUUUGCAACAAGCCCGCUUACCACAUUGCCCUUAGCUAAUAGCUAUUUAUUAUUUAGAGCAUUUGCCUGAUGGUUAAUAAUCUUCUUUCUUGGUAAAUAGAAUGACUUUGAAUUUUAUUACAAACCUCAUAUAUUUUCUUAAUAUAUUUAUGUAAGUGUGAAGUGCACCUGUAUCGGGUGCUCCGAUAGUAAUUUAAAUGAGAGUAAAUUGUAAUUUAAAUUAUGGAAAAAAAUAUUUGUAUUAUUUAAUUAUCAAAUGUUUAGGCUUAGGAGAAGGUGUUCUUUUUUCUUUUUAAAUACAAGAAUUAUCAAUAAAUAAGUAAAUAACAUCUCAAAAAUAACAAGUUAAGUGUUGUGAAAAAUCUUCCAUCCUUAAAAAAAAAGGAGAAUGAAUUGGAAAUUUAGCUAAAACAUAUACAGAUUUAUUAUAAUUAGUUUAGAAGAAAAUCUUACAAGUAGAUCCUCCUUUAGAAUUCAUAAAUUCUAAUAUUUAAAAAAUAAAUGUUAUGCUAAACGACAUCAUGUUGGUCCUACCUUCAGCUGAAGUGAUAGGGCGGCCGAUAGAAUUUUCUCCCGUGAGUAACGACAUAAUAUCUUAGAUUCGAAAUCUUUAAAGACAAAAUUAGAAAGUGGUGUAAUUAUAAUGUUUGGCACAAAUGUGGCAAAGUAUAAUGGGAUAAGUCCAUUGAAGCCAGGUUAGCUCGUGAACAACGUGUGAUCUAUUAUUAUGUAUUGUCGUGGAAAAGGAGACGUGUCUAGUUGUAAAGCGAAGUCUCGGACAGUGAAAGUCUGAAGUAAAGACCAUUGUUGAUUGACGAUGUCGGUAAUAAAAUAAUCCUGGAUGGCUAGACUUGGGCGUUGACGCCGAUUACAACGAAAAGAGAGAAAAGAUUGAAAACGAAGGUAAAAUAUCUUUAAAUAAGUUUAAUCUCCAUCUCAAUGAUAACAAGUUUAAGUGAUGUUAAAAAUCUCCCUUUAUUACAAAACAAUUACGAAGAUGAAGUACAAACUUAGAUAAAUAAAGUAUCUAUAAUAUUAUUAUAAAUGGCUUAAGAGAAGAUCUUAUACCUUAAAGAGCAUUAUAAUUAUUAAAUAAAACAAAUAAACAAACCAAAAAAAUAGAGACGGAGAAUCUUUGGAUACAUGAUUAAUUAAGUAAUCAUGAGUUGUCGAUCCUUUCAUUGACAAACUACACUGACAUGAUGAGAUCGGCAGAACAUGAGUUGUAGAUUCUUUCAUUGACCAAGACGGCGGCAGGCUGGUCCAUAGAAUUGUUUCUGAAUUGUCUAUUAGAUUAGAAUUCUUUGACAGUGAUAUAAUUACAUUACUGAGUAAUGGAAUCAAAAGUUACGGAGUUAUUUCAUUGUCAAAUGGAGAUAAACAAAGAAUCUCUGUAUAUGUUAUUUAAACAAUUAUUAGAGACAUACAACGCACCAUGUGAUCCGUAAUUAUUGUAAAAAUAAUCUAGGUCAAACUUAUCAGCUAGCUGAGUCCCGUAUCAAAUUUUGCAGCCUUACUUUACUAUAAUUGUAAAAAUACUCUAGGUCAAACUUAUCAGCUAGCUGAGUAAAACAACGUACAAUAAUGAACUGACAAAUAAAAUUCUUUAAGGAUAGACUCAAAAGAGAGAGUUGUAGGGGGAUCGGACAUCAAAACAAAUUUGUUAACCUAUUGUGCCAGUUUGGAUCUUUUUAUUUAGCUGGAAAAGAAAAAGGAAAAUAAUAAUGGAACAAAAGUAUGAUAAAAUCAUGACAAAAAUGUUUUUUAUGAAUUUUUAAAAUUUUCUUUCGUAAUUUAACAUAUUUCUUUUUAAAAAAUUCUCAAAAUUAAUUAAAUUAUAAAAGUUUUUAUCAUUAUUUCGUCAUACUUUUAUUCAUCUAGAAUUGCUGAAGGUAAAAAAUGAUUGACGCUAUCGAUAAUAAUAUAAAAUAAUAUUGAAUGGCUUGACUUGGCCGUUGACGUCUUGGCGCCGAAGACGAAAAAAAGAAGAAAAUAAUUGGUACGGAUUGAACAAGCGAAAAGUCACAGAAAAAUAAUAAUUACAGUUUUAUACGAGACAUUAUUGACUAGCGGCAGCGGGGUUCAAAUAAACCUUUCCCCACCCAUUUUUUAAAUAAAAAUUUAUAAUAUGUAAUAAGUAUAAUUUUUAAAUAAUAAUUUUUAAAAAAUAUAAUUAAUUUUUAAUAAUUAAUUUAAUUUUAUACUACAACAAUUAAUUUUUAUUAAUUAUUUUAAUGUUAUAAUUUUUAACUUACAAUUUACAAACCAUAAUUUUAAAUAUAGUCGUAUUCGAAUUAGUUGGCGUCCAUACUCUUCACCAAACCACAGAGAAAAGUAAAAAAAAAUAAUUGCGAGAAUAUCAUGGGAUCCAAACAAUACUACUAGUCCACGCACUUUUUCUUGCUUUCACAUUUGCUUGUCUUUAUGGACGUGAGCAUUUCGUAUUUUCGCGUUUAGUUUGUCAUCACUUUUUUUAUAUGUAUAUUUAUCAUACAGUUUAUAUCCAUAUUAGUACGCGUGUCACUGUACAUUAAUUAAAAUAUGCUUUAAAAAAUAAUAAACAAUAAGGUUAUUGUCGUUUGACUAAUUCAUAAAUUAUUUAAUAAGUAUGUUAAUUUAUUAUUUUAUUAUUAUAUUAAAAAGAAAUUUUCAUUUUACUACAGUUCAUUUGAUACUGUUGGUCCUUUAUUGUUACUAAUUGAAGGGGUAAAAAUGAGAUCACAUAUAAGACCAAUACCAAAUUCUAUAAGUUACUCUAUCGUUAAUUAUUGAAUAAAUCAAACGUGUUAAUCCAAUUUAGAGGUGUAUACGUGAUAGCACAGAGGAGGUUGAAAAUAUUGAGACGUGGGCCCAUUUUAAAUUAUAACUCUGAAUUCCAAACGUUAAUAAUAUUCACGAGGGAGAACAGCUAACCAAACAAGCCCACUAGCUUCUUCCCCACCACUUGUACUCAAAAACUCAAAUAUCAUGAACUCUGAUCUGUACGAGGCUGCUGCAAAGGGGGAAAUUGAACCCUUCAACCAAUUGGCGAUAUUUUUAUGAAACUUUCUGCUUACUUAUAAUAUAAAAAAUUUAAUUUAUUUUCUGACACUCUUUUUCAUUUACUAUUUUUUUGUAAGUAUCAAAAGAGUUUCUAUUUACAACCAUGAUACAUUAAUUAUCAUAACACUCUAAUAUUAAUAAAAAGACAAAAACAUCCUUAAAUUAAAACCAAAAAAUCGCUUUCCUCUUUUGAGGAAUUACAGUAUCUCAUCUUCCAUAACUCAUUAUCAACAAAAAUUUCAAGGAUAUGACCAUUCAUCUUCUUUAUAAUAUCAUCUCAUAAUAAUUAAUACUUUCAUGAUAAAAGAAUUAAUAAAAUAAAAUAUAAAUUCCCUUUGAAUCUAUCCUCUCCAUUAUUUAUUUCUCUUUAUCAGCAACCUUUAUCGACAAUUAAUACCGCCAUUAGACUCAUCACAGAGAGAAUAAGAGAGAGGAAGAAGAAACGGGAAGAAAACUAUAUGAAACUUUUACAAUUUUAUAGUGUGUUCACUAAAUGGGAAUCGAAAUGAACUGAAAUCAGAUUGAGGUGGAAUCAAAAUGAGGAAUUAAAAUCAGAAUAAGUUAUUUACUUAAACUAUAGAAAUCGUAAUUAAAACGAGUUGUAUUAUCAUUAAUUUGUUUAUCUUGUCUUGAAAUUAAAAUUGGAAUGAAUUAAAUUAUAAAAACUUACUAUAAAAUACUUAAUUAAUUUUUAUCAUAAUUAUUAUUUUAUACUUUAAUUAUUGCGAUUAUUAUUAUUCAAGAAAUUAAUUAUUAUUAAUAUUAUUGUUAAUCAUUAUUAUUAACAAUUAAACUAAAAAAUUACUAUUAAUUAGUGAUAAUAUAUUAAUUAAUUAGAUCACUUUUUACUGUUGUUAAUAAUAAUAAUAAUGAUAAUAAUUUUUUUGAGUUAAUUAAAUGGAGGGUAUUUAGGGAAUUUAAAAAUUAUGAGGGUCGAGUUUGAUAUUCUAAGGGUUUUAAUAAAAUAAAACAGAGUACGAGGGGUUCAACGAAAUUUUACAGUAACUGGUUCAGAAAAGACAAAAGCUGCUGUAACGUACUACGGUGGUAGCAUAGGCGGAUCCAAGAAAAGAAAGGGGUACUUAACUAAUUUUUUAAUUUCAGUUGGUCAUAUUUAAUUAGUGUAUGCCCUCUAGUUUUAUAGCCAACCAAACAAGGCCACUGGCUUCUUCUGCACCAUACCAUUGUACGCAUUCUGUACUCAAAAACUCAAAUAUCAUGAACUCUGAUCUGUAUGAGGCUGCUGCAAAGGGGGAAAUUGAACCCUUCAACCAAUUGGCGAUAGAUCGUCAACUUGGAAGCCUAGUGAUUCACAAAAAGAAUUCCGUCCUGCACGUCAACAUAAUUGCAUCCUACACCCAGAAUAAAGAAGGAGAAAGUGUCUCAACCGAGUUCGUGGAACAGAUACUUGAAAUGUGUCCAUCAUUGCUACUACAAGUUAAUGCCAAAGGUGAUGCCCCACUCCAUGCUGCGGCCAAAUGCGGAAAUGCUGCUGUUGUGAGAGCUCUGAUUGAGUUUGCGAAACAAGAGUUCGAUCAAGAGAUAGAAAGUGGCGAGAAAAGUACAGCAAGGCUUAUGCUAGGGAUGAAAAAUCUUGAAGAAGACACAGCGUUGCACGAGGCAGUGCAAAGUGGUAGUCUUGAUGUCGUGAAAAUUUUAUUGGGAGCAGACCCUGCUUUUCCGUAUUCUGCUAACGGUAGCGGUGAAACUCCACUUUACUUGGCAGCCGCGAGGGGACAUGCGGAGAUAGUCAAGGAAAUAUUACAAAAAUGUCCGUUGGCGGCCCGUGAAGGCCCCAAUGGAAAGACUGCCCUUCAUGCAGCAGUCUGCAGUUACUCUUACCCUUACGGUAUGGAUGCGCAUGCUUUCAUACAAUAUUUAAUACCAUAAUUGUUUUUUAAAUUUUUCGGUUUUUUAAUAAAUUUUUUAAAGAUUAAAUAACUUAUUCUAAUAAAAAUAUAAAUUUUAACCUUUUAAUAGCAGAGUUUGAAAACUUUUUAAAAUAUUUAAAUAUCUGAAAUAUUUUUUAUUUGUUUGACAAUUUAUUUUAUAACAUAAUUUUAAAAAAAUUAUUCAUUAAAAUAAUUUUAAUCAAAUUUUAUUGGCAAUCAAAAAAUUAAAUUUUUUUUGAUAAAAAUUUUACUAACAGGAACUAUUCUUAAAUGGAUUUUAUUUUAAAAAUAAUAUCAAACAUAAGCUUAGUUGUUUAAUUUUCUUUUCUUUUUAGGUGUGAUAAAACUAUUACUUGACAGAAAGAAAAGUUUGACCAGAGAAAGAGAUAAUCGCUUGGUCAUCUCAAAGUGUUUAUUAGAAGCUGAUAAAUCUGUUGCGUUGAUUCCUGAUGAAGAUCGGAAGAUGACAGCUCUUCAUUUAGCAGCCGGCCAAGGGGAGGUUUGGAUGGUACAAGCAAUUAUUGACCAUUGUCCGGAAUGUUGUGAAUUGGUUGAUUACAGAGGAUGGAAUGUUCUUCACUUUGCUAUGGUUAGUUUUUAUAAAAGUGACUUGAAACGUCUGCUGAACAACUAUCCGAUCGUCAGAAAUCUAAUUUUUGACAAGGACAAGGAGGGGAACACUCCCUUCCAUGUGCUUGCUGCUGUCUGUCCGCAUCCAGGCAAUGCCGGCUAUGGCAUCAUCCCUAGGAAAAUUGCUAUAGGCUAUUAUCAAGUUGUCAACAGGAAAAAUAUUAGUGUUGAACACAUAAAUCGUCAUGGAUUUCCUGAACUCGAGGUACUUAAUUCCUUUUUUUAACUCAUCAAUGUUAUAAUUUAUAUAUGGAUACGACUAAUAAAAUUAAAUUUUAUUUUUAAAUUUAUCAUCCCUUACAAAAUUGCUAAAGGUUAUUAUCAAGCUGUCAACAAGCAAAAUAUUAGUGUUGAACACAUAAAUCGUUAUGGAUUUCCUGAACUCGAGGUACUUAAUUCCUAUUUUAAUUCAUCAAUGUUAUAAUUUAUACAUGAAUACGACUAAUGAAAUUAAAUUUAAAAUUUAAAAUUUGGUUUUUUUUAUUGAUCUUUUUUCACCCGUGUAUUUAUAGUAAUUAUUUAUUUAGGAUUUAAUUAUACACAUAUCUCAUAUGAUGUGUAAAUAAAACAUUAUUUAUUCUGAUAUCAUAUAAGAAAUUAAUUUUGGUAUGCGAAUUAAUAAAAUACAUAGUCCAGUGCGUAGAUGUUGAUGCCAAGUCAAUUUUUCCUUCUCUUUCAUUAAACUCAUUUUCUUCUAGUUACAUUUAUAAUUUAGCAAAUAUGAUUGCAGAAAGAAAUUGAAGAAUUGUCCAAAGCUGAUGGCAGUGGACAAUAUCCAGACGGUGUCGUCCAGAUGAACAAAAACAAAGUUCAUUCAUUAUGGAAAUAUUUAGAUGAAAAUGUCUUUGGAGUGGAAAAAGCAUCAGAAUAUCAUUUGGUAGUGGCAGCACUCAUAGCAACAGUAACCUUUGCUGCGGCAUUCACCUUACCCGGUGGUUACAAGAGUGAUACUGAAGAUGGCCCAAACAGGGGCACUGUAAUUCUCAAUAAAAACGUAGCUUUCGAAGCAUUUGUUAUAUCAGACGCCAUAGCCAUGGUCCUCUCACUUUCUGCUGUCCUUGUCCAUUUCAUUCUGUCACUUAAGCUUUUUGAAAAAUUCAUCUUUUUAUUCAGUUUUGCCCUUUGGUUCACGUUGGUUGCCAUGGCAGCAAUGAUAAUAGCAUUUGUUACAGGCACAUACGCAGUGUUGGCACCUUCUUUAGGGCUUGCCAUUGUCACAUGUAUCAUUGGCUUGACCUUCUUCUUCUUGGUGAUUUUCAUGUUUUACAAGGUUAUAUCAAAAGCGAAGGAAGAGGAAUUUGAAGAUUAGCUUAUUGUAUACCUCUUUCUAAUACUAUGAUUAUGUUAGCAUCAUCCUACUAUUAUGAUCUGGAGUUAUAAGUUGUGAUUGAACUUUAUUACACUAUCUUAUUUGGUAUAUUGCUUCAAGGUUGUAAAACGUUACUGAGAGCUUGAAAGAAAUGAUAUCAUCUAUUUAUGAUGCAGAAUUAGUUGUUGCAUAAGCAUUCCAAAUUAAUUUUAAUCAGGAAUCUUCACCAGCGGAAUGAGUAUUAGUUAUUCGAAUGGGUAAAGUUUCUUCUUAACCUAAUUAAGUGGAGAAACAAAUUUGAUAUUUCAAAUUGUGAAGAGCUUUUUUCUUUUGGAUAUUCUACCAUCAAAAUCAAUUAUAGUAUUCGAAACAAAUUCUAGUUUUGCAAUGUCUACAGUCUACUUAUGAAUUGCAUAAAGGAUAGACCUGCAGACCUGCAGUUAGACAAAAGUUGAUAAAGGAUAGAGCUCCAGAUUCCAACUGCUAAUUUACACUUGCAUCUAAAUUUAAAAAUCAGCUAAUUACAAACCGGAUAACCAGCUGCUAAUAGUUUCCACUUUCAAGAGCUUGAGAAGGUCAACUGGAAAUUGCAAGUAUUCAAAUGGUGAUAAAAAAGAGAUUCUUUUGAUAUGUUAUCCAGGUGCAAAAAUAAAAAAUGUCGCUUGAUGAUGAAGUAAAAGAACUAAAACCGCCGCAACAAACUGUGGCGGCCACACUCGUAGCAACAGUUACCUUGGCUGCGAGGUUCAUAUUACCCGGUGGUUACUGGGCUCAAGAAGGCCCAAUUCCCAGCACUCCAAUUCUCAGAAAAAAUGCAGCUUUUCAAGCAUUUGUUAUAGCUAAUGCCAUGGCCAUGGUCCUCUCCCUUUCAGCUGUCUUUUAUCCAUUUCCUUACUUCAACUGAGACCCUUCGGAAAAUGACGUUUCUUGUCAAUGUGGCUCAUUGUUUCAUCCCGGGUUCCAUGUUAGCAAUGACGGUUGCAUUUGUUACAGGAACAUCCCCAGUGUUGGCACCUUCUGUUGGGCUUUCCGUUGCUACUUGUGUCCUUGGCUUGAGCUUCAUCCUCUUUGUGCUUUUCGCCAUGUUCAAGUUUGCUUAUGGAUUGGCGCAAAGGUUGCUGGGCUUCAUGAUAUAAUUAGAAAAAAAUAAAUCUCCAUGUUGGAGAAAUUAGCAUGUUUCUGUCUCUGUUUCUAGUAGUUAAUAUGUAAUUUCCAUCUCUUCAAUCUUUAUUCUCAGUGUUAUAUUAUAUGUGUAUACACUACUACAACUGAGAUUGUACCUAAUCCUCUUUUGUGUUGAGCUAUUAUCGUCAAAAGAGGAUUAAGUACAAAUACAAGGUCAACAUGAAAUUGCAAGUAGCAUAUUCACAUUCCAACAUUAGUAAUUAAUUAAAAUACUCUUUAUAUUGUAUUGGUUAAAACUCUGUAAUAUAAGGUUAAUAUAAUCAAUUUUAUCAGGUGUUAAUGUGUUAGGAGCUUAUUUACAAAUAUAUAAAUAAUAUCUAAAAGAUAUACAGUGAGUCUAGUUUUAGUACUAUGUUCUCAUAAAUUUUUCCUCCUCUGAUUCCACCAUUUUUGGAUUCUUGAACUUGGGCUGGCUUAUGCUAUCGAAACUGAAUAAACUUACUAAUAUAGACUCAAUUACAAGUCUCAAAUCUUUUCUUUUUCUAAUUUGUAUAACCAAAAUUUUGUAAAAAAAUAAAGCUUAUAUAAAAUUAUCAUACGUUUUCAUUGCAUCUUGACACAAAUUGUUUCUUAACAAAAUGAUUGAGAAAAAAUAUAAAUGACAAUAAUGAAAUUUACAAUUUUCAAAUUAGGGAAUUGCAAACUGCAAUGGUGAGACAAUAAAAUAGCUUAGGUAAAUUAAUAUGCAACAAAAUAGAAGAUAGUAUCCAUCAUUUCUGUUUCUAAUAUGCUGAGAAACUAGCCCUCUAGGCUUAUAUAAAAGUCGCAACUACAUAUCCACAAGAUUUUUUUUUAAAAGAAGUAAUUUAUAUAAACCUCCUCUUGCUUAUAUUGCAAGCAAAUGCAAGUCCAUUCACUAUACCUGCAUAAUAUGUUCAAGCAUUUACAAGUUAAUAUUAUCAGUUCCAGCCCGACCAGAUAAUGAAACUGGUUUAAGUGAUUCACCUUCUACUCUACCAAAUACCAAAUACUUCUUUUUUAAAUUUCUCCUUUCGUCAAUCCAUUGCACUGCAGUCACCAAGAACUGGACCACUAAGCCAUUCCCUAUAUUUGCUUGUUGUUCAUUUGAGAAGAAUGGUUGUUCCCUAGGUUAACAUAGCAUACUUCCCAGGACCACACCACAAUAUGAAUAACUCCAUGCAAGAUUUCUCCCUGGACAGGCAAGAAAGUGCGACACAGAAAUGUUACAGGGAAGAUCACAACCCCUGACUCAUUCACAGUUCCCCGUUCUCUGCCGAUGCUCUUCAAGUUGGUUACUUAAAGAAAGUAACAGUGAUCCUUGCAAGCCUUCUCAUUUAUCAAGCCCUUCAACAGGCGUGUUACAAAUAUCGCUGAGGAACCUGCAACUCGUGUCAAAACUUUUAGCAGGCACUGAUAUAUCCUGAGCAAUUCCACUUCGAAAAACAUUUCUCCUCUACAUCAAAACAACUAAAAUAAGUAGGACUAUUAUAGAUUAACCAACCAGAAUUCUUCCAGAUUCUAUGCAUAUCAAUGCUGUUAAGAAAUCUAAUAGAAAAGAUGAACAAGAAUACAAUGAUGCUGAUACCACUGUAUGCAUCCCCAACUGCGCCAUGACCUGGAGGUUAAUUUUAAAGCUAAUCAAGAUUUUAAACUUAAUAUUGUAUCCAUAAUACAAUCCACAAAAAUCGAAGAACGAACCAAUAAAAAGGUUGUACCAAAAAGAGAUAAAUCACUAAAGGAUCAUUUUCAGUUACAUUGCGAAUGCUAUACAUUUUGAACAGAAUAAUUUAUUCAUAUCAACAUAUCAGUGUUUCUUAUCAUUACACACAUCAGUAAUCUAUUACGUUGUUUACAUACCUUCUCUUGAGUAUUGACUCAUGUUAGAUAUUUGAAGUAAUUUAUGCUAGUUAGCUCUUCAGUAAAACCAAAAACAGCCAAAAGUACCAGCACUCUCUGCAGCUAACAUGAAAAAGAACUCAACAUUACCAACAAAAAAUUUCAAAUUUUGGAGGAAUGUAAACAAGUAUCAUAACCAUUUCUAAAGAUCCCAUUUCACAACAUUCACUAUAAAGGCCUACACAAUAUAGCAAGUGACUAGGAAUAAAUAAGAAUAUAGAACUCUCUCUCUAAUUCUCACUCUAGCUUUUAAUUGUCACUCAAAACCCCAAAUUUAUCCUUAAAAGUGUAAGCAAAUUAGAGAUGACAGUGUCUGGUUGUCAUACGCGCCUUUUAGUUUCCGAAUGACAUGGCAUACACUUCUUCUGUAAACCCAACACGACAUGUCGUACUCUUUGUUUUGAGAUCAUAUUUCAAACUCUUCAUGGUAUGAAUGAAACAUAAACUACAAUCAUCAAAACAUUUAGUGUUUAUUUGGUAAUGUAACACUACUACGAAAAUGUAAAACAAUGACCCUUACAUUAUAACGGUUUAUUUAAAAAACCGUCAUUAAAAAUAUUUAAUGACGGUUAUUAUAUGAACGGUCAUAAUAUAUAAUAUUUAUAAUGACGGUUCUAUUAUAAAACCGUCAUUAAAUAUCAUGCCAAAAUAUAAUUUUACUUUUAACGACGGUUACUUGUAAAAACAGUUAUUAUAAAUUUUAAACUUUUAAUGACGGUUUUAUUAUAUAACCGUAAUUAAAUAUCAAGUUAUUAUUUUUAAUGAUAGUUUAUAAAAAAACCGUCAUUAAAAGUCAUUAUAUAUUAAGCUAUUACUUUUUAGGACGGUUUUACUAUAUAACCGUCAUUAAAUAUCAAGUUAUUAUUUUUAAUGACGGUUUACAAAAAAAACCGUCAUUAAAAGUCAUUACAUAUUAAACUAUUACUUUUUAUGACGGUUCUAUUAUAUAACCAUCAUUAAAUAUCAAGUUAUUAUUUUUAAUGACGGUUUAUAAAAAAAACGGUUAUUACAUAUUAAAUUAUUAUUUUUUAUAACGGUUCUACUAUAUAACCGUCAUUAAAUAUAAAGUCAUUACUUAUAAUGACGGUUUUUAAACAAAACCGUCAUAAAAAAUCACUAAUAACGGUUAUAUAUAUAAACUGUCAUUAACUAUAAAAUUUUACUUUUAAUGACGGCUUUUUAAUGACGGUGUUUAAUAACCGUCAUUGAAUAUAAAAAAUCGUUUUUAAUACAUUUCAUGACCGUUUUAUAAUAACCGUCGUUAUAUGUUAUUUGCCUUAAAAAAUUUUAAAAAAAGGCCGAUAAAAGGAAUAAAGGUAACGCGCAACCUUAUCUUCUUCUUCAAUUUUCACGAAUUACAAUCACAACGACUCCCUCAGUCACACACACCAGCCCUAACCCUACCUAAGCUAUCAAACACCAAUGCCGCUGCCGCUGUCAAAUCGAUUCAAGUGCUGCGGCACUGAGUCUAGCCGUCCUUGAGCCGAUUUGCUUCCUUUUUCUGCCGCCGCUGUCAAUCUCUGCCAUUCUUGAGCCGAUUCACUUCCGCAAAACAGCUGCUGUCAUCUCUGCCGACAUUGCCUCUGUGUUCGUUCACCGUCAGAUGCAGGGUAAUUGUGGUGACACUGCCUCCGCUGUCAAGUCAGUUCAAAUUUUAUGGGUGCUAUCUUGAAAAUGUUGGUGAGAUUGUUGCCAAUGAUAUUCUAAAAUUUUGAAUUCAGGGUUAUUGUUUCACCACUGUGAGUUGCUUUCUCCAAUUUUGCAAUUCUUUCCUCUUAAUUUGCUUUGAAAUAUUUGCUCGUUGGAUUUAUUUCCUCUUCAUUUAUAAUCGAUUUGGUGAUUUUUUGUUGUGUAGCUUGUACCUUAGAUAUGUCGUGCACUUUGGCCUUUCGUUUCUUGAUUUUCUUGGUUAAUGAAUUUGGAAAAAGAGUGAAUUAUGGGUAAGGGGAUAGAAAAUCACAUUGACAGAAAAGAGGACUGAAACGCUCUGAUUUUUACUAAGUGGAGUUUACUUAUUUGUUAAAAAAAUAAAUUUUAAAUUAUUAAUGAUUUAAUUGUCUUAUGCUUAUUAUAUUGUUCGUGAAAUUUUUGUUACAAGUCCAGCCCAUGACCCUCUUUAUAUUUUAGCAUUUCUUUAUUUAUUUACGAAAUGAAAACCAGCGUUUGGAUUCAAAAGAAACAAAACAGAAAAAGGAAGAAAGGAAACAAGAGGAUAACAGGACGUGAGAGAGGAGAAGAGGGAGAAAGAAGAGAAAGACAAGAGAGGCUAGGUGAAGGAUUUGGAUUUAAAGAGAGAGAAUUCAAUUUCAGAGCAAAAUAUUAAAUAUCUGGCUUUUUGAAUUUGUAAGCCUUCUUUCUCAGUUCACUUUAUUCUUUUAUUUUUCUUCAAAAUUCUUGUUUAAAUUGGCAUGCAUGUUGAUGUUCUUAAGUAAUUUCUAAAUUAACUUGCAUGCAUGAUUAAAAUUCUGUUUAUUUAGGUAUUAUGUCAUUGAAAUUAGUCUCUUUUGCGAUGCUUGUUUCAAGUUCCGAUUCUUAUUUGAAAAAAAAAAUUUCUAUGUUUGUUCCAUAAUCUGUUUUGGGUAUUGAAGUUGAUACUACCUAGCAAAUUCUAAACUGUAAUGGCUGAUUUCUUCUCUUAUUUUUGUUUAAUCUAUUGAUCCUAAGACUUGCAUGGUUUUAUUCAAAAUGCUAAAUAGUGGCUGUAUUUUGACGGGAAAGAAGUAUGUAGUGCUACACUUCUUUUUUAUUUUUUAUUUAUUUUAUUGUCAUUAUUAUUUAGCUUAACAGCAACCCAAUUUUCUCCCUACCCUUGUGAGUGUGGUCAAACCCCAAACAAAUGAAGAAGUUUUCUGGUUUUAUGUCUUAAAUAGAGUGGCUGUAAAUCUAAAAUCGAGAUUGAGCUAAUGAGUGAAAAUGGUGAUACUUGGAUUUUUUGAGGCUCUGCUUUUUUUUUCUUUACUUUAAAAGCUAAUUUGUUUAGCUUUACCUUUGAUUUGAAUUUUUUGUUUCUGUUCUUUGCAGCCACGAAUGAAAAUGGUGAUAAUCGGGCUCCAAUAAAUAUUGAUUUAAUAGGAACCACAUUGGUAAGCCUAGUUGCAAGACAAGAACUACUUUGCAAAGCAUGCUAUGUGUAUAAUUCUGAGCAUUAAGGAUUCAGUUUCUGAAGGGCGAGCUUGCUGGCUGGGUAUAAAUGUUCCAAGUGCCAAUCCCACCUUAUGUAAGCACAAAAUAUAGUCUUCAUUUCCUUUUUGGAUUAUAUUUGUUUGUAUAGUUAUAUGAUACUGGAUUUUAAUUUAAGAAUUUGUGCAGUACAUUUUUUGACUGUUAGGAGUUAGUUUGAUCAAGGUUAUUUAAGUACUAAACUGUUAUAAUUGAGCUUGUAUGCAUUUAAGUUCUUUAUAUGUAAAUGACAAUUAUAUCAAUGUGUAAUGUAAAUUGAAAUUUGCCAAUGUGGCUUCAAUUGUAAAGUUUAGAAUGUGAAAACAACUAUCUAAAUUUUAAUUUAAAAAAACAAUUGAAGUAUAGUAAUUUUAAAUUGUUAUUUUUUAUUUUUUUUACUCAUGCAAAAGAUGACGGUUCUUAUAUAAGAUCAGUCAUCAAAGAGUGAUAUAAGAUGACUGUUAUGAUACAAAACCGUCAUUAAAAAUUGAUAUUUAAUGACGGUUAUUAAAAAACCGUCAUUGAAAAUCUAUAUGUAAUGAAGAUUAUUAAAAAAAAACUGUCAUUAAAAAUAUAUAUUUAAUGACGAUUAUUAAAUACCCGUCAUUAAAAGUAUAUAUUUAAUGACGGUUGUUGGUAAAAAACCGUCAUUAAAACUUAUGUACCUAUAGUUUAUUAGAAUAAUCGUCAUAAUAAAUAUACAUUUAAUGACGGUUUUUAAACCGUCAUAAAAAAUAUACCCCUUUUAAUGUCGCUGUCUAAGAUGACGGUUUUAAAUUGAAAUUUUUUUAUUUUUUAUUUUUUUUACUCAUGCAAAAGAUGACGGUUCUUAUAUAAGAACAGUCAUCAAAGAGCGAUAUAAGAUGACUGUUAUGAUACAAAACCGUCAUUAAAAAUUGAUAUUUAAUGACGGUUAUUAAAAAACCGUCAUUGAAAAUCUAUAUGUAAUGAAGAUUAUUAAAAAAAAACUGUCAUUAAAAAUAUAUAUUUAAUGACGAUUAUUAAAUACCCGUCAUUAAAUAUAUACCCCUUUUAAUGUCGCUGUCUAAGAUGACGGUUUUAAAACCGUCAUCUUAUGUCUUUUAAAAUCGUCAUUAAAGGCCAAUUUUGUAGUAGUGAAUGUCACGAUUGUUGUGAAUUAAAAUUAUUUCUAUAAAAUAAAAAAAUUUGGGUCAUUGUUUGUUAUUUUCUGGUAAUAUUUAUUAUAUAUUAAAAAAUAAAUUUAUAUUUAUUAAGUAUAAAAAUAAAUAAACAAAUAGAAAUAAAAGGAAAAGUUUAUACAUUACGUAAAAUAAUAAGAACAAUAUCAAUAUUUCACACUCUAUAAUUGAGUGAUGUGUUGUCCAACUGCCAUACAUCGGUCCCAAACGGAGAUUUAAAUAUCAAAGUCCAAAGUUAUUGUGAUGAUGAUUUAUAAUCGUAAAACUUGACAUUAUAAGGUAAUCAUGCAUUAUAAGGUGCUGAUUUCUUCCGAUCAGAACCUUAUUUUUCAUUUACAAAUAAAUAAAUGAUGUGACUUUCACAAAAUAUUCAUGCAAAAAAACAAAAAACAAAAUAUCAUAACUGAAUUUCAAAUUGUCAAUGUUCUAUAACAUAAAACAAAAAUUUUGUUUUAAAAAAAAAAGAAAAAGAAAAAGAAAAGACCUCUGUUACAUGAAAAAGAAAUUUCCAUUCUAUAGAACGAAUAUUAUACUUUUAUAUUAUAAUACAAGGACACUUUUCCUUGGUGCUACUCUACACUUUUCCUUGGUGCUACUCUAUGUAGUUCUAAAAAUUCAUACUUUAAUUAAUGUCAGUAAGUAAUAUAAGAUUUUUACAUGUAAUAUUUUUGUAAGUUUAGGAGUAAAACUUGGUCACAAUAGGACUGGACAAGUCUUGUGUUAAUAUUUUACUCUUUUUUAUUUUACUUUUAAAAGAUUUUCCAAUGCAUAUUAAUAUCUUCAAAAUAUUUUGAUUUCUAUUUUCUUUUCAGUUAAGAAGCAGAUAAUAUUUAUAUGUCUAAUUUCCCUGUUUUUUAUAAUUUUAUUUUUUUAUUCAUUUUUUAUAAUCCAAAUACUACUACCUUAGAUAUUUUUCCCCGCCACAGAUAACGUAGCCAUGGCAAAAUAUAGUCUUGAGAAAUAUGUCAGCGUCUAAUUGCUGCUGAGCUUCGGAAACCCAAAGCCUCAAAUUCGUAGCCUCAAAACAGUGGCAAUCGAUGCCUGCUUUUUCACUAAAUUUAGUUUAUGCGCAGAAGAUCUUUAGCUAAUUAAUGAUAUGGCUCGAGUCCCUAGUCGCCAGUUCUGCCCAGCAACAGCCAUUUUCGAUUCGUUUCAAUCAUCCUUUUCAAAGUUCCACGGUACCCAUUUUCAUUUCUUCAGGUGCGGUCACACAAUUCCCCUUAAAAAUAAUUUGUUUUAUAAAAAUUCCUCUUCAAACUCUGCCCAUGAAAAAAGCCCGCCAAGAAAAAUAUGUUCUUUAUCCAGGAAUAAAUUUUUUUUUCUCAACAUGAUAAAGAUGAGAAUGCUAACUUAUGUUCUAGUAGCAGUUGGUUAGAUAAAUGGAACAAACCCAAUAAGUAUAACCGCCUGAAACCGCCUCAGGCACGCGUGAAUUAUAGAAAAAAUAAUGGUAAUGGUGUUCUUGGUGUUGAUGAUGGUGGUAGUAGUAGUACCAUGGGGAAGAUUGUGGAGAAACUGAAGAAAUUUGGCUACGUUGGUGAUGGUGAUGGUGAGGGCAAGGAAAAGAGAGAGUGAUUGAAAAAGGGUCUAGAGAGGAUAUAUUUUGUGUGGAAGAAGGAUUGUUAAAUGCAGGAGGGUGGUUUUCAAAAGAAUCCCCGUUGGGGUUAGGAGAGGAGGUAGGGAGUGACGGAAGUGAAGUUUCCAUGGGAGAAGCGGAAGGGAAGAUUGAUGUUACAAAUUUUUUUAAAAAUGUAUAUAUUGAUGCAUUCACUGCAUUUCUUUUUAACUUAAUUUCAAUUGAUCGUAUAUUACGUUGCAUUAUGAUCCAAAUUGCUUCUUCAGAAAAUUAGUGAGAAAUUAUGAAAGAAAAAAUAAUUUAAUUUGCUUUCCAAUUCUAUUUUUUUUCCCCAAAAUCAAGGCAAAUUAUGUGAGGCUCAAAAUAUUAUUUGUUUUGCCGUGAAAUUUAGAAACAAAAAAAUACAUGGACAGAUACCGAACACCCCACGCCUCAUUCACAGUGCGCAGGAAGAAGUUUGACCCUUGGCCGAUGUCCUUCGAGUUGGUCACUGCAAGAAAGAAAAGUUUUAGAAAGGAGUGCUAAAAUCUGAUUAUGAAUUGUUUAUAGGAAAGUGCUAACGAGCGAGAGAAACGAGAGAAAGACGAGAGAAACGUCAUUCUCUCUUGCUGUCUCGUUUCUCGUUCCUCUCAUUAUAUAAAAUAUUAAAAUAAUAAAAAAAUAAAUAAAAAAUAAUAAAGAAAGAUUGCUUUUAUCGCUUCGUGCAGGGGGAAAUCUUACCAAUAACUCCAGCCCUCACUUUCCUCUCUCCCUCACGGCUUCCGGCGUGCCUCACCAGCUUCUCUCCCUCACACUUCCGGCUUGCCUCACCAGCUUCUGUCUCCCUCACGCUUCCAGAAGCUCCCUCACGGCUUCCGGCGUGCCUCACCAGCAUCUCUCUCCCUCACGCUUCCGGCUUGCCUCACCAGCUUGUCUCUCCCUCACGCUUCCAGAUCCCUCACGGUCCUUUCCCUAGCACUAGUAAUCUUGAUUACCUUUGCUUCGUACAAAAUGGGAAGGCUCUGCACUAGUAAUUUUAGCAAGCCAUACGGGAUGUUUUUAAACAACAGUUGAUGCAAGCAACUCUGAAAUUCAUCAAAAAUAAAUAAAACUGAAAACCAGAGGCUACCGUCGCCGGCGGGGAGCCGCCAUUGUUGACAUUGGCAUUCAAGCUUGUGAAACAUUGUGAGCAUAAAAAAAAAAGAAAAAAUCGGAAUCCAACGAUCUAUGCAACGGAGUGAAUAUUUCCAUCCACAGCGGUUCGGUUUCACGGUGGAGAUGCUGCAACCUUCCUCAUGAAUUGCGCGUGUAGUAGGAUUGGCCAUUUUCUGACAAAAUCUUACGCUAUAUUUGAGCACAUCAUGGUCUUAGGGUUCGAUUGGUAUAAGCGGUGUUGAUAACGGACCAUUUCCGGCAGUAUCUGAAAUUUUGACCGCUGCGUGCGGUGAACUUGUUCACUAUUUUCCGACGGUCAUGAUAGUAAGGGUCUUAUCGGAGAACUUGGAUUUCAAUGAUGAUGGCGGUGCGUUCUAAGGGCGACAUCCUUCCUCAUCGCGGGUGCUUGGCCGAUGAGCUAUUUUCAAUUUUUCCGGUGAUCUAUUUUCAAUUUCUUGGUAAAUUUUUUAUUUUAUUUUAAAGUGGAUAUAAACACAAGUUAAUUAUUUUUUGAAACAUGAAUGGAAAGUUAAAAAAAGGAAAAUUUAUAACCAUCCACCUGUUUGUUUUGUCUUUUUUAAAAAUACACAAAUAUUUUUUUUUUUCAGCACGUCACCUGAAAUUUACUUUUUAUUGUAUUCUUCCACUUCCGUCUAAUUUCUGUUAGUAAAUUUAACGGAAUGAUCUUUUUACCCCUCAAAAUUACAAUUUAACCCAAAAUAAAUAAAAAUUGAAGAUAAAUUAGAUGGAUUUAAUUUUGUUUCAAAGGUGGAUGCUAGAAAUUGGAGGAAAUUAAUGUUUGUUGCUUGCUAAAUUUAGAAAAUUUGUAUUUAUUUUUUUGGAGGAAAAUAGUAUUUGUUACUUGCUAGAUUUAGAAAAUUUGUAUUUAUUUUUUCUCUUUUAAAAAAAUAAAUACAAAUUUUCUAAAUUUAGCAAGUAACAAACACUAUUUUCCUCCAAUUUCUAUCAUCCACCUUUGAAAAAAAUUAAAUCCAUCCAAUUUAUCUCCAAUUUUCAUUUAUUUUGGGUUAAAUUGUAAUUUUGAAGGGUAAAAAGGUCAUUUCGUUAACAUUCCGUUAAAUCCACUAACGAAAAUUAGACGGAAGUGGAAGAAUGCAACAAAAAACAAACUUCAGGUGGCACGCUGAAAAAAAAAGUAUUUGUGUAUUUUUGAAAAAGGCAAAAUAAACAGGUGGACGAGUGUAAAUUUUCCUUAAAAAAAAUUCGUAUUUAACGUAAUGAUUUAAAGAAAAUAUAAAUAGAAAGUUGAAAAACAUAAAAAUAUUUCUUUAUUGAAUAAUUUGCUUCGAAAUACAUUUUAAUUUUUUGAUUUAAAAUUUUAAUUGUUGGUAAUAUAACCAAAUAAUAUCAUUAGUUUACUUUCGUCGUUUCAAUUAACAUAUUUCCUUUCGUGAUUAAUUUACCAAACAUGCAUGUCAAAUUAUAUUAUAAAUGAAUAUGGUAUAAUUUUAAUUUACAAUCAUGUAUUAAAUUAUUUAUAAAUCUAAUUAUUUCAAAAUCUAUCCUAAAAUAGAUUAUUUGAGAAGCUAAUGCAAUCCCAAACAUACCCAUAAUAUAGCUUUGUCUACUCUCGAGUCAUUUUGGUUCUUUGCGCGCCUAACAAAAAGUGAAAGAAAAUUGUCAAUUGUCAAAUGUGAUGGCGCAAGCAAAGCAUAUCGAUCGAUCAGCCGGCAAGCUGCGGUAUUUAAAGAUAUCCAGGUCCAGGAUUAACUAGUAAGCAUAAAAAAAUUGCUCAGAUAAUACUGAUCUGUACAGGGCUGCAGCUAAGGGUGAAAUUGAACCUUUCAUCGAAAUUGCAGAAGAUGAACUUGUAAGCGUAGUGACUCACCAUAGGAAUACGGUCCUUCAUGUCAACAUUGCAUCCCAGCGAGAAGGAGCGAGGGUAUCCAACGGAGUUCGUGCAACGGAUACUUGAAAUGUGUCCAGCAUUGCUACUAUAAGUUAAUGUCAAAGGUGAUUAACAUUUUGUAAUUUUUAAUUACAAAAUAUUAAAUAAAUAUAUUAAUCUAUCAUUCCAUUAUUAUAUCUUCAAAAAAAAAAUCUUUCAUUUUACUAUAUUUUCAUUAAUUAUCCUUUAUUGUUACUAGUUGUAGUAGGGCAACUCGCGAAGCUAGUCUUAAUAGAGAUCAGUUCAAUGUUAAUGUCAUAACUGACAUUAAAGCAGUGAAAAUGAGUUGCAUACAAAAACACGAUAAAACAUUAAGUGCUAGCCCCCUUCUUGUUGGUUAAAAUAUAACAAAAACCCCUAAAUAUUUCAAAAUCUAGCAAAACCUUCUGUCGUCAGUAUUAUUAAAGUUUAAAAUUCGGAGUUAUCAUUUAAAUUCGGCCCACACAUUAUUAUUUUUAACCCCGUCAAUGUUGUCACGUGUACACCAUCAAAUCAGGUGUCUAAAUUGGAUUAACGCGUUUGAUUUAUUCAAUCAUUAGGGGAAAACUAUGUUGCAACAGUGGUACGGUACCAUUGUUGCUUUUAUCCAUUGGAUCUAUAGUUGUACACUGUACAAUUGCAUUAGUAAGAUUCAAUGACUGAAAAAAACAGUGGUAUCAUACUACUGUUGCAACAUAGCUGGACCCCAAUAAUUAACGGUAAAGUAGCCACUCCUCCCUUUUCACUUCUAUGCUCAGUGGGUCCUUUGUAACCUAAUUCUCAUAAACAACGGAUUUGCUCUAAUCUUUACCCAAGGGAUGUGUCUGAGGUCCAUUAGAUCCACAUUUCUUUUGCAACAAAGCCGCUUACUGCAUUACCUUAGGCCCCUUAGCAAAUGGCUAUUUACUUAUUAGACCAUUUGUUAGUGGUUAAAACUCUUCUUCCUUUAUAGAUAGAAUGACAAGCUAAUAUUUUUUUUUAUUAGAAACCUCAUAUUUUUUUUUUGUAAAUAUAUUUUUGUAAGGGUUAAGUAGCUCCAAUAAUGACUUAAUGUAAUGAAAGUAAACUGUAAUAUUAAAUUUUAAAAAAAAAGUUUAUAUUAUUUAAUUAUCAAAUGGCUAGGCUUUGGAGUUUUUUUUUUUGGGGGGGGGACAAAAAAAUUCUUAUUAAAUAGAACAAAAUUUAAAAAAUGACAAGCUAAGUGUCGCAAAAAAUCUUCCAUCAUUACAAAACAACUACGGGAACGAACUAUAAAGUUAGCUAAAGCAACUUCAUCACAAUUAGCUUAGGAGAAAAUUUUGAUCUCUAGAGAGUAUAUUAAUUAUCAAAUAAACAGAAACACCGUUAAAAAUAUAAAUAAAUAAAAUAAAGAUAAAAUCUCUAAAUAGGUUAUACUUUGUCAUAUGUAGAGCAGGAACCUUAUUAUGAAUCAUAAAUAAAAAUAUAUAUUAGUUAUAUUAUAAAAUUUAUUUAUUUAAAAUCAAUUCUUACAACGUUCUAAAAUGUCAAAUUAUUAAAUAAAAUUCUAUUCUACUAUUGCUAAUCUAUGAAAUUUUAAUUCAAUUAUAUUAUUUUCGCUUAUUGUUUCUUUACUCAAAUUACAUCUUUUUUACCACUCUUUUUUUAGAUUAAACUAAUUUUCCUAUUUUCUAUUUUUUAAAGUUUUUCGACACAGUUUUAUUUCAAAAUGGAUAAAAUAAGCACACAAAUAAUAAUAAUAAUAGUAGAUGAACAAAAUAAUAAAUUAAAAAGAAAUAAGAACAAUUAAAUAACACAACUAAUUAAGAGAAAAAUAAAAAGAUAAAAUCUGAAAUUUGUGAUGAAAUCAUAAACUAACUUUAUCUUUAAUUGUUUGAGAAUUUAAGCAAUGAGUAGUACUAGGGGUGUUUAGAACCCAAUCCGAUCCAUUAAAUCCAUAUGGUCCGCAGAAAUCCGAUCCAUAAAAAUCCGAUCUCUGGAUUGGUGGAUUGGAUUAGAUUUGAAAAUUUGAAAAUCCACAAUCAUUAUAUUGGAUAUUGAUUUACUUAUGUGAAUUCGCAAAAAUUAAACUUGUAAAUAUGAGAUUGUACUUACUAAUAAAUAAAUAAGUUAAAAUAUACAUUAACACCAUAUUAAGUCUUAUCUGAUAAUAAUAUAAAAUAAAAAUAAUUAAAUAAAAAAACAUAGCUUCCCAAGCAAUUAAUUUUUAUGUAUUGAUCUAAACAAAUGAGAUUUUUUUUCUUUUUGGUGUGUUAUAUUUUAAAAAUUUGAAUGUAUUUUCUAACUUUAUUUACAUAAUUUAUUUAUUUAAAUAUUAUUUAAUUUUAGUAACUUGGGUGGCCAGACCUUGCCAUUGACUCCAAAUAUAACAUAAAGAUAGGAAAGAUUGAAAAAGAAAGUGAAGGCAUACCUUUGUGUCUUUAUAUCUUUAAUUAUUAAGGGUGGGUAAUUUCGUGUUUGGUUUAGUUCGGAUUAGCCCUUAGAAAUUUAUCGAAUUGAAAGUUAGAAAUAGAUCGAAUUAAAAUAAGGUUCCGAAACCGAUUUGCCCACCUGUUUAAUUUCCAUCUCAAUGAUAACAAGUUAAGUGAUGUCAAAAAUCUUCCAUCAUUACAAGACAACUACAAAAAUGAAAUGCGAAUUUAUAUAAAGAAUCUAUAAUAUUAUUAUAACUGGCUUAAGAGAAAAUCUUAAAUCAUAAAGAAUAUAAUGAUUAUUAAAAUUAAUUAAAAUAAAGAAACACCCAAAAAAAUAAAAUAAAGAUAGAAAAUAUUUGAAUACAUAAUUAAUUAAUUAUCGGCAAUCCCUAAGUUACGUUAAAUGUAACUUACAGCCUAAAAAAUCUAAACCACUCAAUGUGUUAAUGGUGUGUUUACUUCAUAGAAUGGGGAAUGAGAAUGAAGGAAUGUGAAUGAAACUCAUGUUUGUUUGACAAAAUGUAAUUUGGGAAUGGAAAUAAAAUGUGUGGGUCCCACAUAAUUUGGGAAUAAGGAAUGAGAAUCUCAUUCACAUGGGGUGGUUGGAAAUGAAAAUGAGUAAAUGAGAAUUGAAUAUAUGUUUACUUUUGUAUCCCUCUAAUUUUUUUUCAUAUUUUCUAAAUUACCAUCAUUCAAAUCACAAUUAAUUUUAUUAUUUUAAAUGUCAUUAAUAAUAAUAAUAAUUAUUAUUAUUAUUAAUAUUAUCAUUAUUAACAAUAAAAAUAAUGAUAAAAAUAGUAAUUAAUAAAAAUAAUUAAUUUAUCAUUUUUAACAAUAUUAUCAUUAUUGUUGUUAUUAUUAUUAUUAUUAUUAUUAAUAAUUAAUAAUAACUAAAAUAGUAAAGUUAAUAAAAUUUAAUAAUAAUAAUAAUAAUAAUAAUAAUGUAAUUUUCAUUAUCUAGAUACAUGUAUAAAUAUUAUUAUAAAAAUGAUAUUAAUUAAAAUAAUAAUAAUAAUAAUAAAUGUUAAUAAUGAUAAUAUUAAUAAAAUAAUAAAGUUAAUAAAAUUUAAUAAUAAUAGUAACAAUAACAACAAUAAUGAUAAUAUUGUUAAUAAUGAUAAAUUAAUUAUUUUUAUUAAUUUUAAUACUAUGGGUAUUUUAGUAAAUUGAUUCUCAUUCUCAUUCCUCAUUUCCAUUUAUUUUGUAAAGCAAACACAUCAAUAACAUUCCAGCACAUUCCGAUUCCCAUUUAUUUUUGCCAAGUAAACAUUGAAAUCUCAUUCCCAUUUCAGCCCAUUCUCAUUUCACUCCAUUCCCAUAAAACGCACCAUUAAAUGUCAUCCAAUGGAUAAUGUUUAAUUUGUCCAAAAGCAGUAACGAAUGGAAACUGGCUGAAUUGGUUAAUGAUGGGCAACCUAAUCAAAAGGUUUGAAAACUAUUUGUGAAGUAUAAAAAUCAAAACUCUUAAGAGGGAAUGUUCCAGGGUUUAUGAAAAGGGGGAAAAAUUAAAAAUUGAAGAGUGUUGAUUCAGGCCUUUAGGGAUUGUAAAGUUAUAGAAUCAAUUAAAGUAAAAUAAAUUAAAAACUUUUGAAUACAAUAAGAUAGUAAUUAGAGUAAAUAUUUUUUUUAAUUCAAUUAUUUGGAGUACAUUAAUACUUUUGACAGCAACAAAUAGAAUUCAAAUCAUUACUGAAAUAUAAUAUCCAUUUUUUUAACUAUUUGAAUUUAGUUUCAUUAAAAGAAUAUGUUAUAUUGUGAAUCAUUUACUCUUAAGCAAUAAAUUUUGAAGUAUAGCCACAUAUUCAAUUGAAAUUGCUAGUAAAUUUACAAAUAAAAAAAUGAUAUAUAAUAAUCCAAAAUUAAUAUUAUUAAACUGGGACAAAUAAAACGCUGCUAAAUUUUUUGUUAUUGUAUUUAAUCAUUUAAAAAAAAAGUUAUAAUAUGAGACACUUACAAUUAACAUUAGUAUAUAUUGGAUUGUAAACACUAUGGAUGCCUUUAGCACAUUGUUUUGUACUAUGUUGUUUUAACUAUAUUGUAUAAUAUUGUAUUGUAAUAAGGUAUAUCACAGUUUGGCAUAAUAUGAACUCUAUUAUAGAAAAUAGUAUUAGUUUAUAUUAAUGUUCAAAUUAAAUUAAUAUGAUUUUUAAUUCAUUAGUAUUUUAGGGGUUUAUUAUUAAUUUUGAAAUUCAGUGUAAAAUAGUUAUUUUUAUAAUAAAAAUGAUUUAAUAAUAAAAUAUUAUUAAAUAAUAAAAUAUUACAAUAUUAUGUUAUUUAUUAAUAAUUUUAUAUUUAUUUUAUUUAUUAAUAAUGUUAUAUAAUAAUAUAAUUUAUUUCUAUUUAUUAGUUAGUAUAAGAUAGGAUAAUAAUGUAGAAUAUAAUUAUUUAAUUUAAAUUUAUUUUUAAAUUUAGUGUGUUUGUAAAUAAUAAAUGAUUAUAUAAAUUUACAAAUUUAUUUUUACUUAGUAUAAUGAUAACAAAAUGGUUCUAUGUAAUGAAAAUAAAAUAACUUAUUAUUAUUUGUUUAUUAGAUAUAUAUUUUGGUUUAUGACUAUCUUAUAUUAUUAUUUAAAUUAUUAUAUUUAUUUACAUGUAAAUUUAUUAAAUUUAGAAUUUAUUAAAUAAUAAAAAAUUAAGAGAUUAUAUUUAAAAUAUGAAUAGUAUUUUGAUACAAUACAACCUAGAUUGCACCUUCAUAAGCUUAUUAAAUGAAUUUUUGUACACGAUUUAACUUAUUAUGUAUUGAAAUAUGUAUCAUCACUAUAUCAAUUAAGAAAGAGAUUACAUAAAUCAAAAUUAUUUUAAAUAAAAGUAAUUGAAUAUAUAUAUAUAUAUAUAUCUAUGUAUGUAUGUACGUACAUACGUACGUAUGUAUUAAAACAAUUGAUACUGUUAGUUAUAAUAUUUGAAUUAUGUUGUAUACUAGAGAAUAAAGAAAAAUUACAUUCUUACUUUGAAUAUGACGUCGAAUCCGAAAAAUCAUUACCAUUAAAGUAUGAUGACUAUUAACUUAAAAUUGUAUACUGAAGAAUAAAAAAAAAUUACAUUCUUAUUUUGAGUAUGAAAUCGAACCCGAAAAAUCAUUAUCAUUAAAGUAUGACCAUUAACUUAAAAUUGUACAUUGGAGAAUAAAGAAAAUUACAUUCUUACAAAAAUCAUUACCAUUAAAGUAUGACUAUUAACUUAAAAUUGCAAUCAUUAAACUUAAAAUCAUUGAGUAUUUUCUGAAAACAUUAAUAUUGAACCUAAAAAAUACAUGAAAUCUAGGACCACCAACUUAAAAUUGUAUUAUUAACUAGAGCAUUACAAGAACUCAUUGUCAUUGAACUUGAUAAUUCUACCAUUAAAUAUGAAAUUAAUGCUAAUAUGAAGUGUAGGACCAUCAACUUAAAAUUAUAAUCAUUAAAUUUUGAAUAUUUCUAAAUUAAGUUUAAUUUGUCUUUGCGAUGAACAUAUUCUACGGGCCUUAAAAAAACUAAAUAAAGGUUAAUUUAGCAUUUAAAAUUGAUUUAAACAGUGUAAGGAUAAUAUCUAAUAAUAGUAUUAAAAAUCUUAGUAUCUAAAUUUCAAUUAUUAUGUCUCAUUUAUUGUAUAUAGAAUACCCAUAAAGAACAAAAAAUAUAAAAGAAAAGAAAUCCAGAUGACAAAGACACCAUAAUUUCAGUAAGUUAUGUGCAACCAACUGUAAUGGGUGAAAAGAAUUGUUACCGGAUUGGAACCGGAUGAGGCAAUUAUCAAAUCAUUAAACUUUUACACAUGGCGCGCUCUUAAGAUAUCUUUUGUCAUAUCAUGGGCUGUUACAUACAGAAGCAGUAACUAAUAAAGGAGCUAGCUAAGGUACUGUCAAAAAAAUGGGCUAUCUAGAUGGUCAACACCAUCUUUCGUUGGAAAAGAAAACAAAAGAAGAAUGGAGAAUGAGGAGCCGCAAUCUAAAAGCUGUAAAUGUUUGAAGAAGAAAUAAGAGGCACACGGCUUUGACAAAAGAAAGAAGAAAAAAUAUAUAUAUAUAAUUGAUGAAUAGUGCCAAAGCUUUCUUUAUAAAUAGAAACGAAGAGAAUGAGCAAAUUCAUUUCAUUCAGAGAGCAAUUUAGGGAGUUGAGAGAGAGUUCAAGAGCUUGCAUUUAUAAGCUCUUGUUACAGUGAUUGAGAGAGUUUGUGUGUAUUGGGGUUUUGGGUAGUGAGCUAAAAUACUACAAUACUUAUAACUCCUUUUCACUAAUAAAAUAUUUCCUUCUGUUUUCGCCCGUGGACGUAGGCUAAAAGCCGAACCACGUAAUUUCUAGUGUCCUCUAUAGUGCUUGUUCUUUAUUUUCUUACAAUUUCAUCUUAGCUGCGGUCCUGCUUCACCCACCAAUUUCUUAACAGUGGUAUCAGAGCUAUUGGUUGUAUUUUUUGGAGUCAGGAACUGUUCACGUAAGGGGUACUAUUCACGUAUACGGCACUAUACACGUAUACGAUACUAUUUCACGUAUACGGUAUUGUUCACGUAUACGGUUUUGUUCACAUAUAUGGUACUAUUCACGUAUACGGUACUAUUCACGUGAAACGGUGGGAGCGAUCCAAGAAUUUUACGGUGCAAAGCAGGGAAUAGUGGUGUGAGUAAAGCAACUGUGUGGUUUUGUACAUGUCUAGGAAAGUUCUGUCACAAAGGCGAUAAGAGCUUAAGGAGUCUGGGUUUUAAGUGGGACCAUUGUGACCCCUCCAGUCUUUCCUGGGAACUUUCCUGGUGUGCAUUCUCACACAUACUCACAACUAUUCAAGGUGGUAUACUAGCUUGUGUGCAGUAUUUAUCAACAAAAUGGCGGCAAAGUAUGAAAUUGAGAAAUUUAACGGAAAUAAUUUUUCGUUGUGGAAAAUGAAGAUGAAAGCUAUAUUGAGGAAAAAUAAUUGCUUGGCAGCAAUUGGAGAAAGGCCCAUGGAGAUAACUGAUGACAAGUGGAACGAGGUAGACGGCAACGCCAUUUCUGAUCUACACUUGGCACUUGCAAAUGGAGUAUUAUCCAGUGUGGCAGAGAAAAAUACGGCGAAGGAAAUAUGGGAUACUCUCACAAAAUUGUACGAGGCCAAGUCAUUACACAAUAAAAUCUUCUUGAAGAGGAAACUCUAUACUCUUCGAAUGACGGAAUCUACAAUAGUGACUGACCACAUCAACACCUUGAAGACUCUAUUUUCACAACUCACAACGUUGGGUCAUAAUAUAGAGGAAAAUGAACGUGCAGAGCUUCUACUUCAAAGUCUACCAGAUUCGUAUGAUCAACUCAUCAUCAACCUGACGAACAAUAAUCCAGCGGACAGUCUAGUUUUCAACGAUGUUGCAGCCUCCGUAUUAAAUGAGGAGAGCAGGCGGAAAAACAAGGAAAAUAGACAAGCAAGUUCGCAGCAAGCAGAAGCGCUAUCGGUGACGAGAGGGAGAUCAACGGAACGUGGCCCCAGUGGGAGUCAAAAUCAUGGUAGAUCAAAAUCCAGAAGUAAGAAGAAUGUUAAAUGCUAUAACUGUGGCAAGAAAGGGCACGUAAAAAAAGAGUGUUGGAGUAACUAGAAGAGAAGAGAGGGUAAAGAACCUGAGUCAUCAAAUGCUCAGGGGUGUGUAGCAAGUACCUCGGAUGAUGGCGAAAUUCUCUACAGUAAGGCAACAACUGUUUCAGAAGGCAGAAAACGACUUUCUGAUGUCUGGCUUAUAGACUCAGGAGCUACCUGGCACAUGACCUCUAGGAGAGAAUGGUUCCACACAUAUGAACCUAUCUCAGGAGGAUCUGUAUAUAUGGGUAACGAUCAUGCCUUGGAGAUCGCUGGUAUUGGUACUAUCAAAAUAAAAAUGUUUGAUGGUACAAUUCGCACAAUUGGGGAAGUACGACAUGUCAACGGCUUGAAGAAAAAUCUAUUGUCUUUGGGACAAAUAGAUAGUCAUGGGUAUAAAACUCAUGUGGAGAAUGGAAUAAUGAAGAUCGUUAAAGGUGCGCUUGUAUUGAUGAAGGCAGAAAAGAUCGGUGCUAAUUUAUUCAUGCUUAAAGGAGAAACACUACAGGAGGCUGAUGCGUGUGUCGCGUCAAAUGGAGAAGAGUCAACGAUGAUGUGGCAUCUCAAACUUGGUCACAUGUCAGAACAAGGUUUGAAGAUUCUCUCUGAGCAAAAAUUGCUUCCAGGGCUCAAAUCGGUAAGUUUACCAUUUUGCGAGCAUUGUGUUAUAAGUAAGCAGCAUAGAUUAAAAUUCAAUAGAUCUAUUGCUAGAAGUAAAUGCAUUCUAGACUUGAUUCAUUCUGAUGUUUGGGAAUCACCGGAUAUAUCUAUGGGAGGUGCAAAGUACAUGGUGACUUUCAUUGAUGAUUAUUCCAGAAGAUGUUGGGUGUAUCCAAUUAAGAAAAAGUCAGAUGUAUUUCCUGUGUUUAAAGAAUACAAAGCGCGGGUGGAACUUGAAUUUGGUAAAAAGAUCAAGUGCUUGAGGACGGAUAAUGGUGGAGAGUAUACAGACGGUGAGUUUCUUGCUUUCUGUAAGCAAGACGGUAUUCAGAGGCAGUUCACGGUGGCAUACACUCCUCAACAAAACGGAGUGGCAGAGCGGAUGAACAGAACUCUUACAGAAAGAAUAAGAGCUAUGUUGAAGACUGCUGGUCUACCCAAUUCAUUCUGGGCAGAAGCAGCCAAAACUGCCUGUUAUAUAAUAAAUCGGUCACCAUCUACAGCAAUUGGGUUGAAGACGGCGAUGGAGAUGUGGACUGGAAAGCCAGCUGAUUAUUCCUACCUACAUGCAUUUGGAUGUCCUGGGUACGUGAUGUACAAUGCCCAAGAAAGAACAAAGCUGGAUGCAAAAUCUAGAAGAUGUAUCUUCUUGGGAUAUGCUGAUGGAGUAAAGGGGUAUCGUCUGUGGGACCCCACUGCCCACAAGAUCGUCAUCAGCAGAGAUGUUAUCUUUAUAGAAGAGCAACUGCAAAUGAGAGAUGAGGAUGAUAGCACUGUAAAAGAAAAGUCAGAGACUGUGCCGGUAUAUGUAGAAAAUAAUCCAGAAGAUUCAGAUUCUUCGGAAGCAGCACCAGAGCACGAGGAACAAGAACCAGUCGAGUCUGAGGCUCCAGAAGUUCGUCGGUCAACUCGUGAGAGACGACCGCCAACGUGGCACUCGGAGUAUGUCACAGAGAUCAACGUUGCGUACUGUCUUCUAACAGAGGAUGGAGAGCCAUCAACUUUCCAUGAAGCUUUAGAAAGCUCAGAUGUUGCUUUGUGGAUGACAGCAAUGCAGGAAGAAAUUGAAGCUCUACACAAGAACAAGACAUGGGAACUUGUACCACUACCACGUGGAAGAAAAGCCAUUGGAAACAAAUGGGUCUACAAGAUCAAACGUGAUGGCAAUGACCAAGUGGAGCGGUAUCGUGCAAGAUUGGUGGUGAAAGGAUAUGCUCAGAAAGAAGGUAUUGACUUCAACGAGAUAUUUUCUCCGGUGGUUCGACUCACAACAGUCAGAGUAGUCUUGGCGAUGUGUGCUACAUUUGACUUACAUCUAGAGCAGUUAGAUGUGAAAACUGCAUUUCUUCAUGGAGAACUUGAAGAAGAAAUAUAUAUGCUCCAACCAGAAGGUUUUGCAGAAACAGGAAAGGAGAACUUGAUUUGCAGGUUGAACAAAUCUCUAUACGGUCUCAAACAGGCGCCGAUGUGUUGGUAUAAGAGAUUUGAUUCCUUCAUCAUGAGCCUUGGGUACAACAGACUCAGUUCAGACCAUUGUGCAUAUUACAAGAGGUUUGAAGAUAAUGAUUUCAUCAUUUUGCUGUUGUAUGUGGAUGACAUGUUGGUAGCAGGUCCCAACAAAGAUCGAGUCCAAGAAUUGAAGGCACAGUUGGCUAGGGAGUUUGAAAUGAAGGACUUGGGACCAGCAAACAAGAUUUUAGGGAUGCAAAUUCACCGAGACAGAAAUAAUAGGAAGAUUUGGCUUUCGCAGAAGAAUUAUUUGAAGAAAAUCUUGCGGCGCUUCAACAUGCAAGAUUGUAAGUCAAUUUCUACCCUACUUCCUGUUAAUUUCAAAUUAUCCUCAAGUAUGUGUCCUAGCAAUGAAGCAGAGAGGAAGGAGAUGUCUCGAGUACCGUAUGCAUCAGCAGUGGGAAGUUUGAUGUUCGCUAUGAUAUGUACAAGACCAGACAUUGCACAAGCAGUGGGAGCAGUUAGUCGAUACAUGGCGAAUCCUAGUGGAGAGCAUUGGAUAGCUGUGAAGAGGAUUCUGAGAUACAUCAGAGGAACCUCAGACGUUGCAUUAUGUUAUGGAGGAUCAGAGUUUACUGUCAGGGGCUAUGUGGAUUCAGAUUUUGCAGGAGAUCUUGAUAAAAGGAAAUCCACUACUGGUUAUGUGUUUACACUUGCGGGAGCAGCUGUAAGCUGGGUUUCGAAACUGCAGACCGUUGUGGCAUUAUCUACAACAGAAGCAGAGUACAUGGCAGCUACACAAGCUUGCAAGGAAGCUAUUUGGAUACAAAGGUUAUUGGAGGAGCUCGGGCACAAACAACAGAAAAUUCAUGUGUUUUGUGACAGUCAGAGUGCCUUGCACAUUGCAAGGAAUCCUGCCUUUCAUUCCAAGACAAAGCACAUAGGAGUUCAGUAUCACUUCGUUCGAGAAGUAGUGGAAGAUGGAAGUGUGGAUUUACAGAAAAUCCAUACGAAGGAGAACCUAGCAGAUGUUUUGACCAAGCCAAUAAAUACUGAUAAGUUUGUCUGGAGUAGAUCCUCUUGUGGCCUAGCAGCAACGUAGGCAACAUGACUAUGGCGAAACAGAAAGGAUGGUGUGGAGAUUGAUUGGUCCUUAAUCUAAUCUCCAAGUGGGAGAAAUGUCAAAAAAAUGGGCUAUCUAGAUGGUCAACACCAUCUUUCGUUGGAAAAGAAAACAAAAGAAGAAUGGAGAAUGAGGAGCCGCAAUCUAAAAGCUGUAAAUGUUUGAAGAAGAAAUAAGAGGCACACGGCUUUGACAAAAGAAAGAAGAAAAAAAAUAUAUAUAUAAUUGAUGAAUAGUGCCAAAGCUUUCUCUAUAAAUAGAAACGAAGAGAAUGAGCAAAUUCAUUCCAUUCAGAGAGCAAUUUAGGGAGUUGAGAGAGAGUUCAAGAGCUUGCAUUUAUAAGCUCUUGUUACAGUGAUUGAGAGAGUUUGUGUGUAUUGGGGUUUUAGGUAGUGAGCUAAAAUACUACAAUACUUGUAACUCCUUUUCACUAGUAAAAUAUUUCCUUCUGUUUUCGCCCGUGGACGUAGGCUAAAAGCCGAACCACGUAAUUUCUGGUGUCCUCUAUAGUGCUUGUUCUUUAUUUUCUUACAAUUUCAUCUUAGCUGCGGUCCUGCUUCACCCACCAAUUUCUUAACAGGUACAACUUCUGUACCUUACAGACUAGCUUAGCCAGCUCCCGAAGGGUGCCAUCCAUUUGCGUGCUUUGUCUUCACAUACGGGGACACGUGGAGCGCAUGGAGUGCGGGUGUAUGUUACACAAUCUGUAACAUAUACACCCCCCAUAAUGAAUUAUCUAUUAGAUUUUUUUUUUUUUGAAAUGAAAAUAUAGCUUUCAAUGAUUGAAACUGGGAAAUAAGGACACAAUUUGCGGAGGGAAUGAUCCCUCCCAAAAAACAGAGGAAUUAUCUAUUAGAUUAGAAUUCUUUGAAUAUAAAAUUAAAAGUGAUGAAAUUACAUUAUUUGGUAAUACAAUCAGAAGUUACGUGGUUAUUUAAUUCUCGAAUGAAGCGUAGACAAAGAAUCUUUGUUUAUAUUAUUUAAUCAACAAUUAUAGACAUACAACGUACCAUGUAAUAUGCAAUAAUUGAAUGUGUUCAUUUCUUAUUUAAAUGAUAAAUUUUAUUUGGCACCAUACAAAAUUGAUAUUUUAACUUUGUCAAAAUAUCAAUACCUUUAUGUAAUUGUCAAAAUGGUCUAGGCCAAACUUAUCAUUUAGCUGAGUAAUAUACAGUACAAUAAUGAACUAUCAAAUAAAUUUUUUUUAAAGAUAAUGACGAAUAAAAGUCUUUAAAAGAUAAAGACUCAAAAGAGAGGUAGUCCAUUGUAUGGUAGGAUGUGGCCAGGUGAAAAAAAGUGCAUACGGAUAAAAUUGUGCGGUCUAUGGAUUGUCGUAGAAUAGUCUAUAAAUGGGAGGCCAAGUCUAUUUGUUGUGAAGCGAUGCCGCUGAAAACAACAGGAAAGAACGCCUCCUCCGUAUAAUUCCCUGUCAUUUUCUUUAAGCAACAGAGCUCACAGGGAAACAUGUUACUAGCGGCGGCAGCGGCGGCGGGAGGUUGGACCGGCUUAAUCAUAUUUGGGGUUUUAGAUAAAUGAUUUUAGAUUAUUUUUGGUAUUAAAAUAUUAUAACUUUUAAAACAUAGUUACUGUGAAAAAAAUGUAAUUAUGAUAUCAAAGUUAAGAGUAUGCAGUAAAUAUAAUUUUUAAAUAUUAAUUUUGAUAAAAUUAGUAAAGAUAUAAUAAAUUUUUCAUCAUAUAAAUAUAAAUUAAAUUAAUUUAGCUUUCAAUUUAUAACAACUAAUAUUUACCAAAUACUAAUACUGUACCAAACACUUUAAUGUUAUAGUUUUUAAACUACAGUCGCCCAACCUCAAUUCUAAACAGGUCUUAACUAGAUAUCUUAAGAUUUGAGGAAAAAAAAAUAUUAGUUAUAUUAUAAAUUUUAUUUAUUUAAAAUCAAUUCUUACAACGUUCUAAAAUGUCAAAUUAUUAAAUAAAAUUCUAUUCUACUACUGCUAAUCUAUGAAAUUUUAAUUCAAUUAUAUCAUUUUCACUUAUUGUUUCUUUACUCAAAUUACAUCUUUUUUACCACUCUUUUUUUUAGAUUAAACUAAUUUUCCUAUUUUCUAUUUUUUAAAGUUUUUCGACACAGUUUUAUUUCAAAAUGGAUAAAAUAAGCACACAAAUAAUAAUAAUAAUAGUAGAUGAACAAAAGAAUAAAUUGAAAAGAAAUAAGAAUAAUUAAAUAACACAACUAAUUAAGAGAAAAAUAAAAAGAUAAAAUUUGAUAUUUGUGAUGAAAUCAUAAACUAACUUUAUCUUUAAUUGUUUGAGAAUUUAAGCAAUGAGUAGUACUAGGGAUGUUCAGAAUCCAAUCCGAUCCAUUAAAUCCAUAUGAUCCGUAGAAAUUCAAUCCAUAAAAAUCGAUCUCUGGAUUGGUGGAUUGGAUUAGAUUUGAAAAUUUAAAAAUCCACAGUCAUUAUAUUGGAUAUGGAUUUACUUCUGUGAAUUCGCAAAAAUUUGCGAAUCCGUAAAAAAAAAUAAAAAUUAAACUUGUAAAUAUGGAAUUAUACUUACUAAUAAAUAAAUAAGUUAAAAUAUACAUUAACAUCAUAUUAAAUCUUAUCCGAUAAUAAUAUAAAAUAAAAAUAAUUAAAUAAAAAUCAGUAUUAUCGCAAUGUGGGCUCAUUCAGUUAUUGGAUCGACUAAUGAGAUACAACCUAAAUAGAAAAUAUGCAACGCUCUUAGUUAUUACGUACAGAAGGUAACAAAAUUCUACUCUGCCACUUCCUCCUGCCUUCGACAGUGGCUUCUCGACGAUCUUUUGUUAUAGGCGUUGGCACAAAUAAAGGAUGUUGAUAAUUUAGGGAAAAAAUUAAAUAAAUAAAUAAAAACGGUUGAUUAAUGCUGUCGGUAAUAAAAUAGUGUUGGAUGGGUAGACUUGCGCCUUGACGCAAAAUACUGGAAAGAACAAGGGAACCUGUAAUUCUUGAUAUCUAUGAUGGAGGUGUUGUGAUUUUUCUGCUACCGUGGCUGUUGUAAAAGAAAAAAUAUAUAAUUAUAAAAUAAAAAUUAAUAGUAUAUAAUAAAUAUAAUUUUUAAAUAAUAAUUUUAAUAAAAUUAAAAAAUAUAAUAAAUUUUUAUUAUAUAAAUAUAAAAUUAAUUUAAUUUAAUUUUUAAAUUAUAAUAAUUAAUAUUUAUUAAAUACUUUAAUAUUAUAAUUUUUAUGUUAUAAUUAUUCGAUCUCAAUUUCGAACAGCACCUUAAUCGAAUUAGUUGGCAUCGAGAUUCUUCUCCAACUAGAGAGGAACGUCAAUGGGGUUCAAUUGUUCAAACAAGUCCACGCACUUUUUCUCAUUUGUUUGUCUUUUUUAUACGUGACAAUUUCGUAUUUGGUUUGUCAACAUUUAUAUAUACACAUACCAUAGACUUUAUAUUUAUAUUAAUGCAUGUGUUACUAUUCAUUAAUAAAAAUAUGCUUAAAAAAUGAUAAACACCAAGGUUAAUAUCUUUGACGAAUUCAUAAAUUAUUUAAAAAGUAUCAUAAUUUAUUAUUAUAUUAUUAUAUUUUUAAACAACUUUCCAUUUUACUACAUUUCACUUAAUACUGUUGGUCCUUAACUGUUACUAAUUGUAAGGUGACAGCUAAUGAAGCCAAUCCUAACAGAAAGUCGUUCAACGUCGAUGUCAUACCGACAUUGAAGGGGUAAAAAUGAGUUCACAUAUAAAACCAAGAUCAAAUCUUGUAAGCUAUUAUCGUUAAUUAUUGAAUAAAUCAAACAUGUUAAUCCAAUUUGGUGGUGUACACGUGCGAACAUAGAGAAGGUUGAAAAUUUAAGAUGUGGUCCAAUUUUAAAUUAUAACUCCGAAUUUCAAACGUUGAUAAUAUUCACAACAGUAAAAAAUUUUAAAAUAUAUUCGAGGUAAUACAAUCAACUAAUAUAUAUAUGAUAUGUGUAUUUAGAUUUAAGGGAAAAGGACACAGAGACCCCCAACGUUUGAAUAAGGGACACAAAACUCCCUAAUGUUUCAAAAAAGACACUCAGACCCCCAUUUGCUAACAGUAAAUUAUAAUUUUACCAUUAUACCCUUAUAGCAUAUUAAAAAAUAAUUGCUCAUUAUCCAAUUUAUUUCUAUAUUAUUAAUAAAAUUACGAAUAUAACUUCAUUACCCAAUUUUUUCAUUUAUUUUUUAUCAAAUUUUAUCUUCAAACUAAAUAAAUUUAAUCCAUUGCUCAAAAAUAAAAAUAAAUUAAAUUGAUUAUUAAUAUAAUAAAAAUAACAAUUCUCCAUAUGUUAUUUCUUAUAAUUUCUUAUAUAUAAAUUAAAUUGGUAAUAUCUUAAAAAUAACAAUUCUCCAUAUAUAAAUUAAAUUUAUUUUAAUUUAAUAUAUGUUAUUUUUAUAUUAAAUAUAUGUUAUUUUUAUUAUAUUAGUAAUCAAUUUAAUUUAUUUUUAUUCUUGAGUAAUGGAUUAAAUUUAUUUAGUUUGAAGAGAAAAUUUGACAAAAAUUAAAUGAAAAAAUUAGAUAAUGAAGUUAUAUUCGUAAUUUUAUUAAUAAUAUAAGAAUAAAUUGGAUAAUGAACAAUUAUUUUUAAUAUGCUAUAAGGGUAUAAUGGUAAAAUUAUAAUUUACUGUUAACAAAUGGGGGUCUGAGUGUCUUUUUUGAAACAUUAGGGAGUUUUGUGUCCCUUAUUCAAACGUUGGGGGUCUCUGUGUCCUUUUCCCUAGAUUUAAUAUAACCACACUUGAAUGAUAAUAUUUUGAAAUAAAUGCACACAUGUCAUAAUAUGAUUUAUUUAUUAUAGAUUGAUAUAAUAUCUCUAAUGUAUUUUAAAAUUUCUCAACGACAGGAGAUUUUGCUGAAUUUUGAAAUAUUAAGAGGUUUUCGCUAUAUUUUAAUAAAUAAGAAGGAGGUUUUACUCAUUUCCUUUAAAUUAAUUUUGUAAACUAAGGUCCAUUAUAUCCAAUAUUACUUUUGCAACAAGCCCGCUUACCACAUCGCCAUUAGCUGAUAGCUAUUUACUGUUUAGAGCAUUUGCCUGAUGGUUAAUAAUCUUUUUUCCUUCAUAGAUAGAAUGACUUUGAAUUUUAUUAAAAACCUCAUAUAUUUUAUUAAUAUAUUUUAUGUAAGUGUGAAGUGCACUUGUAUCGGGUGCUCCGAUAGUAAUUUAAAUGAGAGUAAACUCUAAUUUAAAUUAUGGAAAAAAAACAUUUAUAUUAUUUAAUUAAUACAAAUGUUUAGGCUUAGGAGAAGGUGUUCUUUUUUUUUUUUAAUACAAGAAUUCUCAUAUAAAUAAGUAAAUAACAUCUCAAAAAUAACAAGUGUUAUGAAAAAUCUUCCAUCCUUGAAAAAAAAAAAUUACGAGAAUGAAUUGGAAAUUUAGCUAAAACAUAUACAGAUUUAUUAUAAUUAAUUUUGGAGAAAAUCUUACAAGUAGAUCCUACUUUAGAAUUCAUAAAUUCUAAUAUUUAAAAAAUAAAUGUUUUGCUAAACGACAUCAUAAUUUAAGUCGUUGGUCCUACCUUCAGCUGAAGUGAUAGACUGAUAGGGCGGCCGAUAGAAUUUUCUCCCGUAAGUAGCGACAUAAUAUCUUAGAUUCGAAAUCUUUAAAGACAAAAUUAGAAAGUGGUGUAAUUAUAAUAUUUGGUACAAAUGUGGCAAAAUAUAAUGGGAUAAGUCCAUUGAAGCCAGGUGAUCUCGUGAACAACGUGUGAUCUAUCACUAUGUAUUGUCGUGGAGAAUGAGAAGUGUCUAGUUGUAUUGAUGAUAUCGGUAAUAAAAUAAUAUGUAUUGAUGAUAUCGGUAAUAAAAUAAUCCUGGAUGGCUAGACUUGGGCGUUGACGCCGAUUACAACGAAAAGAGAGAAAAGAUUGAAAACGAAGGUAAAAUAUCUUUAAAUAAUUUUAAAUCUCCAUCUCAAUGAUAAAAAGUUUAAGUGAAGUUAAAAAUCUCCCUUUAUUACAAAACAAUUACGAAGAUGAAGUACAAACUUAGAUAAAUAAAGUAUCUAUAAUAUUAUUAUAAAUGGCUUAAGAGAAGAUCUUAUACCUUAAAGAACAUUAUAAUUAUUAAAUAAAACAAAUAAACAACCCAAUAAAAUAAAAAAUAAAAAAUAAAAUAGAGACGGAGAAUCUUUGAAUACAUGAUUAAUUAAGUAAGCGCUGUGUCUGGUAGUCCACCACAACUACACUGACAUGAUGAGAUCGGCAAAACAACGGCAUAAAAUGAGUUGUCGGUCCUUUCAUUGACCAAGAUGGCAGGCUGGUCCAUAGAAUUGUUUCUGAAUUGUCUAUUAGAUUAGGGACUCGACUAGCUUACAGAAUCUGUAAGGUACAGACUGCAGCAUCAGCCGUUGGAUGUGGUUGGAUGUGGAGUGAGAAACUGAACAAUAGAAAAUCGGAUGGUGGGAUGACGGGAGAUGUUUGUUACAGAAUCUGUACCAUAGACAGGUCCUUAGAUUAGAAUUCUUUGAAGAUAGAAUAAAAAGUGACAUCAUUACAUACAACGCACCAUGUGAUCCGUAAUUAUUGAACAUCAUCAUUUCCUAUUUAAAUGAUAAAUUUUAAGUGAUACCAUACAAAAUUUAUAUUUCAACUUAUUUCAACUUUAUAAGGAUAUCACUACUUAAUUUACUUUUAUGUAGAGUUAACAAAAUGAAUAAUCGGGUCGAAUUCGUAUCGUGUUAAAUUUAGAUAGACUUAAAUAUAUCUCAUUUAAAAAUAAUGUUAAAAUAUUAAAACUCAAAUUCAAUAUGAAAAAUAAAUGGAUUAUCUAAUAAAAUAUUAAAACUCAAAUUUAAUAUGAAAAAUAAACGGAUUAUCUAAUAACACACUUAAUAUUUAUAUAUUUAAUAAAAUUUAUAUUAAAUAUUUGCUUUCAUAUAUAUAGACACACACACACACACACACACACCAAAAAUAGUAUACAUUUUCAAUAUUGAAGUUUUAAUUAUAUAUAUGUAAAUAAUAUUAUAUAUCAAUAUUAUAAAAUAUGCAAAUCUACCUACAUUUUUCACAUUUACACUAUUAAAAUUUUAUAAAUGAAACGUUGUGUAUAUAUCCAUCCUUUCAAAAAAAGAAUAAAAAAAGAGAAUUAUGUUCAAUAUUUCAAUUUUAAUGGCAAAAACUUAGAAAUUAAUUUAAAAUAAAAAAUAUAAUUGUAUUAUUAGUUGGAUAAAUGCGUUAAGAACUUUAAUCUUAAUCCGACAAAGAAAAAAGCAUGUUGACUUAGACCUGAUUCAUUGAUAAUCGUAUCAAAUUUAAUAAUUUAUAUACAUUUAUUUAUAUUGAAUAAUCGAGUUCUGUAUCAAAUUUUGCCAGCCUUACUUUAAUAUAAUUAUAAAAAGGAUCCCCGUAUCUUACAUACAUGUAAGAUACAUCUCUCUCAUAUAAACAGUGCGUGGGCUCCAUACAUACACUGUUUAUGUGAAAGAAAUAUAUCUUACAUGUAUGUAAGAUAGAGAUUACCUUGUAAAAAUACUCUAGGUCAAAUUUAUCAGUUAGCUGAGUAAUACACCGUACAAUAAUGAACUGACAAAUAAAAUUCUUUAAGGAUAGACUCAAAAGAGAGAGUUACAGGGGGAUCGGACAUCAAAACAAAUUUGUGAACCUAUUGUGCCAGUUUGGAUCUUUUUAUUUAGCUGGAAAAGAAAAAGCAAAAUAAUAAUGGAACAAAGUAUGAUAAAAUCAUGACAAAAAUCUUUUUUAUGAAUUUUUAAAAUUUUCUUUCGUAAUUUAACAUUUUUCUUUUAAAAAAAUUCUCAAAAUUAAUUAAAUUAUAAAAGUUUUUAUCAUUAUGUCGUCAUACUUUUAUUCAUCUAGAAUUGCUGAAGGUAAAAAAUGAUUGACGCUAUCGAUAAUAAUAUAAAAUAAUAUUGAAUGCCUAGACUUGGCCGUUGACGACUUGGCGCCGAAGACGAAAAAAGAGGAAAAUAAUUGGUAAGGAUAGAACAAGCGAAAAGUCACAGAAAAAUAAUAAUUACAGUUUUAUACGAGACAUUAUUGACUAGCGGGGUUCAAAUAAACCUUUCCCCACCUAUUUUUUAAAUAAAAAUUUAUAAUAUGUAAUAAGUAUAAUUUUUAAAUAAUAAUUUAAAAAAUAUAUAAUUAAUUUUUAAUAAUUAAUUUAACUUUUAUACUACAACAAUACUACUAGUCCACGCACUUUUUAUUGCUUUUACAUUUGCUUGUCUUUAUGGACGUGACAAUUUCGUAUUUUCGCGUUUGGUUUGUCAUCACUUUUUUUAUAUGUAUACUUAUCAUACAGUUUAUAUCCAUAUUAAUACGCGUCACUAUACAUUAAUUAAAAUAUACUUUAAAAAAUAAUAAACAAUAAGGUUAUUGUCAUUUGGCUAAUUCAUAAAAUAUUUAAUAAGUAUGUCAAUUUAUUAUUUUAUUAUUAUAUUAAAAAGAAAUUUCCAUUUUACCACAUUUCGUUUGAUGUCCUUUAUUGUUACUAAUUGAAGGGGUAAAAAUGAGAUCACAUAUAAGACCAAUACCAAAUCCUAUAAGCUACUCUAUCGUUAAUUAUUGAAUAAAUCAAACGUGUUAAUCCAAUUUAGAGGUGUAUAAGUGACAUCAUAGAGGAGGUUGAAAAUAUUGAGAUGUGGUCCCAUUUUAAAUUAUAACUCUGAAUUCCAAAUGUUAAUAAUAUUCACGAGGGAGAAAAAUUUUAAAAUACAUAAAAGAUAAUAUAAUUAAUUAAUACAGUAUGAUUUAUGUAUUUAGAUUUGAUAUAACCUUACUUGAAUGAUGAUUUUUUAAAACAAAUGCAUAUAUAUAAUAUUAUAAUUGACUUAUUAUAUGGCUGAUAUGGUACUUUUGAUGUACUUUAAAAUUUGUCAAUGACGGAAGGUUUUGUUGAAUUUUGAAAUAUUAGGCAGUUUUUGCUGUAUUUACCAAAUAAAAAAGUGGUUUUAUUCAUUUCCCUUAGAUUAAUUUUGUAACUAAGGUCCAUUAGAUUCACAUUUCUUUUCCAACAAGCCGCUUAUCACAUUGCCCUUAUCUAAUAGCUAUUUACUAGUUAGACCAUUUGCCUGAUGGUUAAUAAUCUUCUUUCUUCAUGGAUAGAAUUACUUUGAACUUUAUUAGAAACCUCAUAUAUUUUGUUAAUAAAUUUCUGUAAGUGUCAAGUGCAACUGUAUUGGGUGCUCCGAUAGUAAUUUAAAUGAGAGUGACUGUAAUAUAGAUUAAACAAAAAAGAACGUUUGUAUUAUUUAAUUAUCAAAUGGUUAGGCUUAUGAGAAGGUCUUUUUUUUUUUUUUAAUAAAAGAAUUCUCAAUAAAUAAAUAAAUAACAUCUAAAAAAUAACAAGUUAAGAGUUGCGAACAAUCUUCCAUCCUUAUAAAACAGCUACGAGAAUAAAUUGCAAAUUCACCCUUUAGCUAAAACACAUGCAGCUUUAUUAUAAUUAGCUUAGGAGACAAUCUUAUAAGUAGAUAGUAUUUUAGAAUUCAUAAAUUUUAAUAUUAAAAAAUAAAGGAGAUUGUUAUGUUAUAUAAUUAUGUAACAUACGUAAUUAUGUAGCAGCCGUUGAAUGAAAAUUUAACAGUUAUAAAAAUAUAAAAUAAUAUUAUUUUCAUGGAUAAAAAUUCAACUACUGCUAUAACCAUAUAUGUUACAUAAUUACGUAACAUAACAAAUCCCAAAAAGAAAUGCUAUAGCAAUCAUAAUAAUUUAAGCGGUCGAUCUUACCUUCUGCUGAGGUGACAGGGCAGCCGACAGAAUGUUACCACAAGUAGCCACCCUCUUAGAUUAGAAAUCUUUGAAGAUAAAAUUAGAAAGUGAUGUAACGUGGCAAAGUAUAGUGGGAUAAGUCCAUUGAAGUCAAGUUAUCUCGUGAAAAACGUAUGAUCUAUUAUUGUGUCUUGUAAUAUACAUGAUUACAUAGCAGUUGGAUUAAAAUUUAACGGUUGUAGAAAAAUAUAAAAUAAUAAAAUCAUAUUAUUUCUACAAUUCUUAGAUAAAAAUUCAACUAUUACUAUAUAAUUAUAUAUGUUACAUUAUUACGAAACAUAACAAAAGCCAAAAAUAAAUGGUAUAGCAAACAUAAUAAUUUGGAAAAUGCUAAGUAUCAAGAAAAACGAGAGAAGGACGAGAGAAUGAAGCAUGUGGUGGGAGGAGAGAGAGAGAAAAAAAGCUGACAGCAGAGAGAGAAGAGGCAAUUCUCUCGUCCUUCUCUUGUUGUUCUUGAUAUUUAGCAGCACUCUAAUAAUUUAAGCCGUCGGUCCUACCUUCCGUUGAGGGGACAAGGCAGCCAAUAUAAUUUUUUCCCACAAGUAACCAGUCUCUUAGAUUAGAAAUCUUUGAAGAUAAAAUUAGAAAGUGAUGUAACGUGGCAAAGUAUAGUGGGAUAAGUCCAUUGAAGUCAAGUUAUCUCGUGAAAAACGUAUGAUCUAUUAUUGUGGUGGAAAAAGAGUACUAUGUAGUUGGAAAGCGAAGUCCGAUGGUGAAAGUCUGAAGAAAAGGGCCAUUGUUGAUUGACGUUAUCGGUAAUGAGAAUAUCUCGGAUGGCUAGACUUGGGCAUUGACGCCGAAUACAACAAAGAGAGAGGAAAGAUUGAAAACGAAAGUGAAAGCAAACCUGUGUGUUUUGAUAUCUUUAACUUACUUUUAAUUUCCAUCUCAAUGAUAACAAGUUGAGUGAUGUCAAAAAUCUUCCAUUGUAACAAAACAACUACGAAAAUGAAAUACAAAUUUUCGAUAAAGCAUCUAUAAUGUUAUAGAUAACUGGUAGGGGUGGGCAAAAUCGGGUUCGGGUCAAUCCGAUCGGGUUUCGGGUUGUUCGGGUUAGACAAGGAACAAUCCGAACAUAACCUGAAUUAAUGAUCCGACCCGAACCGACCCGAACUAUAUUCGGGUCGGUUCGGGUCGGAUCAUUAAUUCGGGUUAUGUUCGGGUUGGAUUUAAAAUGGGUAGGAUUGAGUUCGGGUCAAUUCGGGUCAGUUCGGGUCAAUUCGGGUCAAUUCGGGUCGGUUGAAAUCGGGUCAGUUCGGGUCAAUUCGGGUCAGUUCGGGUCUGUUAGCUUAUGUUUUUUUUUUUUAAGAACCCGAUCGGGUAUUCGGAUCGGGUCGGGUUUGACCCGAACCGAUCACAACCCGAUUGGGUUUGUAAAUUUCAAACCGAUCGGGUUUCGAUCCCGACCCGAAUCCGAAAUUUAUCGGGUCGGAUCGGGUCGGAUCGGGUAAAAUGCCCACCCCUAAUAACUGGCUUAAAAGAAAUCUUAAACCUCAAAGAGUGUAAUAAUUAUCAAAUAAAAUAAAGAGACACCCAAAAAAUUAAAAAAACAAAAUAGAGGAUGCAUGAUUAAUUAAAUAUGAGAAAGUCAUGUGUAUGGUAGUCCAGCACAAAUAUAUUGAUAUGAUGAUAUCGACAGAAUAACGUUAACUGCACAGCAUAAGUCAUCGAUCCUACCAACGGCUGAGGUGGUAGGUUGUUCCAUUGAAUUGUUUUUCGGAAUGAAUUAUCUGUUGGAUUAAAAUUCUUUAAAGAUAGAAUAAUAAGUGAUAUAAUUAGAUUAUUCGGUAAUAGAAUCAAAAGUUAACGUAAUUAUUUAAUAAUCAAAUGGAGAUAAACAAAGAAUCUCCGUGUAUAUUAUUUAAUCAAUAAUUAUAGGCGUACAUUGCACCAUGUAAUGCGUAGUUAUUGAUCGUCAUCAUUUCCUAUUUAAAUGAUAAAUUUUAAUUGGUACCAAAUGGUCUGGGCCAAGCUUAUCAUUUAGUUGAGUGGUCUACCGUAAAACUCAUUUAAAGACCCUCUUUAAAAUCCAACAAAGUGUUGGCUCCAUUAGUAAUAGAGUCCCCUUAAGUGACUUGAUUGAGUUUGCUCUCCAGUUUGAGUCGCAGAAAAGUCGCAUUUGUUGAGAGAGCCUGUGCCUCUCAGUUUGAGCGGGGACUUCUAAUUUGAGUUGUGGUACGAAUUUAAAGGUGCCUCCCACAGUUGGGGCCCUCCCCAGAAUACCUCGUGGCCAAAAAAAAAAAAAAAAAAAGACCCUCUUUAAAGAUAGACUCAAAAAGAGGGAGCUUGCAUAGCCAAUAGGAAUCUUCCACGGGUGUUGCCGAUGAUGCAACCGAGGCAAGGGAACCGUUGAUGCAAGGUUAAAAUGCCGAGACUGUUAGUUGCAGCUUCUGCAACUUAGCCGCGUCUUAUGUGGUAGAAAAUGUGGCCAUGCACGAGGUCUAUGGAUUGUCGUAGAGUAGUCUGCAUAAAUGCAAGGACGAAAGUAGUAUUGUUGUUGUAAAGCGAAGCCCUGGCACUGAAAGAAAAUGUAUUCAAAAAGCUCCACCUGCUAUGUAAAAUCUCGGUUAGCUACUUUUUCGUCACUGCCCUCCAGUUUUAGCUAAAUUGGGUGAAAAUCUGAAGAUAGUUUCCAAUUAACCAAUCUGAAAAUAAUUUGUUUUGCAUUUCGUUUUUCCCUUUACAUACUUUAUUCAUCCCACCAUAAACAAUUAAUUUUGUAAAAAACAAUUUGAAGAGGAGAAGUCAUGAAAGCCAAAUUCGAUUAAAAAAUUAUGAAGAGCUUUUUGGAUACUUAACCAACGAUCAUAACUUAUACGGGGCUAUCCUAUUUCAAUUGUUACGAAUGUUGUUGUAUCUUAAUUAAAGGUUCGGACAUGUAUGAAAUAAUUAUAAAUAAAGCCGCAAUAAUAUGUUAUUUUUCAGUAAAAGCGGGAUAAAAUUUUAUAAAUUCACUUGACAUUGAUUUAAUUUUUUCUUUAAUAGGAGUUAUUCAUUAACGGUAAAACUGAUAUUUUAAAAUUCAACUAUGGUUCAGCUACCGUAACGAGAAAAAUAUAACAAACUAUAAUUUAAAAAAGUUCAGUAAUAAAAGUUAUUUUUAAUCAUUGAUAUAAUAAUUUAUUAUUUUGUAAUGCUUGACGUACUAAAAGAGAAUAAUAACUUUUGUUAAUCAAAUUAAAAAUCACUCUGAUGUUUUCAUAUAGGCAAAUGUCUAUUGAACCCGCAGACCCCACAGAGCAUGUUUAGGCACAAAGCUACGCGUGGAAAACGAAGUCCCAGCCUCCCAGGUCAUAUUUGGUGAAAAAUAAGCUAAACCAAAAUUAAUUAACUGAAUGAAUAUUAAUUAAUUAACAUUGUUCUCCUGUCUAGUAAUCUCACCGAAUGGUUCCACAGUGCUCGAGCAGUUUAAUAAAAGGUUCACAAAGAAAUAAAUUGAUUUGAGUAUUUGAGUAUUAUAAAUAAAACCGAGGCAAACAGUCUCUAUACAUAUUAUUUAAUCGUUAAUUGAAUGGUCAAGAUACAUACUAUUUAAUUGCUUAAAAAAAAAAAGCCACUUUGAUGCUUUUCCUGCUAAACAAGAUGUAUAAAUCUUUACUAGAUUAUGGCACAAUGAAAUAAGUAAUUGCACCAUCAUUAAAAUUUUUAUCAUUCAAUGGGAGAAUGAUAUAUACUUCACUUACGAUAAAAAUCUUGCGUGUUAUAACUUAAGAAGAACUGAUUUAAGAACGAGAAAGAUCAAGAGGGGAUGAUUGAUCACUUUCCUUUUUUGGGGAACAAUGAAAUUCUCAGAACUCAUAGCAUGCUCCCCUGUUAAUUUACAGGGAUCAUAGUUCAAUUGGUUAACCGAAUGAAAAUGGUAGUGGCCUUUGUGCAUGGAUAUGCAAUAAUACAUUAUGGCCAAAAUUAGUUUGUUAUCUGCGAGUAUUAUGCAAUACCAAUAACAAGAGCAUAGCUAAAAACAAAGCCAAGGGUGCUAAACAAAGUCCUUUGCAAGUCAUAUUUAGUUAAAAAAAAAAAAAUGAUGGUGCACACAAAAUUAAUUAACUGAAUGAAUAAACGUUAAUGUCCUCUUUAGUAACCUCAAUAACAGGCUGGAUCGAAUGAAUAAAUGAGAGAUUCAUAAAUAGAGGUAAAGAUUCUCAAUACAUAUUAUUCAAUGGUUGGAGAGUAACCCAAAGUAUUGCUUUACUCACUUUAAAUAAUUCUCGAAAAAUUAUCUUCCAACUAUGAUGAGAAUGUUAAAAGUGCACUUAACACCACAAGUUUUUUAUAAUAUUUCAGAACCAUUUCAAAUUUUUAUUUCAUAUUAAUUAGUUUCUUUUCCCUUAAUUACGUAACCAAUGUUGAAAAAUAUAAAAUAAAAUAUUAUUUUAUUCUUGAAUUUAUUUAAAGAAAUAAAAUAAAAUAUUAUUUUAUCUUCAAUUAUUUAAUAGUGGCUAAUGGAGUUAACAAAAACCUGUCUAGUUGAUAUAAAACAAAAAAAUAAGGGGUUUUAAGAAACAUAAAUGAAGCUGGAUUUAAUUGACUAAUUUUACAAAAUCUUUCAUUAUGUAAGAUUUUAAAAAAUAAUAUGAACUUUUUAUAAUAAUUUUCUUAAAAUGGGGUGGGUUUAUAAAAUUUAUAGGGCAGAAAUAUCAAGCGGCAAACUGCAGUAUUUAACGAUCCAGGAUUAAUAAUUUGGUAUGCAUCCUACACAAAACUCAAAUAUCAUUGCAUUCACAAGUUGACAUGGAUCGUAAAUUGUUUGAGGCUGCAGCUAAGGGUGACAUUGAACCCUUCAGGGAAAUAGCAAGAGAUGAACUAGAAAGCAUAGUAACUGAUGUCAUGAAAAAUACAGUCUUGCAUGUGAACAUAAUGUCAUCCCAUCUGACCCUGCAGACUGAAGAAGGAGAGAUUAGUAGUGAAUCAACCGAGUUCGUGGAGCAGAUACUUGAUUUGUGUCCAUCGUUACUAUUUCAAGGUAAUGCCAAAGGUGAUUCUCCACUCCAUCUUGCGGCCAAAAAGGGGCAUGCUGCUAUUGUGGAAUUUCUGAUUGUAUUCGCGAAUAGACAGCCUAUAGACCUAGAAAGCGGUGUCGAAAGCGCAGCGAGGCAGAUACUAAAGAUGACAAAUGAGGAGCAGAACACACCGUUGCACGAGGCAGUGCGACUUCGUAGAGUCGAUGUUGUGAAAAUUUUAAUCAAAGCAGACCCUCAUGUUCCGUAUUCUGCUAAUCGCAACAGUGAAACUCCACUUUAUAUGGCUGUGGCGAAUGGAUCUGCCGAGAUAGUAGCUGAAAUUUUACAAAACUGCCCCGAAAGCGCAGCGAGGCAGAUGCUAGAGAAGACAAAUGAGGAGCAGAACACACCGUUGCACGAGGCAGUGCGACUUCGUAGCGUCGAUGUUGCGAAAAUUUUAAUCGAAGCAGACCCUCAUGUUCCGUAUUCUGCUAAUCGCAACAGCGAAACUCCACUUUAUAUGGCUGCGGCGAAUGGAUCUGUCAAGAUAGUAGCUAAAAUUUUACAAAAAUGCCCAUCACCUGCUCAUGAAGGUCCCGAUGGGAAGACUGCCUUGCAUGCUGCAGUCUACACAUAUCCCACAGGUACGCUUAAACGACUAUUUUUUUUUUUUUUCUUAACCACGAGUUAUUUUAGAGAGGGUCCUAACUGUGGGAGGUAUCUUUAAACCCGUACCACAACUUAAAUUAGAAAUCCCCGCUCACCACAACCUAGAUUAAAAAUUCCCGCUCUAACCGAGAAUCACAGGUUCUCUCAACAAAGGCGACUUUCCUACUACUCGAAUUGGGAAGCAAACCCAGUCAAACCACUUAAGGAGAUUUCAUUAUCAAUGGAGCCAACACUUUGUUGGUUCGCUUAAACGACUAUAUAUAUAUAUAUAUAUAUAUAUAUAUAUGCACACACAUGCACAUACACAGUUAUACUCAAACUGUCGAUAUCCGCUCGAAAUUUGGUGGACAUAAAAAUAAAAUGAGAUAGAAUUCGAUAUUCAGUUGGAUUUGUGAUGAUCAGCGAAUCAACGGUGAAAUUUGUUUAAUAUGUGUCCAAGUCGGGUUCCAAGAAAUUGUCAGCUAAAUUUGUCUGUCCGUAUGAUGAUCUGUAUUUGUUGAGUUGUCACCCACCAAAAAAAAAAAAAAAAAUCAUUAUUUUCACCGUCAAGAAAAUUAAAGCUUUUGCUUUAUAAAUUUAAUGUGUUUAGUUCGUUAUUUAUUAUCUUCUUUCAGAAGUGAUAAAGCAAUUACUUGAGAAAAAGAGGAGUUUGACAGCAGUACGAGACAAAUACGGUUGGACUCCACUCCAUCAUGCUGCGUAUAGUGGUCGCGAAUUGACCUCAAAACUGUUAUUAGAACGUGAUACAUCAGCUGCAUUCAUCGGUGACAAAGAUCGAAAUAUGACAGCUCUUCAUUUAGCAGCCGCCAGAGGGCAUAUGGGGAUAGUAAAUGAAAUUAUUUCCUCUUGUCCAUCUCGUCUUCUAGUAAAGGUCGAUGACAGACGCUGGAAUUUUCUUCACUUUGCUAUGGUCAGUUUAGAUAUCUUCCAAUUGAGCCGUCUCCUAAUAAAACAUCCGAUCGUCAGAAGCAGCUGUUUGUUAAGUAAGGACGUAGAUGGAAACACUCCUCUCCACGUGGUUGCUGCUGUCUGUCGACUUUCACCCCGUGUGGCUGUCCUUCCGUUCCUUCUCAAAGUUGUAGGCGGUAAUGAUGCCGUCAACAAUCAUGGUAUUAGUGUUCAAGAUGUAAAAGGUCGUGGAUUUCCUGAGCUCGAGGUAAAUUCUUUUUUACUGUUUACUCAUUGCUACCUUUUUUUUUAUUUAUUGCUACCUGCUCCUCACGGCUACUAAUUGUUUAUGCGGGCGCAGCUAUUCCAAGUAAUGUUAAUCAAUUCAUACUUUGUUUUUAUUUUUCUUAAAUGGGAACAACUUUUUCAUCGCAUUGCACUGCAAUAUCGAACAUUUGUGAGUAAAAAUUAACAAUGUUGUUAUGAGUUUAACCCAAAAAAAAAAAGUUUAAAAAGAGCAUGUUAUAUAUGGUCCUACAUCGAUCACUAAUUCCUAGAGUCACACGCAUAAGCACGUCAUAACAUUAAUAUAGAGGAAAAUGCUAUUUGUACAAAUAUUUUAUACAUAUAUUUCUUGUGUUUUGUGCUUCUCACGAACUGCAUAUGGCAUAUCGGAUCAUAUAUAUUUUUUUUUUUUGUGGUGGGUCACUUAACUCAUUUUAUAUUUACAAAGUCUAAAUUAGUUUAAUGUGAAGAAUGGGUUUCAUCGGUCUUGAAUGUGCUACACACGAUAUAAUAUUAUCAUAAAUUAUUAUGUGUGCUAAAUGAUUACUUACAUUAUCAUCUUAAUUGUUUUAUAGUGAAUGGGGUGAGGUAUUCGUGUGUAUGCCACGUUAUUUGUAUCAAAUGUUAGUGAAGCAUACCACACCCCCUCUCCCUCUCUAUAUAUAUACAUACUGUAUUGUAUAUAACUAAAUCUUAUAAAAUAAAGGUAUCUUUUGUCCUGGCCUUGAAAUUGGUCCUCUUUUUUAAAAAAUUGUUUCAUAAAUUUUCUUAGAUCAAUAUUUAAUUUACCUAAUAUGAUCAACAUAUCGCAGCAAGAAAUCCAAGAGUUGUCCAAAAAUGUUGGCCGUGGACAAUAUCCAAAUGGUAUUCUCCGGGUGCAAAAAGAAAAAGAGCCAGUCGAUGAAGAAGCAUUAAAAGAAAUGCAAUCGCUACAUACGGUAGUGGCUACACUUAUUGCAACAGUUACCUUCGCUGCAGGGUUCACAUUACCCGGUGGUUACUGGGGUAAAGAAGGCCCAAUUCCCGGCACUCCAAUCCUCAUAAAAAAUGCAGGUUUCCGAGCAUUUGUUGUAUCUGAUGUCAUAGCCAUGGUCCUCUCCGUUUCAGCUAUCUUUAUUUAUUUCCUUACUCCAGCUAAGACCUUCGGCAAACCAAGUUUCUUUCAGAUAUGCCCCAUAAUUUCAUCAUGGUUUCCUUGUUAGCAAUGGUGGUUGCAUUUAUUACAGGCACAUACGCAGUGUUGGCACCUUCUGCUGGGCUUUCCGUUGCUACUUGUGUCCUUGGCUCGAGCUUCAUUCUCUUUGCCUUUGCCAACAUGUUCAUGCUAGCUCGUGGACUCUACCAAAGAAUGUUCGGCAAUAACUAAAAGUAUUUGUAUAUGUACCCCUUUUUCAUGAUAUAAUUAGAAAAAAUAUCUCUAUGUUGGAGAAAUUAGCAUGAUUCUGUGUAGUUGUCCUGGAAUGUUGAGCUAUUACUUACUUGUGUCCUUGGCUCGAGCUAUUUUAUACAUAUGUUGGAAAAAUAAAUCUCUAUACAUUACUUCAACUGGGAUUGUACUCGAUUGUGUUGAGCUAUUAUCAUCAAAAGAGGAUUACGUACAAAUACAAGGUCAACGGGAAAUUGAAAGUAGCAUAUUAGCAUUCCAACAUUUCUAACUAACAAAUUCUACCUACAACAGGGUCAUGUAGAGGUGCUUUUCAAGUGCUGAAGAAAACAUAGAGGUUAGUGCACAGCAGCUUCACGAAGAAAAUCACCCUUUAAACUGACUAAUGCAUGAAAUUCCCUUUCAACCUCUACCCACAACAUCUUUCUCAAAUCUUCAAGUUCUUGUCACCCAGGAAGACCGGAUUCUCAGCUAGCACAUAACGGUAAUUAGGCAUUUUCGUGCAAGUAAGACAUAUCGAUUGACACACAGUUGAAAAGAACCCCAUGCUUCAGCAUCUUGUGUACAAUCCCCUGAAAAAUCUUGCCAAUGAAAACAACAGGAAAGAGCAUCUCCCCUGCGUUCUCUCUAACUUUUCCCUCCCCUGUGCUCUCCAGAGUUGUGACAGCAAGAUAGCAUCCAAGAUCUUUGGUGGACUUUCUGCCAGCAAAGUCAUCCAACAAACAGAUAACAAUAGUGACCAGAUUUUCAGCAGGGUCUACAACAUUCCAGGGCAACUUCACUUUGACAAACAUUGGGUUCCACAUGUAAUCAUAAACCAAAUACCAAUGAGUGAGAUAAAUAAUAAUCUAUUCCAAGUUUCGAUUCCUAAAGUUUUCACAGACUCUGUCUUUCCAUGUCUGAUGAAAUCAUCAAUAUUUGUUGACACUUGACAGGAUUUGGCAGAUUUGUUCGAAAGAAAACCACAAAAUAUAUAAUUGAAAAUGAGAAAUUUGUUUUCUUUAAGCAACAGAGCACAUAGGGAAACAAGUUGGCAGUGGCGGUGAGUAGCAGGCAGCGAAAACCAAUAGCAUAACAUUUAGAUAGUGGAACUCAAAUGCGCAAUCAUAAUUCAGAGUGCUGCCAUCAUUAACCGACAAUUUGUAGAAUGCAGUCCACAAGCCAAGGUUGCACUUAUUUGAAUUGCUACUAAAUAGCUUGAAAAAGAUGAAGAAAACAAACUAAUUGAUGCAAAUAUGCACAUCAAAUAAAGAACAUAUGAAUCUAUUAAACUGGAAUGUUCUAUGAAAGAAAGUUCUAAAGCAAGAAAACAACCUUCUCCAGGUGAGCCUCUCUUGUUGCAUGAAAAGAUCUUAGAUAGUUUCUAAAUAUGCGUCAAGUGGGAACUGUAAAAAGUUCCAGGCUGGGAUACCAAACACUACCCUUCACACCACCAGGCUAAAUCGUUUAAAGCAUAAAUUUUUCCAAAUCUACGAAAAAAAAUGAAUUUAACAUAAUUUUUAUUAACAUUGCUCCAUUCUCAAGAGUGUAAAAAAGCAUAAGAGUCAAAAAUCUGAAAUUUUGCACCUCAUAAUCUCACCAUCGAAAAUCAAAAGCUACUUAAGGCCUAAACAAGGAUCAUCAUGAUCCGUAUCUAGCAUUUCACUAAGCAAGGAUCAUCAUGAUUUGUAUCUAGCAUUUCAUUCAUACACUAUAAUCUGUACAUCCAUUUUGCCACAUGAAAACCCAAUUUCUAUAACUAGCACAUUGUCUCUGAAAGCCAUACAUUUUUAGCAUCUGAAAGUCAUACAUUUUUAGCUUUUUUUUCCCUGGAUGUCCCUUUAUCUUCAAACUAAUUCAAAGCAAACCAUAUCAAAAAAUCAAAAUCACCAAACCCCUCCAAAAAAAUAAAAAUAAAAGAGAGAUAUAUAAAAGACUCGACGUAUUACCAAGAAAUGAAAUACAUUUUAAAUGCUAAAUGUACAAAACAAACAGUCAAUAACAAUCAUUUCAUUCGAUCAUCAAAGUGUCCCAACAAGAAAAUUUCAGGAAAAAAAAAAAACAAAGCAUUUGGGUAUCUAGGAAAGAAUUUUUUUUUUAAAAUAAAAUGAAAUGACAAUUAGAGCUUAAUGAUUAAAACCUUACCCAGCAGUAAAAGUGAUGAAGCACUUUCUGACUCACCGAGUCUGUAACUCGUUCUCUCGUGAUCCUUCAACUUACGUUCUCUGUCGGAGUGGAGCUCUCACAGGCACAGCUGUGGUCAAAAUGGCUAAACUGAGGUCAAUAGUUGCCAGCCGCGUCAAAAAUCAGGUGGUGAAUUUCCAAUGAUUUUUAUGAACCCACCCCUCUCCCAAAAACUAAUUGCCAUAAACCCACAUUAUUUUUAAAAAAAUAUAAAUAAAGAAGAAAUUUUGGAGAUUUAAUGGAAUAAAAUUGAAUAACUAAUUAUUAAAUAUAAGAGCACAUGUUUCUUGAAGUUAUUUUGUUAUUUUAUAUUAUCAGGACAAAAUAAAUAAAUAAAACUUAUCUUAAAACAAUAUUAAUAGUUAAAGAUAUAUAAAUAUAAAAAAAAAAGAAUUAUAAGAAUGACUUAAUUGAUUAAUUGUCAAAAUUUUUGUUGAUUUAUAUAUUUUAAAAAUUGCAUAAACUUAUUACAAUUAUUUUCUAAAAACGAGAUAGAUUUAUGAAACUAGUGGAGUGGAAAUAUUCCCACCCCAAAAAAAGGAAAAAAAAUUGUAAGAGAUAAUAACAUAUGGGUCCCCUUUUUUGUAUUUCCUCAAAUAAGGAAAUAGUUUGUACAUUCAAUAUCAAAAAGUCAUUAACCAAUACGAAACGACUAAAAUGUUGGUCUCUGAAAUGUAAGGGUAAUAUAAUCAAUUUUAUCAAGUGUUAGGAGCUUAUUUUAUACAAAUUGACAAUUAAUAUGAGAAGUAAAGGUAUUCAGUGAGUCUAAUGUUAUUACGUUCUCAUAAAUUUUUCUUUCUCCAAUUCCACUUGUUGGAUUCUUGAACUUAGGCAGGCUUACAUUAUAUCAAAACGGAAUUUUUCGGUGGCUUUAGUAGAGGAGUCAAAUUGAAAUUGAAGAGUUCAAACCAAAUUGGUUUUUGAUGAUUUAAUACCUGGAUGCGACGGCAAAUGCUUCUCUAAAUAGUUUAUUUAUUUAAUUAAUUAUGUGGGUUAGUAGACUUCAGUUGAAAAUUUAAUAAAUUUGUAUAAUAGUUUAAUUAUAUUUUUUUAUUUAAUUUUAAUGAAAUUUUAUAGAUUUAACUAUUUUCUACAUUAUAAUAUAAAAAAAGACCACACUUCUAAUUUUUUUAUAAUGUUAAUUAAUUACACUUUUAACUUGUAAUUUUUCUCAACCAAAUCGGUGAUGGUGAUUAAUUGAUGGCGAACGAAACGAGCAGUCUACAAAAUUCUAAACUUGCCAUUAAUCGGUGGUGGUUGGUGUACUUGGCAAUAAUUUGGUGCCUGUUGGCCAUUGAUUGGUCAUGAAUUUGGUGCCUAGUGGCCAUUAAUUCACACAUCUCCAUGAUGGCAGCAAGACGAGAACCCUCAUUGUAUUAAACAGCCGCCUAAACCGUUAAUCGGUGGCUAUUUGAUUUUUUUUAAAAAAAAAUUAUAUGCAGCUGUUAGAUUUAAAAAAAGCAUGCAUCAGCUCUGCCAAAUAGACAAAAAGUGUGGAAUAGCACAAUUGUUGUAAUGUGGGUCGAUAAAAAAAUAAUAAUCUUUAUAAAUUAAAUUAAGAAUUACUCUGACUUUUUCUUUUAUAUAAAUGUCUAUUGGACCCACUGACCCCACAAAGCAUUAGGGUUAAAACUAAGCGUGGGGAAACAAAGCCCCAUGCCCCCAUGUCAUAUUUGGUGAAAAAUAAGCCAACCCAAAAUUGAUUAACUGAAUGAAUAUUAAUUAAUGAGCAUUAUUGUCCUUAAUAAUCUCACUGAAUAGUAUUGCAAUGCUUCAGCAAUUUAAUUAAAGGUUCACAAAGAAGGAUCCUGCUAUGUUGACACAACGGUAACAUACCACACUUAUUUGUCCUUUUGGGUUAAUUACACCGCAGUCCCUAUUUUAUUCUAAAAUUAGAAAACAAUUAGAUAAUCCUAAAUUUUGACUAUUAGUCCUACUUAUUUUGAUUUUUAAAAACUUAAAUCAAAAGGUGAGGGUAUUUUUUAAUUAUUAAUUCACACACCCAUCAUCAAAGUUUUAAAAAGAAAAUUUACUCCAUACACUUACCUAAAUGUCAAAUAUAUCCUUGAUAAAACUAAUUUUUUAUUUGUACUAAAUAAAUUAAUUAAAAUGAUAUAAAAAAAACUGAUUGAAUUCUUUACAUGCCCAUUAGUUUCAUAUCUCGAUCUCCAGCAAUUAGCAACUAAUUUCUAUCACUAACUCAAAAUUAUCGAACAUGAGAUGUGAAAAAGGUUCUCAAAUAAAUGUGGAGCAUAAAAUGGUAUUACCUCCAAAUUCUUAUUAAAAACUUCUGAACUUAUUCAUCAAGCUCGUAGAUGUAAAAAUAAAUGACAAGCAAGUUGCCACACCCCCCCCCCCCCACUUUUUGAUGCCUUCUUAUUAAAUAAUAAAAAAUUAUAAAUUGGUAUAUUAAUAUAUUUUUAUUGCAUAUUGAAAUUACUUCCUGAAUAUUGAAUAAGUAUUAUGAAAAAAAUAUUAACUGCAAAUUAAGAACAAGAAAUCAAAUUCAUACUCAUAUUUUUCAUAAAAUAUGGUUUGUAAUUAAUACAUGGUUUUACUAUAUAUUAAAUUAAUUAAUUAAUUAAUUAAUAAGAAAUAAUAUUAAUUCAAAUAUAUUAAUUCAAAUACAAGAAUAAAUCAAUUUAUCAGUGAAAUUAAUAAGUCAUUUGACACAAUAUAUUGUAUUACAUUAGCUAUAUUGUAUUACGGUAUAUUAAAUUGUAAUACAAUGUCAUGUUUGGUGCAAUAUGAACUGUAGUAUAUGUAAUAAUAUUUUAUAUCAUUAUUUAGAUUACUAUUAAUUUUCAAUUAAUAUUAUUCAAAUUUAUUAAUAUUUAAAUAUUUAUCAUUUGUUAAUUAACUAUUUAAAAAUAAUUAAUUUUUAUUUACUAAUUAUUAUAUUAUAAUUAAAUAACAUAAUAUUUUAUUUUAUUUUUAUAUAUUAUUUAAGUAUUUAUUAUUAGUUAUAUUAAAUUGUUAAAUAAUAAUCAAUUCUAUGUAUUAAUUAAUCUAAUAUAAUUAAAUAAUGUAAUAUUAUGUUAUAAAUUUAUUUUUAUAUAAUAUUUAAGUAUUUAUUAUUAUUUAUAUUAGCUUAUUAUAUAAUAGUCAAUUUUUACUUAUUAAAUUUUAUAAUAUAAUUAAGUAAUACAUUAUUUAGUUGUAUUUUUAAUUAAAAUGUUUUAAUAUUAUUGAAUAAUAAAUUGUAAAUUUAUGGACUAAUAUAACUUUGUUACUUUUGUAAUUUUGUAGCAAACAUUAGGGAUUAUAAUGUUGAUAACUCAAAAUAAACAUCUUAACCAUUACACUUGUUUUGAGUUAAAUCUAACGGUGGAUCAGAAAAAGACAAAAAAAUGUGGUAUGUUACCAUAGUGGUAACAUAGCUAAACCCCACAAAGAAAUAUAUUGAUUACAUAUUAUAAAUAAAACCUAAGCACUGAGUCUUCAUGCAUAUUAAUUAAUUGUUAAUUGAAUGGUCAAGGUACAUUUGGCUUCUGAAUUAAUUAAGAGUCAAUUUGAUGUUUUCCCGCAAAACAAAAUGUAUAAUUGUCUAUUGGAUGAUGGUAUAAUUGCAUAUCAUUAAAAUUUUUAUCAUUACUAUAGGAGAAUGAUACUCUACUUAAGAUAAAAUCUUAUAACUUAAGAAGGACUGAAUUAAGAACGAGAAAGACUAAGAGGGGAUGAUUGAUCACUUUUCCUUUUUGGAGAAUUAAUGAAACUAUAAGAACUCAUGGCAUACUCCCCCCUUAGUCUAUUGGGAUCAUACUUCAGUUGAUGAACCGAACGAAAUGGUAGUGGCCUUUGUGCAUGUAUAUGCAUUGAUUAAUUGUUAGUGACUUUAGAUAUUUUCUCCGAGUACUCUGCAAUACCGAUUACGAGAGCAUAGCUGAAUACAGAAGCGAAGGGUGGGGGAACAAAGUUCCAUGCAAGUCAUAUUUAGUAAAAAUGAAAAAAAGAUAGUGCAUAUAAACUUUAUUAACCGAAUGAAUAUUAGAACAUUAAUCUUCUCCUUAAUAAUCUCAAUUAAAGUUCAAUAAUCUCAAUAGUAUUUUUGUGAUGCUCGAUCGAGUAGUUAAAUGAAAGAGAGGUCAAGAUUCUCGAUAUAUAUUAUACAAUGGUUUGAUGGUCACUCAAGGUAUAGCUUUAAUCACUUUAAUUAAUUUUUGAGAAAUUCUCUCCCAACCACAAUAAGAAUGUUAAAAGUGAAUCUAACUACUACAAGUUUUUAAUAAUAUCUCAGAAUCACCUUAAUUUUUAGUUUUAUAUCAACUAUUUUUUUCUUAAUUAUAUUAAUCACUAUUAAAGUAUCAAAGAUUAAAGACUAUUUUGUUUUUGGAUUCUUUUAAGAAGGUAAAGUAAUAUUUUGGGAUUGCUAAUUGUAGUCUUUUAAUUUAAAUUAUUUAACUGUAGCUAACGAAGUUAACGCAAAAGUGAUUGGUUGAUAUAAAAUUAUAACUUGAGGUAAUUCUGAAAUAUUACGUGUGAUUACUAAUUGUACUUUUAAUAUAUUAAUAUUCUUGAUGUGAUUGGAAAAUAAUUUUUCUUAAUUCUUUACUGGACAAAGUACGCAAAGCAUCAAGCAGCAAACCGCAGUACUUAAAAGAUCCAGGAUUAGUAAUUUGGUAUGCAUGCUGCAGUCUGUGCUGAAAACUCAAAUAUCAUCGCAGUCACAAAUUGACAUGGAUCCUAAAUUAUAUGAUGCUGCAGCUAAUGGCAACAGCAAAACUCCGCUCUAUAUUGCUUCGGCAAAUGGAUCUGUCGAGAUAGUAACUAAAAUUUUACAGAACUGCCCAUCACCUACUCGUGAAGGCCUCGAUGGGAAGACUGCCUUGCAUGCUGCAGUCUAUACAUAUCCUACAGGUUCGCUUAAACGACCACACACACACACACACACAUACAGUUAUUAUCAAGUGCGGACUUUCGCAAGAAAUUUUAUGGACAUAAAAAAUAGGAAAAAAAAAAUGAGAUAGGAUUCGAUGUUUAGCUCGAUCCGUGAUGAGCACCGAUUGAGAUUUAUUUAAUAUGUGUCGUAGUUAGGUUCCAAUCAGUACAAACUCAGUUGAGCAUGUUAGACAAUCACCACGAUCCCCUCACCUUAUUUUUGGUCUUUUUUGAGAUCAAGUCUCUCCAAGUUUCCCUAGAUCUCCACCCGCGUUUGAAAGUACACUCUUUAGUCUAUACAAGUGUCAGCAUAGCCUUCUGACUGAAAAGAAAAAAAAAAAGAAAGUGUCAGCACAGCAAAAGCAAAGGAUAUUGAAAAAAUGGACCAUCGACUCAGUAAUAAUGACGCCAAAUGCAAAAAGAGAAAAAUAUUGAAAAAGAAAGAAAAGACCAAUCUGUGUGAUUCUUGAUAGCUAAUUUCCAAGUGUAAUCCGAUAAUUUAGCGUCAAGAUUCUUCACCAUCCAUAAAGAACAAUCAAAUAUUAUAGAAAAGAAAGGGAGCUAAUUAAUUACGUGAUUCUUCAUCAUCCAUAAAGAUCCGUCAAAUAUUAUAAAAAAGAAAGGGAGAUGUUACCUUACGUUAAACGUAAGGUACAACCUUUUCUAUCGGCGGUGGGCCUCAGUAGAGUCUUUUAGUCUUUCUUAUAAGACAACUAACUAGUGGGGUUCAAACAAAACUACACAACAAUUUUUCCUUUUUUUUCAUUUUUUUUGGACUUGAUCUUUUCGUGUUUACUGUUUAGCUUCUCCAAUAAUAUUAUUAUACCUAUCAUAUAAUUUAUAUAAUUUUCAGUAAUGUGAUCAAGAAAUUAAACAUGCAAUUUAUAUUAAUAUGUGACGCCAAAAAUUUUUCAAGUCCACAAUUUUUAUUAGCUUGUUUGAUUUAGAUUGUUUCUACGCAUAUUGUCAUUGAUUUGAGACCCAAAUUGAUUGUUAACAAAAUAAAAUAAUAAAUUGUUCACAUAUCUAAGUGGAAUAAAGAAGAAUUUUGAUAGUAAAUUCAUUUUUUUUAUAAAUAUUUCUUUAUAAAUGGGAUGGCUCAUUUUUAGGUUUUAAUAAAAACUUAAUGUAAUGAAAGUAAAUUAUAAUAUAAAUUUUAAAAAAUGUAUAAAUUAUUUAUAUGUUAAAUGGUUAGGUAUAUGAGAUGAUCUUAAUUUACAAAGAGUAUAUUAAAUAAAACAGAGAUAAAGUAUACAUUAUUUAAUUGUCAGAUGAUCACUGUGCAACUUAUUAUUUAACUAGAGUAAUAUACAAUUAUGAACUGUGUAUUAAAAUUUUUUAAAGAUAGAAUCAAAAUUGGGAUAAGUCCACUAUAGACUAUGAGUUUUUUUAAAGAUAGGAAAGGGGUUUAACCAACAGUAGUGGAAAUGGGUUCCUCCAGUGCUUCAUUAGAUCUUAAUGUGUGAAAUUAUUUAGGGUCAAUUUGAUAAUUUUAUAGCUUUUAAAAUGAUUUUUAUUAGCCGUACUGUAGAAAUAAUUAACUGUGAAGAGAAUAAAUUAAAUAUUUAGUAAAAUUUAUUUUUAAAAGUGUUAGUAAAAUUUGUAGUGUUUAAAGUUAUGUAUUAUUGUUAUACAUUGCUCUAACUUUAACUUGAGUCUUAUGAAUUAUCUUAUAAUUACUCUUAAACUUGAUAUAUUUUUGUAUUUACAUCCAUGUGUCAGUAUAUUUUAUUAUUGGUUCUUUGUUACAGCACAGACUGCAGCAUGCAUACCAAAAAAUGAGAUAGGAUUCGAUGUUUAGCUCGAUCCGUGAUGAGCACCGAUUGAGAUUUAUUUAAUAUGUGUCGUAGUUAGGUUCCAAUCAGUACAAACUCAAUUGAGCAUGUUACACAAUCACCACGAUCCCCUCACCUUAUUUUUGGUCUUUUUUGAGAUCAAGUCUCUCCAAGUUUCCCUAGAUCUCCACCCGCGUUUGAAAGUACACUCUUUAGUCUAUACAAGUGUCAGCAUAGCCUUCUGACUGAAAAAAAAAAAAAAAAAGUGUCAGCACAGCAAAAGCAAAGGAUAUUGAAAAAAUGGACCAUCGACUCAGUAAUAAUGACGCCAAAUGCAAAAAGAGAAAAAUAUUGAAAAAGAAAGAAAAGACGAAUCUGUGUGAUUCUUGAUAGCUAAUUUCCAAGUGUAAUCCGAUAAUUUAACGUCAAGAUUCUUCAUCAUCCAUAAAGAACAGUCAAAUAUAAUAGAAAAGAAAGGGAGCUACUACCUUUUUUUUUUUUUUUGAGAAGGAAAUAAACGAUUUCAUUAAAUCAAAGAUGAUAACACAGAUUCGACUUCUACUGGAAUUGGUUCCAGCCAUACAACAGUUUCAUUGUUCCUUAGAGCUAACUUAGCUAAGGAAUGGGCAUGAGUAUUACAUGAUCUAGGAGUGUGAUAGCAGCUGAUAUUCUGGAAAUCCUUGCUAAGACUUUGAAUUUCUGAAAUCACCCACAUAAUCUCUGUCCUACUGCCCUCUUUGUUGUUAAUUAACUUCACCACUUCUUGACAGUCUGACUCCACCAUUAUGCAUUGAAAAGCUACACUUUUUGCCACCACUAACCCCCAUUCAACAGCUUCAGCUUCUGCAGUCUGUACAUCCCCUGUAAAUAGAGUGGAUUUCACAGCAGCCACUUUAACUUUGUUGCAUGAGUCUCUAAUAACAACCCCCAGGCCGGCCUUUUGCCUGUCAAAAUUAACAGCAGCAUCAACAUUAACUUUGAAUGUAUUAUCAGGAGGAGGGCUCCAUACUUGCUGAUUCUUGGGAGAAUAGUUUGCCUCUGGAUCCAACUUCGGCUGUUUCACUCUUCUAUAGGCCUCCACCACAGCCUCAGCUCUUGAGAUAGUUAGUAAGGGUUCCAUUUUUUUUCCUUCAAACAGAAACUUAUUCCUGCCAUACCAGAUAGCCCAGCAGAUAGCUACCAUAACUUCAAUGUCUGACUUUGUUAAUUUCUUAGCCAUUUCAACCAUAAUUUCCAACAUGUCUUGGUUAACAGCAUCAGGGAAACAUGUUUCAAAAGGGGCAUACCUCCAGACCUUCUUGGCAGCUUUACAUAGUAACAGAGUAUGAGCUGUAGUUUCCUUACCUUGCUUGCAAAUUUGACAUGUAGGCUCCAGCAGUAUCUCUCUUCUCCAUAAAUUAUCAGCAGUAGGCAAAAGGUUGUGAGAUGCUCGCCACAUGAAGAUUUUAAUUUUUUCCGGCAAUUGAAGGGUCCAUAACAAAUUCCAGUGGUGCAGACCCUUGGAUGAACAGCUCGGCUUAUCCGGAUUUUUAAUCUUAAGCGCCAAUUGGUAUCCACUUUUUACAGAAUAUUGCCCUUUUUUAUCAAAGUGCCAGAUCACCUCGUCCAUUCUUGGUCUUCUCGGCAGCGGAAUUCGUAGAAUUUCAGCUGCAUCCUCAUCCAUAAACCACUGUCUCACCUUUCUUUGAUCCCAAUUAUUUCCCUGACUAAUGAGAUCUGCUACUGAAGCAUCUGCUGCCACAUUUUGAGUUGAUAUUGGCUUAAACGUUUCUGGCCUUGGAAUCCAAUUGUCUCUACAUAUUUGUAUCUUUUCUCCAUUGCCGAUCCUCCAUCUGAUUCCUUUUUGCAGCACUUGUCUUCCCCACAGAAUAGACCGCCAUAUGUACGAAGGAUUAGAUCCUGCUCUAGCUUGUAAAAAAUCAGUCUCCUUGUAAUAUCUAGCCUUCAGCACUCUGGUGACCAAUAAGUCUGGGUAUUGCAGCAAUCUCCACCCUUGUUUGGCCACUAAAGCCCGGUUGAAGCUAGACAUUUCCCUGAACCCGAGGCCUCCUCUACUCUUAGCAUGACUCAUCUUUCCCCAUCUUGCCCAGUGAAUUCCGCGCUUGUCCUCCUUUGAUCUCCACCAAAACUUGGCCAUUGCCUUCUGAAUAUCAUCACACAAUCCUAGGGGUAACUUAAAGACGCUCAUCGCAUAGGCUGGUAUCGCUUGAGCCACAGCUUUGAUAAGAACUUCUUUCCCUCCACUUGAGAACAAACGAUGCUGCCAGCUUGCAAUCUUACUCACCACUUUCAGUUUCACCUCAUUGAAGAAGCUGGUCUUCUUUCUUCCAACCAUAGAUGGAAGGCCCAAAUAUUUUCCAUGCCUAGAAACCACAUUAAGUUGGAAAAUGUUUUUUAUUGCUUCAGCUCUGUCCUCUGGAAUGCUCCCACUAAACACUAAGGAGGACUUCUCAAAGUUAAAUAGUUGUCCUGAAGCAGCUGCGUAGCAAUCAAAAAUGGCUUUUAGGUUCAUGCAGCUGUCAACUGAAGCUUUGGUGAACACAAGGCUGUCAUCCGCAAAAAGCAAAUGUGAGAUAGUGAGCUCUUUCCCGAAUUUCAGCCCUUGAAUGAGGUGAUUACGCUCUGCCUGCAGUAACAAGUUGGAGAAAGCCUCUGCACACAAAAUGAAGAGAUAUGGAGACAACGGACAGCCUUGCCUAAGGCCUCGUUGAGGGUGAAUCAGCCCUUUUGGAUUUCCAUUAAUAAUUACAGAGAAAGAUGGUGUAGAAACACAAUUCAUGACCAGCUCUACCCAUCUAUUUGGAAAUCCUAGUUUAAUCAUUGUGUGCUUCAAAAAAUCCCACUCCAUCCUAUCAUAUGCUUUGCUAAUGUCUAACUUUAAAGCCACUAGCCCAUUUCUUUUCCCCUUGCUGUGUCUAAUUUUAUGGAGGCAUUCAUAACCAAUAAUGAUAUUGUCAGUAAUAAGCCGAUUGGGUAUGAAUGCACUCUGAUUGGGAGAGAUAAUCUGAGCAAGGAUAGGUUUCAUUCUAUUAGCUAUAGUCUUAGCAAUAAGUCUGUAGAUUACAUUACAAAGACUAAUUGGUCUGAAUUCUGUAACUUUCCUAGGCUUGUGGACUUUUGGAAUCAAAGCAAUGUAAGUGUGGUUUAACUGAGAUAAUGUACCUUGCUCAUUCAGCACAUGCAAGCACGUUUCAAUCACUCCUCCUCCCACUGUUAGCCAGUGUUUCUGAAAGAAGACAGCAGGGAGUCCAUCUGGUCCAGGGGCCUUUGUUGGGCACAUUUGGCUCAGCGCAUUUGAAACCUCCUCGGCUGUGAAAGGCUGCUCCAGCAUGCUCUUCAUAUCUUGGGUCACAUUCGGCAUCAGGCCCGCCAAAGCACUAUCUAUUUGGACUUGGCUUGUUCUUGAGGAGGUGAAGAUCUCUUGAAAAUACUCACAAAAUUCAGCUUCCACUUCAGCGAUAUCCUCUGUCCAUUUUCCUUGUCCGUCUUCAAUUCCCCAAAUCUUGUUCUUCUUUUUUCGAGCCGAAGCUUUAGCAUGAAAGAAUUUCGUAUUUUGAUCUCCUUCUUUUAACCAAUCAGCCCUCGAUCGUUGCUUCCAAUACAUUUCUUCAUCGAUCAGCAGAUUAUGGAUUCUGUUUUCUAAUCUUUUAUACUCAUCACCCCCGUCAUAAUGCUCAAAAUUUUGUUUAACCCUUUCUAGCUGCUUCCUUAAUCUCUUUAAUUCUUCUUCCCGACCUCCGAACUCCCGCUUACUCCACCCUUUAAGCCUCGCCAUCGAAUUCUUGGCUGAUUUUUUAAACUGGAGGACAGGAUCUCCAUUUUUCCAGCUCCCACAAUUACUCCACUCAUCUUGAACAAUACUCUUGCACAUAUCGUAAGCACUCCACAUGUCUUCAUAGUGCACUCUAGGGGAAGACUUUCUAGCAUAACUCUCACAUUGCCCUCUUCCUUUAACUUCCAUUAGCACUGGGCAAUGGUCGGAGCCCACUGUUAACAGGUUCGUAGCUGGAGAAUCAAAGAAGCUAUUAGCCCAAUCUUUACUACAAAAAAAUCUGUCCAAUCUCUCUUCAACCAGAUGGGGACCAAACCGACGGUUGGACCAGGUAAACGGGUAACCCUUGCAGCCUACGUCGAUGAAGUUACAAACUUGAACCGCCUCUCGAAAGCUAAGCAUCAUGUUCACAUUUCGGUCUUGGCCACCAUUUUUCUCCCUUGGAUCUAAAAUUUCGUUGAAGUCUCCAAAGCACAGCCAUGGAAGAUCAGACAGACUUGCCAAUCUUCGGAGAAGUGUCCACGUGUGCUGUUUUUGUUGGGUCUCCGGGUGUCCGUAAAUCCCUGUGCACCUCCAAUACUUCCCAUUUUCAGAUUGUACAACAGCGUCAAUAUGAUGAUUGCUGAAAGAGCUUAUAUUUACAUGAACCUCACUGCUCCAGCACAGCGCUAACCCUCCACCUAAGCCAUUUCUAUUUACAGCAAAACAAUUCGCAUAAUUCAUCCGAUUACAUACCUCCCUCGCUUGCACAGCCAUUAAUUUAGUUUCACAGAAAAACAAAAUAUGAGGCUUGUGUGUUUGGAGAAUUCGCUUCACCUCUAGGCGCGUCCGGGUAUUCCCCAAACCCCGGACGUUCCAGCUUAACAUUUUCAUGGCUGUCGGUGGGGCUGUGCACCAGCCACCGCCGAUAUGUCUUCUUGCAUUGCUGUCUCAUCCUCUACGAUUGUGUUUUCGGGCUGCUCCCAGCACACCUUAAGUUUUGCUGCCGGGGAGUAUGUCUGAGUGUUGUUAGUUAACAGGUAAGUUGGGCUCAUCCCUUUUAGUCUUUUUUUUUCUGGACUUAACUCAUCCUCCUCAUUUCUAAGCCUCUUGGUUCCAGGUGGGUUACCAAUCCUGUCUCUUCUGCUUAAAGGGUUCCUGGCUUGAAGUUUCCAUUUUCUCCCUUUGGGCUUUAGUUUAGCAUGCCUCGGCCCACAUAUCAUUCCUUCCUUAUUGUUUUCUUCUGGAUACUGUAUAGACUUUUGGUGAGCCACUUUUGUAGCCCUCUCUUUCCCGCUUUCAAUAUCAGUGCUUUCCCUCCCAUUAUUUCCUUCCUUUUUGUACAAAGUACUCAUCGAGCCUAUACUGUCUGCUGUGCUAGCUUGUGCUUUGCAGUCUAUCAGCUGCUGCCUCGAUUCUUCAACACUUUGCAUUAAUUGCGCUUCAAACACUUCUGCCACUUGGUUUACUUUUGGUUGUUCUGUAUUUUUGUUUUUCCCAAUGCAGGUUGCCUCUGAACCGCUUUCCCGAACCGGGCUGGCGUGCCAUUGUUGCAAUUGUUGUUUGCUUGAGUUUGCAGGUGGGGAGCUUGGUUUUUGGUGCUCAUUGCUCCAUUUCUCCUUGUUCUUGUUGAAUCUAGCUCUUUCAGCUGCAGUUUUGGCUCUCAACCAGCUUCCAUAUGGCAAGUUCUCCUUAGGUUGUCCUUGAUACUUAAGGCAUUCUCUGAAUUGGUGUCCUAAGGUACCACAGCAAAAACAAAAGUCCGGCAAUCUCUCAUACACCACCGCCAUCGGAAUCUUCUUCUUUCCUUCAACUUCAAUGAACAAGAUCUUUUUAAGAGGCUGCGUUAUAUCUACCGAAAGUCUCAGCCGAGCGAAUAUUCCUAUACAUUCCCCAUCUUCGUCAGUUUCAAUCUCCUCAACUUCUCCAAUCUUUUCUCCCAAUUUUUGGACUGCACAUUUCUGCAUACACAUAAUAGGCACAUUAUGGAUUUGCACCCAAAAGGAUGCAUGUGUGAAGGUCUGCUCAUGGACAUUUCCAAUUCCUUUCGGUUCAAUCAUCACUAUCAGUGCUCCUGCAAAAUGCCAAGGCCCACCGACGAGCACCCUUCUCUUUUCUUCCUCCGAAUUAAACUUGAAGAUGAAUACAUUGUUGCCUGCACUUUCCACUUUAAAUUCUUUUAUGGAUCUCCACACUUGUUGCAAAGCAGCUCUCAAUCCUUCUAUACUGGCUCCUUUGUUUAGCAUGAUUUUACCCACUAAACAAUUAGCCGCAAUUUUUUGACCUUCCUCCUUCAUGCUCCCAAAGAAUUCAAUCUUAUCAUUCUCCUCGUCUUGUAGAGUUAUUGCACUGCACUUUCGAAUAAGUUCUUCUGUGUUCAUUCCAAACGGCUAAGAAAAUCUAAGAAGAUUUUUAAACCAACUGCCAACAGCCACUCUCUGUAAUGAAAACCAACGAAACUACCUCACCAUCCCGUAAAUCCUACUCUGUAUUUUACUCUAAGUUAAAACAAUAAAAGGGACCACUCAACACGUGAGUGACAGAUAGAGUCAUCACGACUCCUUUACCUUCCAUUCUCUAUGCUUCUUUCAGAGAGAAAGAGAGCACUGUAGAAAGAAGACUUUUAAUCAGGGAGCUACUACCUUACGUUGAACGUAAGGGACAACAUUUGUUACCUUACGUUUAACGUAAGGUACAACCUUUUCUAUCAGCGGUGGGUUUCAGUGGAGUCUUUUAGUCUUUCUUAUAAGACAAUUAACUAGUGGGGUUCAAAUAAAACUACACACAACAAUUUUUCCUUUUUUUUUUCAUUUUUUUUGGACUUGAUCUUUUCGUGUUUACUGUUUAGCUUCUCCAAUAAUAUUAUUAUACCUAUAAUAUAAUUUAUAUAAUUUUCAGUAAUGUGAUUAAGAAAUUAAACAUGCAAUUUAUAUUAAUAUGUGACGCCAAAAAUUUUUCAAGUCCACAAUUUUUAUUAGCUUGUUUGAUUUAGAUUUUUUCUACGCAUAUUGUCAUUGAUUUGAGACCCAAAUUGAUUGUUAACAAAAUAAAAUAAUAAAUUGUUCACAUAUCUAAGUGGAAUAAAGAAGAAUUUUGAUAGUAAAUUCAUUUUUUUUAUAAAUAUUUCUUUAUAAAUGGGAUGGCUCAUUUUUAGGUUUUAAUAAAAACUUAAUGUAAUGAAAGUAAAUUAUAAUAUAAAUUUUAAAAAAUGUGUAAAUUAUUUAUAUGUUAAAUGGUUAGGUAUAUGAGAAGAUCUUAAUUUACAAAGAGUAUAUUAAAUAAAACAGAGAUAAAGUAUACAUUAUUUAAUUGUCAGAUGAUCACGGUGCAACUAAUUAUUUAACUGGAGUAAUAUAAUAUUAACUAUGAACAUUGUAUUAAAUUUUUUUAAAGAUAGAAUCAAAAUUGGGAUCUGUCCACUAUAGACUAUGAGUUUUUUUUGAAGAUAGGAAAGGGGUUUAACCAACAGUAGUUGAAAUGGGUUCCUCCGGUGCUUCAUUAGAUCUUAAUGUGUGAAAUUAUUUAGGGUCAAUUUAGUAAUUUUAUAGUUUUUAAAAUGAUUUUUAUUAGCAGUAGAAAUAAUUAACUGUGAAGAGAAUAAAUUAAAUAUUUAGUAAAAUUUAUUUUUAAAAAUGUUAGUAAAAUUUGUAGUGUUUAAAGUUAUGUAUUAUUGUUAUAAAUUGCUCUAACUUUAACUUGAGUCUUAUGAAUUAUCUUAUAAUUACUCUUAAACUUGAUAUAUUUUUGUAUUUACAUCCAUGUGUCAGUAUAUUUUAAGCUAUUAUUGGUUCUUUAAUAGAAGACACAUUUUCCUAACAAAAAAAAAAAAAAACCAGUUCUGUCAUGAAAAACGUCUGGUCUAAGGACUGUGGUAGACAGUGACUGGUGCAUAAGAUAAAAGGCCCCAAGUCCAGUUGUAAAGCGAAAAGCGAAGCCCAAUAGUGAAAGAAAGAAAUACUUGAGCUAAUUUUUUAAUUUCAGUUUGCUAUCUUAUAAUUACUGCUGACAGCAUUCCCUCUAGUUGAACAGCUAACGAAACAAGCCCACUAGCUUCUUCCCCACCACUUGUACUCAACAACUCAAAUAUCAUGAACUCUGAUCUGUACAAGGCUGCAGCAAAGGGGGAAAUUGAACACUUCAACCAAUUGGCGAUAGAUCGUCAACUUGCAAGCAUAGUGACUCACAAAAAGAAUACCGUCCUGCACGUCAACAUAAUAGUAUCCUACACCCAGAAUAAAGAAGGAGAAAGUGUCUCCACCGAGUUCGUGGAACGGAUACUUGAAAUGUGUCCAUCAUUGCUACUACAAGUUAAUGCCAAAGGUGACGCUCCACUCCAUGUUGCGGCCAAAUGCGGAAAUGCUGCUGUUGUGAGAGCUCUGAUUGAGUUUGCGAAACAAGAGUCCGAUCAAGAGCUAGAAAGUGGCGAGGAAAGUACAGCAAGGCAUAUGCUAGGGAUGAAAAAUGAUGAAGAAGACACAGCGUUGCACGAGGCAGUGCAAAGUGGUAGUCUUGAUGUCGUGAAAAUUUUAUUGGGAGCAGACCCUGCUUUUCCGUAUUCUGCUAACGGUAGCGGUGAAACUCCACUUUACUUGGCAGCCGCGAGGGGACAUGAGAAGAUAUCAGCUGAAAUAUUACAAAAUUGUCCGUUGGCGGCCCAUGAAGGCCCCAAUGGAAAGACUGCCCUUCAUGCAGCAGUCUGCAGUUACUAUUACUCUUACGGUAUGGAUGCGCAUGCUUUCAUACAAUAUUUAAUACCAUAAUUGUUUUUUAAAUUGUUCGGUUUUUUUAUAAAAUUUUUAAAGAUUAAAUAAUUUAUUCUAAUAAAAAUAUAAAUUUUAACCUUUUAAUAACAGAGUUUGAAAACUUUUUAAAAUAUUUAAAUAUCUAAAAUAUUUUUUAUUUGUUUGACAAUUUAUUUUAUUUAUUUUAUAACACAAUUUUAAAAAAAUUAUUCAUUAAAAAACAUUUUAUAAUUUUAAUCAAAUUUUUAUUGGCAAUCAAAAAAUUAAAUUUUUUUUGAUAAAAAUUUUACUAACAGGAACUAUUCUUAAAUGGAUUUUAUUUUAAAAAUAAUAUCAAACAUAAGCUUAAUUGUUUAAUUUUCUUUUCUUUUUAGGUGUGAUAAAACUAUUACUUGACAGAAAGAAAAGUUUGACCAGAGAAAGAGACCAACACGGUUGGACUCCACUCCAUUACGCUGCGUAUGUUGGUCGCUUGUGGGGCUCAAAGUGUUUAUUAAAAGCUGAUAAAUCUGCUGCGUUGAUUGCUGACAAAGAUCGGAAGAUGACAGCUCUUCAUUUAGCAGCCAGCCAAGGAUAUGUUGGGACGGUACGUCGAAUUAUUGACCGUUGUCCGGAAUGUUGUGAAUUGGUUGAUGACAGAGGAUGGAAUGUUCUUCACUUUGCUAUGGUUAGUUUUAGCAUCAGCGAAUUGAAAUAUCUGCUGAACAAAUAUCCGGUGGUCAGAAAUCUAAUUUUUGACAAGGAUGUGAAGGGAAACACUCCUUUCCACGUGCUUGCUGUUGUCUGUCCGCAUCCAUACUAUUACGGCUAUGGCAUCAUCCCUAGGAAAAUUGCUAAAGGUUAUUAUCAAGCUGUCAACAAUAAAAAUAUUAGUGUUGAACACAUAAAUCGUUAUGGAUUUCCUGAACUUGAGGUACUUAUUUCCUAUUUUAACUCAUCAAUGUUAUAAUUUAUACAUGAAUACGACUAAUGAAAUUAAAUUUAAAUUUUAAAUUUUGGUUUUUUUAUUGAUCUUUUUUCACCCGUGUAUUUAUAGUGAUUAUUUAUUUAAGAUUUAAUUAUACACAUUUCUCAUAUGAUGUGUAAAUAAAAUAUUAUUGAUUCAGAUAUCAUAUAAGAAAUUAAUUUUAGUAUGCGAAUUAAUAAAAUAUAUAGUCCAGUGCGUAGAUGUUGAUGCCAAGUCAUUUUUUCCUUCCCUUUCAUUAAACUCAUUUUCUUCUAGUUACAUUUAUAAUUUAGCAAAUAUGAUUGCAGAAAGAAAUUGAAGAAUUGUCCAAAGCUGAUGGCAGUGGACAAUAUCCAGACGGUGUCGUCAAUAUGAACAAAAACAAAGUUCAUCCGUUUUGGACAUAUUUAGAUGAAGAUGUCAUUGGAAUGGAAAAAGCAUCAGAAUAUCAUUUGGUAGUGGCAGCACUCAUAGCAACAGUAACCUUUGCUGCGGCAUUCACCUUACCCGGUGGUUACAAGAGUGACACUGAAGAAGGCCCAAACAGGGGAACUGCAAUUCUCAGUAAAAACGCAGCUUUCCAAGCAUUUGUUAUAUCAGACGCCAUAGCCAUGGUCCUCUCACUUUCUGCUGUCUUUGUCCAUUUCAUUCUGUCACUUAAGUAUUUUAAAAAAUUCAUCUUUUUAUUCAUUUUCGCUCUUUCGUUCACUUUGAUUGCCAUGGCAGCAAUGAUAGUAGCAUUUGUUACAGGCACAUAUGCAGUGUUGGCAACACCUUCUUUAAUGCUUGCCAUUGUUACUUGUAUCAUUGGCUUGACCUUCUUCCUCUUGGUGAAUUUCUUGCUUUACAAGGUUAUAUCAAAAAUAGUGAAAGGAGAAUAUGAGACUAGCUUAUGGUUCCGAUAGAAGUAUUAUUGUAUACCUCUAUCUAAUACUAUGAUUAUGUUAGCAUCAUCCUACUAUUAUGAUAUGGAGUUUUAAGUUGUAAUAGAAAUUUGUUAAACUAUCUUAUUUGGUGUAUUGCUUCAAGGCUGUAAAACGUUACUGAGAGCUUGAAAGAAAUGAUAUCAUCUAUUUGUGAUGCAGAAUUAGUUGUUGCAUAAGCAUUCCAAAUUAAUUUUAAUCAGGAAUCUUCACCGGCGGAAUGAGUACUAGUUAUUCGGAUGGGCAAAGUUUCUUCUUAGCCUAAUUAAGUGGAGAAACAAAUUUGAUAUUUCAAAUUGUGAAGAGCUUUCUUCUUUUGGAUAUUCUACCAUCAAAAUCAAUUAUAGAAUCCAAAACAAAUUCUAGUUUUGCAAUGUCUACAGUCUAUUUAUGAAUUGCAAAAAGAAUACAGCUGCAGUUAGACAUAAGUUGACAAAGUUCAUAUGUACAGCAAGAUUCCACUGCUAAUUAACACUUGCAUCUAAAUUUAAAAAUCAGCUAAUGUAGGAAAACAGUAUAAUUACAAACCGGAUAACCAGAUGCCAACAGUUUUCACCUUCAAGAGCUUGAGAAUGUCAACUAGAAAUUGAAAGUAGCAUUCCAACAUUUCUAAUUAACAUUUUAACAAAUUCCGCGUGAUAGGGGAUGCUAAAAAUAUCCAAAUGGUGAUAAAAAGGAGAUUCUUUUGAUAUGUUAUCCAGGUGCAAAAAUAAAAAAUGUCGCUUGAUGAUGAAGUAAAAGAUCUAAAACCGCAACAAACUGUGGCGUCCACACUCAUAGCAACAGUUACCUUCGCUGCGGGGUUCAUAUUACCCGGUGGUUACUGGGCUCAAGAAGGCCCAAUCCCCAGCACUCCAAUUCUCAGAAAAAAUGCAGCUUUUCAAGCAUUUGUUAUAGCUAAUGCCAUGGCCAUGGUCCUCUCUCUUUCUGCUGUUUUUAUCCAUUUCCUUACUUCAACUAAGACCCUUCGGCAAAUGACGUUUCUUGUCAAUGUGGCUCAUUGUUUCAUCCCGGCUUCCAUGUUAGCAAUGACGGUUGCUUUUGUUAGAGGCACAUCCCCAAUGUUGGCACCUUCUCUACGGCUUUCCGUUGCUAAUUGUGUCCUUGGCUUGAGCUUCAUCCUCUUUGUGCUUUUCGCCAUGUUCAAGUUUGCUUGUGGAUUGGCGCAAAGGUUGUUGGGCUUCAUGAUAUAAUUAGAAAAAAAUAAAUCUCCAUGUUGGAGAAAUUAGCAUGUUUCUGUCUCUGUGUCUAGUAGUUAAUAUGUAAUUUCCAUCUCUUCAAUCUUUAUUCUCAGUGUCAUACUAUAUGUGUAUACAUUACUACAACUGAGAUUGUACCUAAUCCUCUUUUGUGUUGAGCUAUUAUCAUCAAAAGAGGACUAAGUACAAAUACAAGGUCAACAUGAAAUUGAAAGUAGCAUAUUAGCAUUCCAACAGUAGUAAUUAACUAAAAUACUCUUUAUAUUGUAUUGGUGAAAACUCUGUAAUACAAGGUUAAUAUAAUCAAUUUUAUCAGGUGUUAAUGUGUUAGGAGCUUAUUUACAAAUAGAUAAAUAAUAUCUAAAAGAUAUGCAGUGAGUCUAGUUUUAGUACUUUGUUCUCAUAAAUUUUUCCUCUUAAUUCCACCUUUUUGGGUUCUUGAAUCUGGGCUGGCUUAUGCUAUCGAAACUGAAUAAACUUACUAACACAGACUCAAUUGCAAGUCUCAAAUCUUUUCUUUUUCUAAUUUGUAUAACCAAAAUUUUCUAAAAAAAAUAAAGCUUAUAUAAAAUUAUCAUAUGUUUUCAUUGCAUCUUGAUACAAAUUGUUUCUUAACAAAAUGAUUGAGAAAAUAUAUAAGAGACAAUAAUGAAAUUUACAAUUUUCAUAUUAGGGAAUUGCAAACUGCAAUGCUGAGACAACAAAAUAACUUAGGUAAAUUAAUAUGCAACAAAAUAGAAGAUAGUAACCAUCAUUUUUGUUUCUAAUAUGAUGAGAAACUAACCUUCUAGGGUUAUAAAAAAGUAGCAGUUGUAUAUCCAUAAGAAUUUUUUUUUUAAAGUAAUUUAUAUAAACCUCCUCUUGCUUAUACUGCAAGCAAAUGCAAGUCCAUUCACUAUACCUGCAUUGCAUAAUAUGUACAAGCAUUUACAAGUUAAUAUCAUCAGUUCCAGCCUGACCAGAUAAUGAAACUGGUCCAAGUGAUUCACCUUCUACUCUACCAAAAACCAAAUACUUCUUUUUUAGAUUUCUCCCUUCGUCAAUCGAUUGAAUUACAGUCACCAAGAACUGGACCACUAAGCCAUUCCCUAUCUUUGCUUGUUGUUAAUUAGAGAAGAAUGGUUGUUCCUUGGAAACAUAGCAUACUUCACAGGACCACACGUCCACACCGCAAUAUGACCCCAAAGCUAAAUGUUGCAUAAAUAACUCCAUGCAAGAUUUCUCCCUUAACAGACAAGAAAGUGCGACACAGAAUUGUUACAGGGAAGAACACAACCCUUGACUCAUUCACAGUUCCCUGCUCUCUGUCGAUGCUCUUCAAGUUGGUUACUGAAAGAAAGUAACAUUUAUCAAGCCCUUCAACAGUCGUGGUACAAUAUAUCGUUGAGGAACCCGCAGCCCGUUUCCGUCCAAACUUUUAGCAGGCACUGCUACAUCCCUGAGCAAUUCCACUUCGAAAAACAUUUCUCCUCUAUAUGAAAACAACAAAAAUAAGUUCCUUAUUACAAAUUAAUCAACCAGAAUUCUUCCAGAUUCUAUGCAGCUCUACAACAUCUAGUAAUGCAAAUCUUCCCAAAUACAGUACUUGUGAAAUGUUGUAUCAUUAGCCAUUGCACUAUAAUGCUGUUAAGAAGUCUAAUAGAAAAGAUGAACAAGAAUACAAUGAUGCUGAUGCCACUGUAUGCAACCCCAAUUACACCAUGACUUGGAGGUUAAUUUGAAAACUAAUCAAGAUUUUAAACUUAGUACAAUCCACAAAAAUUGAAGAACGAACCAAUAGAAAUGUUGUAACCAAAUUAGAUCAAUCACAAAAUGAUCAUUUUCAUAUACUUUGCGGAUGGUAUAUAUUUGGAACAGAAUAAUUUAUUCCUAUCAACACAUCAGUAAUCUAUUUAGUUGUGUAUACCUUCUCUUGUGUAUUAACUCGUGUUAAAAAUUUGAAGUAAUUUAUGCUAGCUAGCUCUUCCGUAACACUAUAAAUGUUACAGGGAAGAACACAACCCCUGACUCAUUCAUAGUUCCCUGCUCUCUAUCGAUACUCUUCAAGUUGGUUACUAAAAGAAAGUAACAAUGAUCCUUGCAAGCCUUCUCAUUUAUCAAGCCCUUCAACAGGCGUGGUACAAUAUAUCGCUGAGGAACCCGCAGCCCGUUUAUGUCCAAAUACAAUCCACAAAAAUCGAAGAACGAACCAAUAAAAAGGUUGUACCAAAAAGAGAUAAAUUACUAAAGGAUCAUUUAAUUACAUUGCGAAUGGUAUACAUUUUGAACAGACUAAUUUAUUCCCAUCAACACAUCAGUGUUUCUAAUCAUUACUGUUGAGAUGCUUAAUCAACAGCAGCAGAUCAAUGACUGAGAUUCACUUUACUAGGAUUGAUGAGCUGGAUAGCUAAGCUGGGCAAAAUCAGUUAGAUUGUUAUUAAAUAGUUGUUUAGUUUAACUUAACCAAUAGUUAAUUGGCAGCUGUACAAAAGGUUGUUGUUAUUGUUAAUUAGUAGUAUAAAUUGAUUACAAACAGAAUGUAAUAUAGUUAAUUGAGAUUAAUAAAAGGUUCUUUGAUUCAGCUACUUUUCUUUCUUCUUUCCGUCACUUUCCUGCUAGCCAAACAAACUGUAUGCUUAAGAUCUGUGAUUUCUAAGUUGGUAUCAGAGCCAGAUGGCAUCGUCAAGCUCAAAUCAAACCACAGCUGUUUCCUACACCUUUCCUACACGAAUUAAGCUCGACAGAUCAAAUUAUUUGAUCUGGAAAAUGCAAGUAUUGGCAUCCAUUCAAAGAAAUGGAUUAGAAGGUUAUAUUGAUGGUUCAAUCACUGCACCAUACACAGAUCAGAGGAUUCCGAGCUCUGAAUUUGUGAUAUGGAAGCGAACCGAUCAGCAACUGUUAGGCUGGUUACUCUCUUCCAUGACUGAGAGUGUUCUCGGAAUUGUUCUCGAUUGUAAAACAUUUUUUGAAGUUUGGAAAGCUCUGGAAAAAUUUUAUGGCUCACAAAACAAAACCAGAGCAUUACAACUGAAGAACCAAAUGAUGAUGACAAAGAAGAACGAUCUAAGUGUUUAUGACUAUUUUCACAAAAUGAAAGGCAUAGCAGAUAGCAUGGCAGCAGCAGGAGCACCAAUGAGUGACUAUGAUUUUAUGAUGAGUGUGCUAGGAGGAAUUAGUUCAGAAUUCAAUCAUGUAGUAGUUUUGAUCAUAGGAAGAGGGCAAGAUCUCGAUCUAUCAAAAUCACUCUCUAUGUUAAUGACACAUGAAGGAAUGUUAGAACAACAAGCUUUAGUUGAAGCUAUGGAAGCAAAUAUGGCCUUUGCUGUAAAUUUUACUCAGAAAGGGUCAAACAAGAAGAAAUGUUUUGGCACAUACAACUCAAAAUUUGCUUUCAAUCAAGAUGUAUCAAGAUAUGAAAAUCCUGGAUACAUGAUGCAAGGAAAUUUUAGAACCAAUCAAGGCCGAAAUCAGCAAGGUGGAAAUCAUUAUAGAGGAAAGAAAGGUGGAAGAGGAAAUAAUAUGUAUGGAUGAAGAUCUUGGAAUCAAGGUGGGAGAACUCAAAUGCCUGGUAAUUUUUCACAGCAAUAUCAACCUAGAUGCCAAGUGUGUUUCACCAUAGGACACACUGCGGAUAUCUGUAAGGAUAGGUUCAAUAAGGAUUUUGUUCCAGUCAUGAGGUAUCCACAUCAAAGCAAUUACAAUCAACUGUUUAAUCAAGGCUACAGUCAAAGGAAUAUGUCAGCUUAUAUGGAAACACCAGAAACUGUAAUGGAUGAUGGCUGGUACCUAGACAAUGGAACAAAUCACCAUCUUACCAAUGACCUCAACAAUCUUAGCGUCAAUGAACCUUAUGAAGGUAAUGAAAAACUUAUAAUUGGUAAUGGAUAUGGCUUUAAUAUCUCUCAUAUAGGAAGUACUCAUUUAGCAGUUGGAAAUCACAAAUUAUUGCUCAAAAACCUUCUAUUUGUGCCACACAUCACUAAAACUCUUUUAAGCAUUUCUAAGCUUACAACUGAUAAUUCAUUGAUCAUUGAAUUUUGUGAAAAUACUUGUUUUCUCAAGGACAAGAAGAAGAGGACAGUUUUACUGGAGGGUGUGGCUAUGAAGGGUCUGUAUAAGCUGAAACUUGAGCCUGGAAGUAAAACUCAUCAAGCUUUAUUUUCAACUGUAAAUAAAGAGUCAUGUUCUGUUCAUAUGUCUAUGAUGUCACAUUGUGCAAAUGAUUUGCAGUCUUAUUCUAGUUCAGAUACUCAAACUAAAAUUGUUCAACAUCAUUCUCAAAAUUGUCUGUUGUCCCAUUCCAGUUCAGUUUCCAGUACUUCAAUAAAUGUUUUACAUAGGCAACUUGGUCAUCCUAGUUCAAAAGUCCUGAAGCAUGUACUCUCCAGUUGUAAACAUUUGCAGUUACGCGAUAAAACUCAAAUUCCUGAUUUUUGUGAUGCCUGCCAAUAUGGGAAAGUUCAUAAACUACAUUUUGGAGUAACAAAUAUCAAAACAACCUCUCAUUUAGAACUCAAACAUACUGACUUAUGGGGUCCAACACCCAUCACCUCUGUAAAUGGUUAUAAAUACUAUAUGAGUUUCAUUAAUGAUUAUAGUAUAUAUACCUGGGUUUAUCCUUUGAAAGCCAAGUCUCAAGCCUUAUAUGUCUUUAUCAUUUUUAGAACUCAGGUUGAAAAACAAUUUGACACAACCAUUAAAAUCCUACAGUCAGAUUAGGGUGUGAGUUCAGGUCAUUUGUGCCUUAUCUUCAAAAACAUGAAAUUUUAUUCAGGCAUCCUUGUCCUCACACACAUCACUAGAAUGGGACAGUAGAUAGAAAAGACAGACGCCUUGUUGAGAUGGGUUUAACUUUUCUUGCACAAGCCAAAUUACCUCUCUGGUGGGAAGCAUUUUCAACAUCAGCCUUUCUCAUUAAUCGAUUACCAACUUCUGUCCUGUCAUCACAUAAAUCUCCCUAUGAAAUUCUUUUCAAACACAAGCAUGACUAUACUUUUUUAAAAUAUUUCAGUUGUUCAUGUUUUCCAUAUUUGAGAUUCUAUAACAAACACAAAUUCAAUUUUCAUACUACAAAGUGUUUGUUUCUUGGUUAUAGUCCAGACCACAAAGGUUAUAAGUGCCUAAGCUCAAAAUGUGUUGUCUAUGUUGCUAGGCAUGUAGUGUUUAAUGAGUCGGAAUUUUCUUUCUCUACUGAUCCUCUUUUCUCUAAAUAGUCUUCUUCCUCUGUUUCUGAAUAUAAACAUCUUAUGUUUAAGAUAUCUUUUGUGUCAGUUCCACUUCAUGAUCCUUCAGGCUCAAGUGACACCAAUAUACAACAGUUUUAGUUCCAUACAGCUUCAGCUUCUUCCUCCUCAUCUAGUUCUUCAUCACCUUCAUCUUCUUCUUCUCCUCAACCACCUCAUCUAUCUCCACUUGAUCCUCAUCAAAAUAUGUCCCAUAACUCUCUACACUCUUCUUCCUCUACAUCUCCUAAUUAAGCUCCACUGCCAACUCAUCCAAUGAUUACGAAAGCAAAAACAUAAAUAUUUAAGCCAAAGUUUCUUGCAUAUUCUUCUGUUCUUGAAGAACAAGAACCUGCUACAGUCUCUCAAGCUCUUUCAGAUCUCAAAUGGAAGGCAGCCAUGCAGGCUGAGUAUAAUGCACUUAUGGAAAACAAAACUUGGGUUCUUGUACCAGCCUCUCAAGCUAUUAAAGUUGUUGGUUGUAAAUGGGUGUUUUGCAUUAAGUAUAAUGCAGAUGGUUCUUUUUUUAAGUAUAAAGCUCGGUUGGUUGCAAAAGGGUUUCAUCAAACACCUGGUAUUGACUACUUUGAGACUUUUAGUCCAGUGGUUAAGCAAUCUACUGUGCGAAUUGUACUUAAUCUUGUUGUGAUGAAGGGCUGGAAAAUAAGACAAAUAGACAUCAACAAUAUUUUCCUUAAUAUAGUGCUCAAUGAAAAUGUCUACAUGUUCCAACCCGAGGGUUUUGUUCAGUCUCCAUCUGGUCAUGUUUGUAAGUUGCUUAAGGCUCUUUAUGGUCUGAAACAGGCUCCCAGAGCCUGGUUUGACAGGUUAAGGAAAGCACGGUUGCAGUGGGGGUUUCAAAACUCAAGAGCAGAUUCAUCUUUGUUCUUUAAACAUGAACUUGGAGGUAUUGUGGUUGUAUUAAUAUAUGUGAAUGAUAUUUUAAUUACUGGAGAUAAUAAUACAAUGAUUGAAACAUUCAUCAAAUAUCUUGGAGUUACCUUUGCUUUAAAAGAUCUUGGAGAAUUCAAUUACUUCAUUGGUAUUGAAGUUACUCAUGGUGCAGAGGAUAGCUUACAUCUCUCACAGGCCAAAUAUGUAAGGGAUUUGCUCACAAAAACUUACAUGGAAAAUUGCAGAGAAAGUGAUACUCCAAUGAGUACAGGACAAAAACUAAGAAGAGCACGAAAUAAAGAUAACUUGAUUGUUAAUGCUACUGAAUAUAGAAGCAUAAUAGGUGCAUUGCAGUAAUUGGUACUUACAAGACCAGAACUUACUUUUUCAGUAAACAAGUUGAGUUAAUUUCUUGCUGUACCUACUGAGAAACACUGGAUUGCUUGUAAAAGAAUUCUAAGAUACUUGAAGGCAACUGAGGAUUAUGGACUUUUGUUUAAAGCAGGUGGUGAAAUUAGCUUAACUACAUAUACAGAUGCAGAUUGGGCGUGUGAUGUUGAUGACAGAAAAUCAGUUGGAGCAUAUUAUCUAUAUCUUGGGCAGAAUCUUAUUUCAUGGUCUUCAAAGAAGCAACAAACGGUAGCAAGGUCUAGCAAAGAGUCGGAAUAUAGAGCACUGUCAACAGCUUGUGCAGAAAUUGUUUGGAUUCAGGCUUUAUUGGAGAACUUAAACUGAAGUGCAGUCAAAGACCAAUAAUCUGGUGUGACAACAAUGGUGCUGCUGCAUUAGCAACAAAUCCAGUAUAUCAUGCUAAAACCAAGCAUAUAGAGUUAGAUGUGCAUUUCAUAAGAGAAAAAGUAAUGAGCAAACAAGUGGAGAUCAAGUAUGUGCCUAGUGAGUGGAAUAUUGCAUAUGUGCUUACAAAGCCUAUGCCUUACUCCUUUUUCAAUUGCUAUAGAGACAAGCUUAAUGUUGUUCCACGACCGUUAAGCUUGAAGAGGGGUGUUGAGAUGCUUAAUCAACAGCAACAGAUCAAUGGCUGAGAUUCACUUGACUAGGAUUAAUGAGCUGGAUAGUUAAGCUCGACAAAAUCAGUUAGAUUGUUAUUAAAUAGUUGUUUAGUUUAGUUUAACCAAUAGUUAAUUGGCAGCUGUACAAAAGGUUGUUGUUACUGUUAAUUAAUAGUAUAAAUUGAUUACAAACAGAAUGUAAUAUAAUUGAUUGAGAUUAAUAAAAGGUUCUUUGAUUCAGUUACUUUUCUUUAUUCUUUCCGUCAAUUUCCUGCUAGCCAAACAAAUUGUAUGCUUAAGAUAUGUGAUUUCUAAGUAUUACACAUCAGUAAUCUAUUUGGUUGUAUUCAUACCUUCUCUUGCGUAUUGACUCAUGUUAAAUAUCUAAAGCAAUUUAUGCUAGCUAGCUCUUCAGUAACACCAUAAACAGCCAAAAGUACAAGUACUCUCUGUACUAACAUGAAAAAGAACUCAACAUUACCAACAAAAAUUUCAAAAUUUGGAGGAAUGUAAACAAGUAUCAUAACCAUUUCUAAAGAUCCCAUUUCACAACAUUCACUAUAAAGGCCAUAGUCCUAAUACCCAAUACAAAAAAAAAACACAGAAUAUUUAUGCAAUGCGCAAAGAACUUAAAUAACCUUCAGGGUUUAAAGAGAAAUUAGAACCUGCAAAUGCACACAGAACUAGAACUGAACUGAGAUGAAGAGAUCAAGUGAUGGGUGGGUUUAAAUAAAACAAGAAGAAGAAUAUUCUGGCAUUAGAUGAUGAUGUAAUGGCAUCUUUAUAUUGUAUAUAGCGUACGCAUGAUUCGAAUUGUAAUGAUGAAAAGCUUGACCUGUGUUUGUUCUUCACUGAGCUUGAGUCGGACAAAAUUGAUAUGUUCGAAGUUUAACAUUUUGGAGGCAAUGCUAUGCUAUCUUGUACUUUCAUGUUGUCAUAUCACUCAAGUCCUGCAAAGUUUUUAACAUUUUAAUGUCUUAGGAAACACAAGAAAGGCUCUGGCAGAUGUUUCAUCUGUGGCAAGAAAGGCCACUAUGCUAAACAAUGUAAAUCCAAAAAGAAACUCCCAGCCAAACUCAUCCAGCUGAUCCAGCAAGAUGAUUUUGAUGACGACAUUUAUACCUGGUCCGAUAGCCCCUUUGGUGCUGUCUAUAGUUUUGAUGAAUAUCCUCUUUCUGAUUCUGAGGAUACUGCUUCUACAACGGACGGUGAUUCCCCUGAUGAUGAUGAUGAUGACACUGUUCUCACUGUUCGAGAACCUCUACAAGUUACUUCUGCCAUACAACGGUCUUCCCACUUCCGACCACACAUCAAAGUCAUCCUCAAUCCCUCUGAAGAUAGCCAGGUAGCUCUUACUGCUCUCAUCGACACAGGAGCUAUGUGCUCAUUUAUCCGAGAAGCCUGUGUUCCCCGACAGUUCUAUGUUCCUACUAAGGUUUCUUUCGGAUCCGCCAGCGGCAGGGACUUCUACAGCAAAAAGGUUACUCGUCCUAUCGAGAUCCAACCUUUUAUGAUCCACCAUGGAUUCUUUGCCUUCGAUUACUCCGGCGAAGAUAUCCUCCUUGGCACCGACUUUCUCCGUCUGGUUGCCCCUUUUGCCUUCUUUCCUGAAGGAUUCUCUUACACCAUCCGCAAUCCAGUCGAUGGUUCUCAGCAUACUUUUCAAGUUCCUUGGGUUGAAAAGCAAUCCAUUUUUGGAGAGGGUGGAAAACUAACAAACUACCCAAUCCAUAAAUAUGAACCCCAAAUUAAGGAACUCCUUGAAUGCUGUGCCGAAGUACCAAACCAGUUCUGGGCUAGAGAACAACACUUUGUGUCUCUACCAUAUAAAGAUGGAUGGACCAUGCCUCACCAGACAGCCUCUCAUCCAGGCAUGCCCCAUGACGAAGAAUUGUGCAAAUCAGAGAUCCAGGUCCUUAUGGAUCUAAAGCUCAUCAGGCCCUCUAAGUCUCAUUGGGCCAGCCCAGCAUUCUAUGUCAACAAGCAUUCAGAACAAAUACGUGGAAAGAAGCGAUUGGUGAUAGACUACCGAAAGCUAAAUGAUUGCUUGCAAGACAUAAGGUACCCGAUUCCACGGAGGACACAUCUUUUGAAACGUAUUGCUGGAGCAAAGGUGUUCUCAAAUUUUGACAUGAAGUCAGGCUUUUGGCAAAUUGGAAUCAAGGAAGAAGACAGACACAAGACAGCAUUUGUGGUCCCCCAUGGGCAUUAUGAAUGGAACGUGAUGCCUUUCGGCCUAAAGAAUGCACCGUCAGAAUUCCAAAACAGAAUGGAUGAGGUGUACAAAUCCAUUUCAGAAUUCUGCCUUAUCUACAUCGAUGAUGCCCUUAUCUUCAGCAACAGUGAGGAAGAACAUGCUGAACACCUGUCUCAAUUCAAAGCUCUUACCUAUAAACAUGGGUUGGCUUUGUCAGAACCGAAAAUGAAGAUAGGACUUGAUGAGGUAGACUUUUUGGGACUACACAUCAAACAGGGAUUCAUCAUUCCUCAGCCACAUAUUGCUGAAAAAAUAUCCCAGUUCCAUGAAACCCAAGAGGAUGAAAACAGUGAGAGAGCGGUUUUAAUUCACUUGCAAAAACAUAUUAAGAUCUAAAGCCCCACAUGGAAAGUUGAUUUUUAAACUAAUUAAGUUUUACCCGUAAUUUCACAAAUAGUUAGUAUCAGAAUAUGAUUUCACAUGAACUAAUGGGAUUAGAUUGAUUAGCAUUAAUAUGCGGCUUUAUGACUGUUGUUGUCUUGUUCAGAACUGAACAACUUUGGGCAGUUUAGGAUUCUCUACUUGUGGUAAUUUUCAAAUUGUCAAUGUUCUAUAACAUAAAACAAAAAAUUUGUUUUGAAGAAAAAAGAAAAUGAAAAGACCUCUGUUACAUGAAAAAAGAAUUUCCAUUCUAUAGAACGAAUAGUAUACUUUUAUAUUAGAAUAGAAGGACACUUUUACUUGGUGCUACUCCAUGUAGUUCUUAAAAUUCAUACUUUAAUUAAUGUCAGUACGUAAUAUAGGAUUUUUACAUGUAAUAUUUUUGUAAGUUUAGGAGUAAAACUUGGUCACAAUAGGACUGGACAAGUCUUGUGUUAAUAUUUUACUCUUUUUUAUUUUACUUUUAAAAGAUUUUCCAAUGCAUAUUAAUAUCUUCAAAAUUUUUUGAUUUCUAUUUUCUUUUCAGUUAGGAAGCAGAUAAUAUUUAUAUAUCUAAUUUCCCUGUUUUUUAUAAUUUUAUUUUCUUAUUCAUUUUUUAUAAUCCAAAUACUAUUACCUUAGAUAUUUUUCCCCGCCACAGAUAACGUAGCCAUGGCAAAAUACAGUCUUGAGAAAUAUGUCAGCGUCUAAUUGCUGCUGAGCUUCGGAAACCCAAAGCCUCAAAUUCGUAGCCUCAAAACAGUGGCAAUCGAUGCCUGCUUUUUCACUAAAUUUAGUUUAUGCGCAGAAGAUCUUUAGCUAAUUAAUGAUAUGGCUCGAGUCCGUAGUCGCCAGUUCUGCCCAGCAACAGCCAUUUUCGAUUCGUUUCAAUCAUCCUUUUCAAAGUUCCACGGUACCCAUUUUCAUUUCUUCAGGUGCGGUUACACAAUUCCUCUUAAAAAUAAUUUCUUUUAUAAAAAUUCCUCUUCAAACUCUGCCCGUGAAAAAAACCCGCCAAGAAAAAUUUGUUCUUUAUCCAGGAAUAAUUUUUUUUUCUCAACAUGAUAAAGAUGAGAAUGCCAACUUAUGUUCUAGUAGCAGUUGGUUAGAUAAAUGGAACAAACUCAAUAAGUAUAACCGCCUGAAACUGCCUCAGGCACGCAUGAAUUAUAGAAAAAAUAAUGGUAAUGGUGUUGGUGGAGUUGAUGAUGGUGGUAGUAGUAGUACCAUGGGGAAGAUUGUGGAGAAACUGAAGAAAUUUGGUUACGUUGGUGACGGUGAUGGUGAGGGCAAGGAAAAGAGAGAGUGAUUGAAAAAGGGUCUAGAGAGGAUAUAUUUUGUGUGGAAGAAGGAUUGUUGCCGAAUGCAGGAGGGUGGUUUUCAAAAGAAUCCCCCUUGGGGUUAGGAGAGGAGGUAGGGAGUGACGGAGAAGUGAAGUUUCCAUGGGAGAAGCGGAAGGGAAGAUUUAUGUUACAAAUUUUUUAAAUAAUGUAUAUAUUGAUGCAUUCACUGCAUUUCUUUUUAACUUAAUUUCAAUUGAUCGUAUAUUACGUUGCAUUACGAUCCAAAUUGCUUCUUCAGAAAAUUAGUGAGAAAUUAUGAAAGAAAAAAUAAUUUAAUUUGCUUACCAAUUCUAUUUUUUUCCCCAAAAUCAAGGCAAAUUAUGUGAGGCUCAAAAUAUUAUUUGUUUUGCCGUGAAAUUUAGAAACAAAAAAAAAAAUACCUGGACAGAUACCGAACACGCCACGCCUCAUUCACAGUGCGCAGGAAGAAGUUUGACCCUUGGCCGAUGUCCUUCAAGUUGGUCACUGCAAGAAAGAAAAUUUUUAGAAGGGAGUGCUAAAAUCUGAUUAUGAAUUGUUUAUAUGUCAUUUUUACCCUCUUGGCCUCUUUGACUUUUCCUAAUCCCAAAAUAACCUUGCGUCAAUAGUUAAAUUUAAUUACCUUAUGAACUAUUAAAUAUUUUUUUGAAUUUUAUUCAAAAUCAAAAAAUAAAUAAAACUGAAAACCAGAGGCUACCGUCGCCGGCGGGGAGCCGCCCUUGUUGACAUUGGCAUUCAAGCUUGUGAAACAUUGUUAGCAUAAAAAAAAGAAAAAUUGGGAAUCCAACGAUCUAUGCAACGGAGUGAAUAUUUCCAUCCACAGCAGUUCGGUUUCACGGCGGAGAUGCUGCAACCUUCGUCAUGAAUUGUGCGUGUAGUAGGAUUGGCCAUUUUCUGACAAAAUCUUACACUAUAUUUGAGCACAUCAUGGUCUUAGGGUUCGAUUGGUAUAAGCGGUAUUGAUAACGGACCAUUUCCGGCAGUAUCUGAAAAUUUGACCGCUGCGUGCGGUGAACUUGUUCACUAUUUUCCGACGGUCAUGAUAGUAAGGGUGUUAUUGGAGAACUCGGAUUUCAAUGAUGAUGGCGGUGCGUUCUAAGGGCGAUGAGCUAUUUUCAAUUUUUCCGGUGAUCUAUUUUCAAUUUCUUAGUAAAUAUUUUUUUUUAUUUUAAAGCGGAUAUAAACACAAGUUCAUUAUUUUUUGAAACAUGAAUGGAAAGUUAAAAAAAAAAAAAGGAUCGUAAUUAAAGUAAUGAUUUAAAGAAAAUAUAAAUAGAAAGUUGAAAAACAUAAAAAUAUUUCUUGAUUGAAUAAUUUGCUUCGAAAUAAAUUUUAAUUUUUUGAAUUAAAAUUUUAAUUGUUUUUAAUAUAACCAAAUAAUAUCACUAGUUCACCUUCGUCAUUUCAAUUUACAUAUUUCUUUUUAUGAUUAAUUUACCAAACAUGCAUCUCAAAUUAUAUUAUAAAUUAUUAUGGUAUAAUUUUAAUUUACAAACAUUUAUUAAAUUGUUCAUAAAACUGAUUAUUUAAAAAUCUAUCCUAAAAUAGAUUAUUUGAGAAGCUACUGCAAUUGUACAUAAUAUAGCUUCGUCUACUCUCGAGUCAUUUUGGUUCUUUGCCCGCCUGACAAAAAGUGAAAGAAAAAUGUCGAUUGUCAAAUGUGAUGGGGCAAGCAAAGCAUAUCGAUCGAUCAGGCGGCAAGCCGCAGUAUUCAGAGAUAGCCAGGUCCAGGAUUAACUAGUAAGAUUCAAACAAUUACUUCAAUAAAUCAUCACAUUUGCAAACAUAAAUCUUUCAUUUUAUUAUACUUCCAUUAACUAUCCUUUAUUGUUACUAGUUGUAGUACGGCAACUCGAAGCUAGUCUUAAUACAGAUAAGUUCAAUGUUAAUGUCAUAACUGACAUUAAAGCAGUGAAAAUGAGUUACAUACAAAAACAAGAUAAAAUAUUAAGUCCCAACCCCCUUCUUGUUUGUUAAAAUAUAGCGAAAACCCCUAAAUAUUUCAAAAUCUAGCAAAACCUCUUGUCGUCAGUAUUAUUAAUGUUUCAAAAUUCGGAGUUAUCAUUUAAAUUGGGCCCACACCUUAUUAUUUUUAACCUCGUCGAUGUUGUCACGUGUACACCACCGAAUUGGGUUUCUAAAUUGGAUUAACACGUUUGAUUUAUUCAAUAAUUAACGAUAAAAUAGUCACUCCUCCCUUCUCGCUUCUAUGCGUGAAUCCUUUGUAACCUAAUUCCUGUAAACAACGGAUUUGCUCUAAUCUUUACCCAAGGGAUGUGUCUGAGGUCCAUUAGAUCCACGUUUCUUUAGCAACAAAUCCGCUUACUACAUUGCCUUAGGCCCCUUAACUAAUGGCUAUUUACUAUUUAGACCAUUUACUGGUGGUUAAAAUUCUUCUUCCUUUAUAGAUUGAAUGAAUGACUUUAAAUUUUAUUGGAAACCUCAUUUUUUUUUGUAAAUAUAUUUUUGUAAUGAGAGUAAACUGUUAUAUUUUUGUAAGUGUAAAGUAGCUCCGAUAAUGACUUAAAUGUAAUGAGAGUAAACUGUUAUAUAAAUUUAAGAAUCAAUUAAAAUUAGAAAUUUUUAACCAAACUUCCUCUCCGCAUGUCUCCCCCCUCUCCCCCCAAAAAGCCUUAAGCGGCCUUUAUGGCCUCUCCGGCCGCCGGUGAUGGCUGGUCCGAAGAACGAAUUAUCAGGAGUUUGAAUCCUCCUAAGAAAUCAUUUAGACGACCCCCAAAAUUCACUAACGAACCACCUCCAGAUGUCCAAUUGCCAUCACCGCGAAUCAAACCAAACCACUCUCAUACAGACCCUCCAUCUCAAAUCCAAUCCCAUGCAAACCAACCAACAACGUCCACUGUCGCUAUCCUCUCGAAACUUCAGCAACCUUCACUCACAUCUAAUGCCGUAAGUGAACAAAAAGAAAUGGCAAUCACUGGUGACAUCAAUGACCAUGAAUGCUGCCGUGAGAUAGCAAAAUCUCCUCUCCAUUCUCUUGAAGAUGGGGAAGAAAGCUUUGCUCGAGACAAACUGAUUCUCACCUCGCCGGCCGACAAAAAUGGCAACCAUCCACCACCGGUUCCUCCUCCCACUUCUAGAAAUGACCCUCCAUUUCUUAGGAGAUCCCAAAGGCAAACUAGAUCAAAAUACAAGAGUAAAACGCUAGCCCAACAGCCCCCAACUUCCGCAAGCACACCGCCAUCGUCAUCCCUCCAACAGCCAUCUCCAACGGCCAUCCUCACCCCUCCAACAGCCAUCUCCAAGCUUUCAUCUCAAGCCAACCAGCCUCCAGCCUCCAGCCCGCAACCAACACAAGCCACAACCAUUCGGGAGAGCAUCCUGCUGUCACACCAGAUUUGGUGAAUGGAUUUUCACCUCAAAACAACCAGCCACCAGCCUCCAGCCCGCAGCCAACACAAGCCACACACCAUUCGGGAGAUCACCCUACUGUCACAGCCGCUAUACACCAUCAAAACCAGCCCGUACUCCAUGGCCAAUUGCCUCAAGAUUCAGUUCAAGCUACAACCACCAGCCAUCCACAAUCACCAUCUACACAAACAACUCCCACACGACAAAAAGCCAUAUGCAAAUCACAAGCAAGCACUCGGAACAGUGCUCACGGCCAGCUGCAGCUGUCAACCAAAAGCCAGCUGCAUACAACCAUCAUUGAACCCAGCCAAAGUCAGCAAACAUCCAACCAACUCCAGCUCAAAAGUCUGCACACGGGUGGUAAUUUCCAUGCCCAUGCAACACUUUCGGCAACUCAAGAAUUGUGUUCCCCAUGUGUGUCUCCCACUAGCACUUCCCAUGGCCCACUAGUUUUUCCCACUAGUCAAACCCAAGCCCAACCCAUUUCGGAAAUAAAUCCCAACACCCAGCCCAAUCGAAUGCCCUCCACAUUUUUAUUAAAUAACCUCCAAAAGGAUCCGUUAAUCCAAAAUACAACUCAGCCCACGCCCGCACCCUCCUACGCCUCGGUUUUGAAAUCCGUCCCCAAUCUAAAUCAAAAUAAACCCACUAAAAAAUCUUUGGUAGAUAUUAUGAACGGCCCAUCCAACUCGACGAUUCCGAUCAAGACCGUUACUUCAUUCGAGGGAGAGCCUAACGUGCAAUUUUCUACUGCGGAAAUUCAAGCGAUGGCCAUUCCUUUCAAGCUGACAUUAGUAGGUAAAUUUUCCUACAAUAGACCUAGUAUGGAAUUAAUUCGUAAAUUUUUUAAUACAUUGAGAUUGAAGGGAACUUUCAAGGUGUCCCUUUUAGAUAAUCGACAUGUGUUAAUUCAAUUGGAUGUUGAGGAGGACUAUUCCUGCCUAUGGGUUAGGCAAACAUGGUACAUCAAUGGGAGUGCCAUGAGAAUUUUUAAAUGGACCACCGAUUUUCGAUGUUCCGAGGAGUCCCCUAUAGUCCCAGUUUGGAUUUCAUUUCCUUACUUGCCUGUCCAUUUCAUGCACUGUAAGGAAGCAUUAAUUUCUAUUGCAUUAGCUAUUGGUAAACCAUUGCGAAUUGACCAAGCUACUGCUUCUUUAGCUCGCCCUUCUGUAGCUAGGGUGUUAAAGGAGUAUGAUGUCACUCAACCUCUGUUGCAACGGAUACGAAUCGGUGUGAGAGAUUCUGGGUUUUGGCAAAGUGUAAAUUUUGAGAAAAUCCCAAUGUAUUGUGCUUCCUGCAAGCACCUUGGCCAUUCCAUUGAGAUGUGUUACGUGGCCAAUCCUGGACUCCGUCCCCAACGACCCAAUAGGAAUUGGCAGACCAAAAUAGAUAAUAAGAAGUCAGAAGUUCUGUCGUCAGAUACCCCUCAACCCUUGGACACUCCACGACCUGAGUCGUCCAUCACUAAGUAGAUUGCAGAUGCGGGGUCUCCGAUCGGUCCUACGGAGAGCCGAGCUAACAAUACAGACUCUACUUUCAUUCAGGAGCCGAUUGGCCAAGAUGUCACGACUCAUGAUUCUAGGAUCCGAGAACCAGGUGAGUAUAAUACACAUCUUCAUCGAUCAUCCAACACAGAUUUUAGGCUUUACAAUUCUCAUACUAAUAAUGAUGAUAGUUCUGACGAUCACUUGGCGAAUAAUGACCAUUUCGUGUUUGCUCCCGAGAAUUCUGAGAAAAUUGACUCUGGCCCUGAUUUUAGCAUUGUUAGUCAUUCAAAAAAAGGGAUUAAAUUACUUGCCGGCCGCAAGUAUCGUAAGAGAUAUUAUCACCGUCUGCAUUAGUCCUUUUCUUCUUAUGUUUGGCUCUGCCUAGAUCAUUUCGUUUACUGUUAUUUUUAUUUUUCUUGAUUGGAGGUUUUGGUUUAUGUCCCCCUCCAAAUGUAUUUUCUUUAUCUGUUCUUAAUGACAGGUAGCGGUCUCGCCAAACCCCCAUAGAAUAAAAAAAAAACUGUUAUAUAAAUUUUAAAAAAAAGAAGGUUUAUAUUAUUUAAUUAUCAAAAGGUUAGGCUUGGAGUUUUUUUUUUUUGGGACAAAAUGAAUUCUUAUUAAAUGGAAAAAAAAUAAAAAAUGACAAGCUAAGUGUCGUAAAAAAUCUUCCAUCAUUAUAAAACAACUACGGAAUGAACUGUAAAUUUAGCCAAAGCAACUUGAUUACAAUUAGCUUAGGAGAAAAUUUUGAUCUCUAGAGAGUAUAUUAAUCAUCAAAUAAACAAAAACACCGUUAAAAAUAUAAAUAAAUAAAAUAGAGAUAAAAUCUCUAAAUAGGUUAUACUUUGUCAUAUGUACAGCAGGAACCUUAUUAUGAAUCAUAAAUAAAAAAAUAUAUUAGUUAUAUUAUAAAAUUUAUUUAUUUAAAAUCAAUUCUUACAACGUUCUAAAAUGUCAAAUUAUUAAAUAAAAUUCUAUUCUACUAUUGUUAAUCUAUGAAAUUUUAAUUCAAUUAUAUUAUUUUCAUUUGAUAAUAAUAUAGUGUUUCUGAUCAUUACACAUCAAUAAUCUAUUUGGUUGUAUACAUACCUUCUCUUGCGUAAUGACUCAUGUUAAAUAUCGAAAGCAAUUUAUGCUAGCUAGCUCUUCAGUAACACCAAAAACAGCCAAAAGUACCAGUACUUUCAGUAACAUGAAAAAGAACUCAACAUUACCAACAAAAAUUUCAAAAUUUGGAGGAAUGUAAACAAGUGUCAUAACCAUUUCUAAAGAUCCCAUUUCACAACAUUCACUAUAAAGGCCAUAGUCCUAAUACCCAAUACAAAAAAACACAGAAUAUUUAUGCAAUGCGCAAAGAACUUAAAUAACCUUCAGGGUUUAAAGAGAAAUUAGAACCUGCAAAUGCACACAGAACUAGAACUGAACUGAGAUGAAGAGAUCAAGUGAUGGGUGGGUUUAAAUAAAUAAAUAAAAGAAUAUUCUGGCAUCUUUAUUUUGUAUAUAGCGUAUGCUGGAUUCGAAUUGUAAUGAUGAAAAGCUUGACCUGUGUUUGUUCUUCACUGAGCUUGAGUCGGAAAAAAUUGAUAUGUUCGAAACACUCUGCAAACGCACUUAUGUUUAACAUUUUGGAGGCAAUGCUAUGCUAUAUUGUACUUUCAUGUUGUCAUAUCACUCAAGUCCUGCAAAGUUUUUAACAUUUUAAUGUCUUAACAUUAAUUCACUUGCAAAAAUAUAUGAAGAUCUAAAGCCCCACAUGGAAAGUUGAUUUUUAAACUAAUUAAGUUUUACCCGUAAUUUCACAAAUAGUUAGUAUCAGAAUAUGAUUUCACAUGAACUAAUGGGAUUAGAUUGAUUAGCAUUAAUAUGCGGCUUUAUGACUGUUGCUGUCUUGUUCAGAACUGAACAACUUUGGGCAGUUUAGGAUUCUCUACUUGUGGUAAUUUUCAAAUUGUCAAUGUUCUAUAUCAUAAAACAAAAAAUUUGUUUUUAAGAAAAAAGAAAAAGAAAAGACCUCUGUUACAUGAAAAAAGAAUUUCCAUUCUAUAGAACGAAUAUUAUACUUUUAUAUUAGAAUAGAAGGACACUUUUACUUGGUGCUACUCCAUGUAGUUCUUAAAAUUCAUACUUUAAUUAAUGUCAGUACGUAAUAUAGGAUUUUUACAUGUAAUAUUUUUGUAAGUUUAGGAGUAAAACUUGGUCACAAUAGGACUGGACAAGUCUUUGUGUUAAUAUUUAAUUCUUUUUUAUUUUACUUUUAAAAGAUUUUCCAAUGCAUAUUAAUAUCUUCAAAAUAUUUUGAUUUCUAUUUUCUUUUCAGUUAGGAAGCAGAUAAUAUUUAUAUAUCUAAUUUCCCUGUUUUUUAUAAUUUUAUUUUUUUAUUCAUUUUUUAUAAUCCAAAUACUAUUACCUUAGAUAUUUUUCCCCGCCACAGAUAACGUAGCCAUGGCAAAAUACAAUCUUGAGAAAUAUGUAAGCGUCUAAUUGCUGCUGAGCUUCGGAAACCCAAAGCCUCAAAUUCGUAGCCUCAAAACAGUGGCAAUCGAUGCCUGCUUUUUCACUAAAUUUAGUUUAUGCGCAGAAGAUCUUUAGCUAAUUAAUGAUAAGGCUCGAGUCCGUAGUCGCCAGUUCUGCCCAGCAACAGCCAUUUUCGAUUCGUUUCAAUCAUCCUUUUCAAAGUUCCACGGUACCCAUUUUCAUUUCUUCAGGUGCGGUCACACAAUUCCUCUUAAAAAUAAUUUCUUCUAUAAAAUUCCUCUUCAAACUCCGCCCAUGAAAAAAACCCGCCAAGAAAAAUUUGUUCUUUAUCCAGGAUUAAUUUUUUUUUCUCAACAUGAUAAAGAUGAGAAUGCUAACUUAUGUUCUUGUAGCAGUUGGUUAGAUAAAUGGAACAAACCCAAUAAGUAUAACCGCCUGAAACCGCCUCAGGCACGCGUGAAUUAUAGAAAAAAUAAUGGUAAUGGUGUUCGUGGUGUUGAUGAUGGUGGUAGUAGUAGUACCAUGGGGAAGAUUGUGGAGAAACUGAAGAAAUUUGGCUACGUUGGUGAUGGUGAUGGUGAGGGCAAGGAAAAGAGAGAGUGAUUGAAAAAGGGUCUAGAGAGGAUAUAUUUUGUGUGGAAGAAGGAUUGUGGAGAAACUGCAGGAGGGUGGUUUUCAAAAGAAUCCCCGUUGGGGUUAGGAGAGGAGGUAGGGAGUGACGGAGAAGUGAAGUUUCCAUGGGAGAAGCGGAAGGGAAGAUUUAUGUUACAAAUUUUUUUUAAAAAUGUAUAUAUUGAUGCAUUCACUGCAUUACUUUUUAACUUAAUUUCAAUUGAUCGUAUAUUACGUUGCAUUACGAUCCAAAUUGCUUCUUCAGAAAAUUAGUGAGAAAUUAUGAAAGAAAAAAUAAUUUAAUUGCUUUCCAAUUCUAUUUUUUUUCCCCAAAAUCAAGGCAAAUUAUGUGAGGCUCAAAAUAUUAUUUGUUUUGCCGUGAAAUUUAGAAACAAAAAAAUACCUGGACAGAUACCGAACACCCCACGCCUCAUUCACAGUGCGCAGGAAGAAGUUUGACUGCUGGGAAUAAGAGAGGUAUGGAAUUGACCCUUCGCCGAUGUCCUUCAAGUUGGUCACUGCGAGAAAGAAAAUUUUUAGAAGGGAGUGCUAAAAUCUGAUUAUGAAUUGUUUAUAUGUCAUUUUUACCCUCUUUGAUUUUUCCUAAUCCCAAAAUAACCUUGCGUCAAUAUUUAAAUUUAAUUACCUUAUUAACUAUGAAAUAUUUUAUUUGAAUUUUAUUCAAUAUCAAAAAAAUAAAACUGAAAACCAGAGGUUACCGUCGCCGGCGGGGAGCCGCCAUUGUUGACAUUGCCAUUCAAGCUUGUGAAACAUUGUUAGCAUAAAAAAAUAAAAAAUCGGAAUCCAACGAUCUAUGCAACGGAGUGAAUAAUAUUUCCAUCCACAGCGGUUGGGUUUCACGGCGGAGAUGCUGCAACCUUCGUCAUGAAUUGCGCGUGUAGUAGGAUUGGCCAUUUUCUGACAAAAUCUUACGCUAGAUUUGAGCACAUCAUGGUCUUAGGGUUCGAUUGGUAUAAGCAGUGUUGAUAACGGACCAUUUCCGGCAGUAUCUGAAAUUUUAACCGCUGCGUGCGGUGAACUUGUUCACUAUUUUCCGACGGUCAUGAUAGUAAGGGUCUCAUCGGAGAAAUAGGAUUUCAAUGAUGAUGGCGGGGCGUUCCGAGGGCGACAUCCUUCCUCAUCGCCGGUGAUUGGCCGAUGAUCUGUUUUCAAUUUCUCCGGUGAUCUAUUUUCAAUUUCUUAGUAAAUAUUUUUUUAAUUUUAAAGUGAAAAUAAACACAAGUUAAUGCUAAUUAUUUUUUGAAACAUGAAUGGAAAGUUACCCAAAAAAAAAAAAAAGAUUGUACUUAAAUGUAACCUCCAGCCACCUAUAUUACAAAUAGGGAUGGCAAUUUCCGGGUCCGGGUCCGGGUCCGGGUUUAGCCGUUCCGGAUCCGGACCCGGACACUAAAUUCUCAUUACCGGACCCGCAUUAAACCCGGCUUUUUUUCAUCCGGGUCCGGUCCGGGUUCAACCCGGAAAAAUCCGGGUUUCCGGAUUCCGGGUUUUGAACCCGGAUUGCUUUCCUUAAGUUGCUGGAAAAAUGAAAAAAAAAAAAAAAAGGAACACAAUUACACAAACCAGAACCAAAUUGCUUCCAGAAUCCAGAUUGCUUUCUUUAGUUUAGUUCAACAAAAUUCCAAAUACAAAACAUAUAACUUCAAAUCCAGGUUCUAAAACAAAGACAACAGCCGCGAAAUCCACCCCCACAGGCCACAGAACACAGCCGCAAAAUCCACCCCCACAGGCCGCGAAAUCCACCACCACAGGCCACAUAACACAGCCGCGAAAUCCACCCCCACAGGCCAAAGAACACAGCCGCGAAAUCCACCCCCACAGGCCACAGAACACAGCCCCCAAAUCCACCCCCACAGGCCAGACACACAACCGUGAAAUCCACCCCCACAGGCCACAUAACACAGCCGCGAAAUCCACCCCCUUUUGCUGGCCGCGAUAGAGUGAGAGAUGAGACAAGUGAUGCUGAUGAAACAAACACAAGCGCACCGUGAAGGUGAUGACAGCCACGCCGCAAAGAAUUUGAUUUGAAGAAGAGAAAUUACGAGAGUUGAAGAGAGAGUGAGAGAGAUUGAGUGAGAAACGGGUGAGAGAGAUUGAGAGAGGAACAGUCGAACAGAUGAGAGAUUGAGAGGAGAAGUUGAAGAACGAGAUUGAGAUCGAGAGAGGAACGAGUGAGAGAGAUUGAGAUUUGAGAGAGGAGUGAACAAAUGAGAGAUUGAGAGGGCUAGGGUUUCUUUUUUUUUUUUCUAUUUAUAUUUAAUAAUUUAAAAAAAUUAAUAUUAAAAUAAAUAAUAUCCGGAUCCGGGUUCCGGAUUUGCGGGUUCACCUGAAACCGGAUUCGGACCCGGAAGUAUGCGGGUUCUGAAAAACCGAUCCGGAUUCCGCAUAAAAAUUGAUCCGGUGCGGGUUGAACCCGGAUCGGAUUUUCCGGGUUCAGUCCGGGUCCGAUCCGGGUCCGGGUUUGGUUGCCAUCCCUAAUUACAAAUAUAUAUAUAUAUAUAUACACACACACACAUUCACUGCAUUCUUUUUUUAACUUCAUUUCAAGUUACCAUGUAUUACGUUGAAUUACGAUUUAGAUAACCAAAAUGAGAAGGAUUAUUCAGCACACAGUUAAUCAACCACAAUUCCCUUAUAUUCCACUAUGGCAUCAAUCAUAAGCCUAUUAUAUUAGAUUAACAACAAUUGUACAAUAAUUAAAGAACGGUUUCACUAUGUUUGACAUAUUCUAAGAUCAUCUCCAAAAGACUCUAUAAAUUUAACUCUUUAAAUUAGGGGUGGCAAAAAAGCCCGGACUGGCCCAGACCCGACCAAACCCAGCCCAGGCCCGCAUGCAUAAAGUCCGACCCGCAAGAGUGGGCAUGGAUAUGGGCCCAAAAAUUACAAAGCCCACAUAUGUUGGGCCUGGACAAGGGCUUAGCAAAAAAACCCGGACUUGGCCCAGACUUUUUAAAUUUAUGAAUAAAAAAUAAAUUUAAUUUAAAUAAAAAAGAAAAAACUCAAAAUAUUAAAUUAAUUUAAUUUUUUAUAUUAGUAUUUGUUAUUUUAUUAGGUUUUAUUACUAAUAUUUUAUGUAUUGGACUAUUAUUCUAUUUAUAUAUUAGAUGUUUUAUUACUAAUAUUUUAUGUAUUGGACUAUUAUUCUAUUUAUAUAUUAGAUGAUUAUCUUUAAUUUAAAUAUUUUUUCUUAAUUUAAAAAAUAGUUUAUAAUUAAUUUAAAAAGCCCAAGCCCUGCCCGAGCCCGGCCCAGGCCCGUCUAGGCCCGGCCCGAGUUCGGCUCGUCCAAGUUUGGACGGGCUUUUGAAGGGCCUGGACUUCGUUUGAAUGAUGUGGGCUUGGGCUUUCAAAAGCCCGGCUCAAGCCCGCAAAUUGCCAUCCCUACUUUAAAUAUAUAUUUGCUUACCUAUGUGGUAAAUAAAAGGGUAAAAAAAUAUGAUAUUAUCUAAAAGACUCUUAAAAUAUAAAUGACUUAAUAUUAUUUUAAUCAAAUAAUUAUUUUUUUUAAAAAAAGUCAAUAGCAAUUAAAGCACUUCUCUCUUUUUCUCCAAUGAAAAAUAAUAAAGUAUAAAUUGAAGAGGGAGAAAUCAACUCUCUAAAUUUGAAGAGAGAAAAAUCAUUUCUUAUUUGAAGAAUCUUAAUUUGAGUGUCUUUUGGAGCCUUAAAUAUUGAGGUGACUCUUCAAAUAAUUAAUAAAUUCUUAUUUGAAGAGUUUUUUAGUGAUGCUCUAAGAGCAUCUCCAAAAGUCUCUAUAAAUUUUACUCUUCAAAUACCUAUUUGCUUACCUAUGUGGCAAAUAGAAGGGUAAAAAAAUAUGAUAUUCUCCAAAAGGCUCUUCAAAUAGAAAUAAAUUAAUAUUAUUUUAAUCAAAUAAUUAUUUUUUUAAAGGAAAAGUCAAUAGUAAUUAAAGCACUUAUCUCUCUUUCUUCAAUGAAAAGUAAUAAAAUACAAAUUGAAGAGGGAGAAAUUAACUCUCCAAAUUUGAAGAGAGAGAAUCAAUUCUUAUUUGAAGAAUUUUAAUUGGAGUGUCUUUUGGAGUUUUAAAUAUUAAUAUGUCUCUUCAAAUAAGUAAUAAAAUCUUAUUUGAAAAGCCUUUUGGUGAUACUCUAAGGUAGAGCAUUUUUUAUAAUCAUAAAAUUAAAAUUAUAAUAAAUUUUUAUUAUUUAUCACUUUACGUGUGUGAUUGAGACUCGUGUUCCACCGUAAACCUACUCCAACAUAAUCCUAACCUUAAACAACCCAAUCUUUUUUUUUUACUGCUUUAACAUUGGAAUUUGUAAUAUAGACAGCUAAAACUAAUGAGGUCAUUUCAUCCACAAUAAAUUUAUACACGUGGCGCACUCUCGACAAAUUUCUUAUCACAUCAUGGGCCGUUAUAUACGUAUGGUAUGUUUGGAAUUGCUAGGGAUGGCAAUGGGCACCGCCCGCAGCGGGUUUGUCAUUACCAAACCCAAACCCGCACAAAAUUUAAAUUACCAAACCCACCCGCAACCCGCAGCGGGUUUUAAUUUUUUUAAAAAAACCCACCCGCAGCGGGUUUUAACAAUUAUCAAACCCGCAAUGGUAUCCGGCGGAUUUUUUGCGGGUUUCCGUAUUUAAAAUCACUAAUGUUUAAUAUAUAAAUUUAUAAUAAUAACCUCAAAUUUCAUAUAACAUACUCAAUUUUAUAUUUAAACAAUAUAAAUGAAAAAUUAAAAUUUCCACACCAAUUCAACACAAAUUCUCAAAUUUAAGUAUAAAUUACACAAAUCCAUUUAAAAAACACAAACUAAUAUCUAAAAAUAAUAAUUAUAUUUCAUAUUAUCAUUUAAAACAAGCUUCAAGAGAAGAUAUUCAUUUCAUUCACCACCAUAAGCACCCAUCCAACACAAUGCCUAUAAUAAUAAUUAAGAUUAAUAUUUUCAAAUACUAAUUCGCUUUAGUUUUUUUAGGUUAUGAUUUUAGAAUAGGAGAUGGGCCACAUACACUGAUACACAACUUUGAGCCUUUGGCUAUUUGGUAAUUUAAUUAAUGACAUUAUUUUCUUUAUACAUUUUUAGAUUAAAAUUAAAUUAAAAAUAUUUGGAAAAAAUAUUGCGGGUUUGGUGGAUAUCCAUGCGGGUAUCCACCGGAUAUAAGGUAAAUACCAAACCCACCCGCAUCCAUGUGCGGGUUUUAAUUUAUAAUACUAAACCCGCCCACAACGGGUAAAAUUACCCGCAACGAGCGGGUUUUGGCGGGUGGGUUUGGACGGGUUUGCGGGUUUUGUGGGUACAAUUACCAUCCCUAGGAAUUGCUCUAUAUUUGUCAAUCUAACACUUCAAAUAUGUUUAAUAAAUUAGGGUUAUUUCCACCCAGCCCCCACUUUUUUCGACAUUUUUCGCCGUGCACCCAAAUGUUUCAACAAUGCUCACUUCACACCCAAUUCCGUUAAUUUGACCGUUAUGUUUAACGGAGCUAUUUGAAAUUUAAGUAAAUGUCUGAAAUACCCCUUAUCUUGAAUUAGAGAAGAAUAAAAUGAGAUAAAAUGUUAAUUUAAUAAUUAAUAUUUACAUUAAAAAAAUUAUUUAAAGGUAAUUAAUAAUAAUCCCAUCAAUUAAAUUAUCAAAUAAAUUUAAUUUAUCAUCAUUAAAUAAUAUUUAGGGCAUGAACUUUCAAAUUUGCCCUUUGACCGUUAGAUUAAACGGUCAAAAUAACGGAUUUGGGUGUGGAGUGAGCAUUGUUGAAACAUUUGGGAAUGCGGUGAAAAAUGUUGAAAUAUUUGGGGGCAGGACGGAAUUAACCCAAUAAAUUAAUUUUAAAAGCGAUUAUUACACAUUUAUAAAUAAUCAAUUUUUGCAUUGAUUCUUAAAAGUAGGAAAUUGUAACUUUACAAAAAUUAAUUAUUGGGUGGGGCUAUUUGAACCCACUAAUUUACUCAAUAAACCAAUUUUUAAAAAUAAUUUUUUAUCAUUAAAAUACCCCUAAAUUAAAUUACAGUUAUGGACACUAGAAAAUAAUUAUAAAAAAAAACAGAAUUUUUACUCUUUAAACCCAUCUUUAUUGUUUAAUUAAUAUUAUGAGUUUAAUGAGUAAAAUCAUUAUUAUUAUAAAAACUGGGUUUAGAAAGGGCAUAUUAGGUAUUUUAGUGGGUUUAUUGAGUAAAAGUUAAAAUUUUAAAAUUUAAAGAUGGGUUUAUUUAGUAAAUAGGUUUAUUGAGUAAAUUGGUGGGUUCAAAUAGCCCCACCCUUAAUUAUUUAAUAAUCUGAUUAUGAAUUGUUGAUAUGUCAUUUUUACCCUCCUUAAUUUUUCUUAAUCCCAAAAUAACCUUGUGUCAAUAUUUAAAUUUAAUUAGCUUAUUAUUUAAAUUUAGUUACCUUAUUAACUAUGAAAUAUUUAUUUGAAUUUUAUUAAAUAUAAAAUAAAAUAAAAUUUAAAACCAGAGGCCACCGCGCCCGGCGGGGAGCCACUAUUGCUGACAUUGGCAUUCAAGCUUGUGAAACAUUGUUAGCAAUAAAAUAAAAAAGAAACUCAGAAUCCAAGGAUCUAUGCACCGGAGUGAAUAUUUCUGUCCACAACAGUUCGGUUUCACCGCGGAGAUGCUGCAACCUUCGUCAUGAAUUGCGCGUGUAGUAGGAUUGGCCAUUUUCUGACAAAAUGUCAACCUUCGUACGCUAUAUUUGAGCACAUCAUGGUCUUAGGGUUCGAUUGGUAUAAGCAGUGUUGAUCACGGACCACUUCCGGCAAAUUUUGAGCGCUGCGUGCGGUGAACUUGUUCACUAUAUUCCGACGGUCAUGAUAGUAAGGAUCAUAUCGGAGAACUAGGAUUUCAAUGAUGAUGACAGUGCGUUCCAAGGGCGACAUCCUUCCUCUUCACCGGUGAUUUUCCGAUGAUCUGUUUUCAAUUUCUCCGGUGAUCUAUUUUCAAUUUCUUAGUAAAUACUUUUUUAAUUUUAAAGUGAAUAUAAACACAAGUUAAUGUUAAUUAUUUUUUGAAACAUAAAUGGAAAGUUACCCCCCCCCCCCCAAAAAAAGAUCGUAUUUAACGUGAUGAUUUAAAGAACAUAUAAAUAGAAAGUUGAAAAACAUAAAAAUAUUUCUUUAUUAAAUAAUUUGCUUCGAAAUAAAUUUUAAUUUUUUGAUUUAAAAUUUUAAUUGUUUGUAAUAUAACCAAAUAAUAUUAUUAGUCCACUUUCGUCAUUUCAAUUUACAUAUUUCCUUUCGUGAUUAAUUUACCAAAUAUGCAUGUCAAACUACAUUAUAAAUGAUUAUGGUAUAAUUUUAAUUUACAAUCAUGUAUUAAAUUAUUUAUAAAUCUAAUUAUUUCAAAAUCUAUCCUAAAAUAGAUUAUUUGAGAAGCUAAUGCAAUCCCAAACAUACCCAUAAUAUAGCUUUGUCUACUCUCGAGUCAUUUUGGUUCUUUGCGCGCCUAACAAAAAGUGAAAGAAAAUUGUCAAUUGUCAAAUGUGAUGGCGCAAGCAAAGCAUAUCGAUCGAUCAGCCGGCAAGCUGCGGUAUUUAAAGAUAUCCAGGUCCAGGAUUAACUAGUAAGCAUAAAAAAAUUGCUCAGAUAAUACUGAUCUGUACAGGGCUGCAGCUAAGGGUGAAAUUGAACCUUUCAUCGAAAUUGCAGAAGAUGAACUUGUAAGCGUAGUGACUCACCAUAGGAAUACGGUCCUUCAUGUCAACAUUGCAUCCCAGCGAGAAGGAGCGAGGGUAUCCAACGGAGUUCGUGCAACGGAUACUUGAAAUGUGUCCAGCAUUGCUACUAUAAGUUAAUGUCAAAGGUGAUUAACAUUUUGUAAUUUUUAAUUACAAAAUAUUAAAUAAAUAUAUUAAUCUAUCAUUCCAUUAUUAUAUCUUCAAAAAAAAAAUCUUUCAUUUUACUAUAUUUUCAUUAAUUAUCCUUUAUUGUUACUAGUUGUAGUAGGGCAACUCGCGAAGCUAGUCUUAAUAGAGAUCAGUUCAAUGUUAAUGUCAUAACUGACAUUAAAGCAGUGAAAAUGAGUUGCAUACAAAAACACGAUAAAACAUUAAGUGCUAGCCCCCUUCUUGUUGGUUAAAAUAUAACAAAAACCCCUAAAUAUUUCAAAAUCUAGCAAAACCUUCUGUCGUCAGUAUUAUUAAAGUUUAAAAUUCGGAGUUAUCAUUUAAAUUCGGCCCACACAUUAUUAUUUUUAACCCCGUCAAUGUUGUCACGUGUACACCAUCAAAUCAGGUGUCUAAAUUGGAUUAACGCGUUUGAUUUAUUCAAUCAUUAGGGGAAAACUAUGUUGCAACAGUGGUACGGUACCAUUGUUGCUUUUAUCCAUUGGAUCUAUAGUUGUACACUGUACAAUUGCAUUAGUAAGAUUCAAUGACUGAAAAAAACAGUGGUAUCAUACUACUGUUGCAACAUAGCUGGACCCCAAUAAUUAACGGUAAAGUAGCCACUCCUCCCUUUUCACUUCUAUGCUCAGUGGGUCCUUUGUAACCUAAUUCUCAUAAACAACGGAUUUGCUCUAAUCUUUACCCAAGGGAUGUGUCUGAGGUCCAUUAGAUCCACAUUUCUUUUGCAACAAAGCCGCUUACUGCAUUACCUUAGGCCCCUUAGCAAAUGGCUAUUUACUUAUUAGACCAUUUGUUAGUGGUUAAAACUCUUCUUCCUUUAUAGAUAGAAUGAAUGACUUUGAAUUUUAUUAGAAACCUCAUAUUUUUUUUUUUUUGGUAAAUAUAUUUUUGUAAGGGUUCCGAUAAUGACUUAAUGUAAUGAGAGUAAACUGUAAUAUAAAAUUAAAAAAAAAAAAGAAGGUUUAUAUUAUUUAAUUAUCAAAUGGCUAGGCUUUGGAGUUUUUUUUUUGGGGGGGACAAAAAAAUUCUUAUUAAAUAGAACAAAAUUUAAAAAAUGACAAGCUAAGUGUCGCAAAAAAUAUUCCAUCAUUACAAAACAACUACGGGAACGAACUAUAAAGUUAGCUAAAGCAACUUCAUCACAAUUAGCUUAGGAGAAAAUUUUGAUCUCUAGAGAGUAUAUUAAUUAUCAAAUAAACAGAAAAAAUGUUAAAAAAAUAAACAAAUAAAAUAGAGAUAAAAUCUCUAAAUAGGUUAUACUUUGUCAUAUGUACAGCAGGAACCUUAUUAUGAAUCAUAAAUAAAAAUAUAUAUUAGUUAUAUUAUAAAAUUUAUUUAUUUAAAAUCAAUGCUUACAACGUUCUAAAAUGUCAAAUUAUUAAAUAAAAUUCUAUUCUACUAUUGCUAAUCUAUGAAAUUUUAAUUCAAUUAUAUUAUUUUCGCUUAUUGUUUCUUUACUCAAAUUACAUCUUUUUUACUACUCUUUUUUUAAAUUAAACUACUUUUCCUAUUUUCUAUUUUUUAAAGUUUUUCAACACAGUUUUAUUUCAAAAUGGAUAAAAUAAGCACACAAAUAAUUAUAAUAAUAGUAGAUGAACAAAAGAAUAAAUUAAAAAGAAAUAAGAACAAUUAAAUAACACACUUAAAUUAAGAGAAAAAUAAAAAGAUAAAAUCUGAAAUUUGUGAUGAAAUCAUAAACUAACUUUAUCUUUAAUUGUUUGAGAAUUUAAGCAAUGAGUAGUAUUAGGGGUGUUCAGAAUCCAAUCCGAUCCAUUAAAUUCAUAUGGUCCGCAGAAAUCCGAUCUAUAAAAAUCCGAUCUCUGGAUUGGUGGAUUAGAUUAGAUUUGAAAAUUUGAAAAUCCACAGUCAUUAUAUUGGAUAUGGAUUUACUUCUGUGAAUUCGCAAAAAUCUGCGAAUCCGCAAAAAAAUAAAAAAUAUUUAUUUAAUAAAAAAUUAAACUUUUAAAUAUGGAAUUAUACUUACUAAUAAAUAAAUAAGUUAAAAUAUACAUUAACACCAUAUUAUGUCUUAUCCGAUAAUAAUAUAAAAUAAAAAAACAGAGCUUCCCAAGCAAUUAAUUUUUAUGUAUUGAUUUAAACAAAUGAGAUUUUUUUCUUUUUGGUGUGUUAUAUUUUAAAAUUUUGAAUGUAUUUUCUAACUUUAUUUAAAUAUUAUAUAAUUUUAAAUUUGAUUGGUAAUAAAAUUAUUUUUAUAUUAAUUUUUUUAUUUAAAGUUUGAAACAUUCAAUCAAAAUCUCUUCUCUCCCCUUUCCUUGUAGCGGGUUUAAACAUCAGUAUUAUCGCAAUGUGGGGUCAUUCAGUUAUUGGAUCAACUAAUGAGAUACAACCUAAAUAGAAAAUAGGCAACGCUCUUAGUUAUUACGUACAGAAGGUAACAAAAUUCUCCUCUGCCACUUCCUCCUGCCUUCGACAGUGGCUUCUCAACGAUCUUUUGUUAUAGGCGUUGGCACAAAUAAAGGACGUUGAUAAUUUAGGGAAAAAAUUAAAUAAAUAAAUAAAAAAGGACGGUUGAUUAAUGCCGUCAGUAAUAAAUUAGUGUUGGAUGCGUAGACUUGCGCGCUGACGCAAAAUACGGGAAAAGACAAGAGACUAAAGAAGAAAGAACAAGCGAACCUGUAAUUCUUGAUAUCUAUGAUGGAGGAGGUGUUGUGAUUUUUCUGGUACCGUGGCUGUUGUAAAAGAAAAAAUAUAUAAUUAUAAAAUAAAAAUUAAUAGUAUGUAAUAAAUAUAAUUUUUAAAUAAUAAUUUUAAAAAAAUUUAAAAUAUAUAAUAAAUUUUUAUUAUAUAAGUAUAAAAUUAAUUUAAUUUAAUUUUUAAAUUAUAAUAAUUAAUAUUUAUUAAAUAUUUUAAUAUUAUAAUUUUUAUAUUACAAUUAUUCAACCUCAAUUUCAAACAACACUUUAAUCGAAUUAGUUCGCAUUGAGAUUCUUCUCCAAUCAGAUAGGAACGUCAUAAAAAAUAAUUGUGAGAAUAUCAAUGGGGUUCAAUUGUUCAAACAAGUCCACGCACUUUUUCUAAUUUGUUUGUCUUUUUUAUACGUGACAAUUUCGUAUUUAGUUUGUCAACAUAUAUAUAUACACACUUAUCAUAGAGUUUAUAUUUAUAUUAAUGCAUGUGUUACUAUUCAUUAAUUAAAAUACGCUUAAAAAAUGAUAAACACCAAGGUUAAUAUCUUUGAAGUAUCAUAAUUUAUUAUUUUAUUACUAUAUUUUAAAAAAUUUCCAUUUUACUACAUUUCACUUAAUACUGUUGGUCCUUUACUGUUACUAAUUGUAAGGUGACAGCUAAUGAAGCCAAUCCUAACAGAAGUCGUUCAACGUCGAUGUCAUACUGACAUUGAAGGGGUAAAAAAUGAGUUCACAUAUAAAACCAAGAUAAAAUCCUAUGAGCUAUUAUCGUUAAUUAUUGAAUAAAUCAAACGUGUUAAUCCAAUUUGGUAGUGUACACAUGCGAGCAUAGAGGAGGUUGAAAAUAUUAAGAUGUGGGCCAAUUUUAAAUUAUAACUCUGAAUUCCAAACGUUGAUAAUAUUCACAAUAGGAAAAUUUUUUAAAAUAUAUUAGAGGUAAUACAAUCAAUUAAUACAUAUAUGACAUGUGUAUUUAGAUUUAAUAUAACCACACUUAAAUGAUGAUAUUUCGAAAUAAAUACACACAUGUCAUAAUAUGAUUUAUUUAUUAUAGAUUGAUAUAAUAUCUCUAAUCUAAUGUAUUUUAAAACUUCUCAACGACAGGAGAUUUUGCUGAAUUUUGAAAUAUUAAGAGGUUUUCGCUAUAUUUUAAUAAAUAAGAAGGAGGUUUUACUCAUUUCCUUUAAAUUAAUUUUGUAAACUAAGGUCCAUUAUAUCCAUAUUACUUUUGCAACAAGCCCGCUUACCACAUCGCCCUUAGCUAGUUAGCUGAUAGCUAUUUACUGUUAAGAGCAUUUGCCUGAUGGUUAAUAAUCUUUUUCCUUCAUAGAUAGAAUGACUUUGAAUUUUACUAGAAACCUCAUAUAUUUUAUUAAUAUAUUUAUGUAAGUGUGAAGUGCACUUGUAUCGGGUGCUCCGAUAGUAAUUUAAAUGAGAGUAAACUCUAAUUUAAAUUAUGGAAAAAAACAUUUGUAUUAUUUAAUUAUCAAAUGUUUAGGCUUAGGAGAAGGUGUUCUUUUUUCUUUUUAAAUACAAUAAUUAUCAAUAAAUAAGUAAAUAACAUCUCAAAAAUAACAAGUUAAGUGUUGUGAAAAAUCUUCCAUCCUUAAAAAAAAAAAAAGGAGAAUGAAUUGGAAAUUUAGCUUAAAACAUAUACAGAUUUAUUAUAAUUAGUUUAGGAGAAAAUCUUACAAGUAGAUCCUACUUUAGAAUUCAUAAAUUCUAAUAUUUAAAAAAUAAAUGUUAUGCUAAACGAUAUCAUGUUGGUCCUACCUUCAGCUGAAGUGAUAGGGCGGCCGAUAGAAUUUUCUCCCGUAAGUAAUGACAUAAUAUCUUAGAUUAGAAAUCUUUAAAGACAAAAUUAGAAAGUGGUGUAAUUAUAAUGUUUGGCACGAAUGUGGCAAAGUAUAAUGGGAUAAGUCCAUUGAAGCCAGGUGAUCUCGUGAACAACGUGUGAUCUAUUAUUAUGUAUUGUCGUGGAAAAUGAGAAGUGUCUAGUUGUAAAGCGAAGUCUCCGACAGUGAAAGUCUGAAGUAAAGACCAUUGUUGAUUGACGAUAUCGGUAAUAAAAUAAUCCUGGAUGGCUAGACUUGGGCGUUGACAACGAUUACAACGAAAAGAGAGAAAAGAUUGAAAACGAAGGUAAAAUAUCUUUAAAUAAGUUUAAUCUCCAUCUCAAUGAUAACAAGUUUAAGUGAUGUUAAAAAUCUCCCUUUAUUACAAAACAAUUACGAAGAUGAAGUACAAACUUAGAUAAAUAAAGUAUCUAUAAUAUUAUUAUAAAUGGCUUAAGAGAAGAUCUUAUACCUUAAAGAACAUUAUAAUUAUUAAAUAAAACAAAUAAACAACCCAAUAAAAUAAAAAAUAAAAUAGAGACGGAGAAUCUUUGAAUACAUGAUUAAUUAAGUAAGCGCUGUGUGUGGUAGUCCACCACAACUACAUUGAUAUGAUGAGAUCGGCAAAACAACGGCAUAAAAUGAGUUGUCAAUCCUUUCAUUGACCAAGAUGGCGGCAGGCUGGUCCAUAGAAUUGUUUCUGAAUUGUCUAUUAGAUUAGAAUUCUUUGACAGUGAUAUAAUUACAUUACUCAAUAAUGGAAUCAAAAGUAACGGAGUUUUUUCAUUGUCAAAUGGAGAUAAACAAAGAAUCUCUGUAUAUGUUAUUUAAACGAUUAUUAGAGACAUACAACGCAUCAUGUGAUCCGUAAUUAUUGAACAUCAUCAUUUCCUAUUUAAAUGAUAAAUUUUAAGUGCUACCAUACAAAAUUUAUAUUUCAACUUUAUAAAAAUAUCACUACUUAAUUUGGUUUUAUGCAGAGCUAACAAAAUGAAUAAUCGGGUCAUAUUCAUAUCGUGUUAAAUUUAGGUCGACUCAAAUACGUCUCAUUUAAAAUUGUGUUAAAAUAUUAAAAUUCAAAUUCAACAUGAAAAAUAAACGGAUUAUCUAAUAAAAUAUUAAAACUCAAAUUCAAUACGAAAAAUAAACGGAUUAUCUAAUAGCACAUUUAAUAUUUAUAUAUUUAAUAAAAUUUAUAUUAAAUAUUUGCUUUCAUAUAUAUAGACACACACACCAAAAAAUAUUAUACAUUUUCAAUAUUGAAGUUUUAAUUGUAUAUAUGUAAAUAAUAUUAUAUAUUAAUAUUAUAAAAUAUGCAAAUCUACCGACAUUUUUCACAUUUACACUAUUAAAAUUUUAUAAACGAAACGUUGUGUAUAUAUCCAUCCUUUCAAAAAAAGAAUAAAAAAGGAGAAUUAUGUUCAAUAUUUCAAUUUUAAUGGCAAAAACUUAGAAAUUAAUUUAAAAUAAAAAAUUUAAUUGUAUUAUUAGUUGAAUAAAUGCGUUAAAAACUUUAAUCUUAAUCCGACAAAGAAAAAAGCAUGUUGACUUAGACCUGAUUCAUUGAUAAUCGUAUCAAAUUUAAUAAUUUAUAUACAUUUAUUCAUGUCGAAUAAUCGAGUCCCAUAUAAAAUUUUGCCAAUCUUACUUUAAUAUAAUCUUACAUGCAUGUAAGAUACAUUAUUCUCACAUAAACAGUAUGUGGGCCCUACACAUACACUGUUCAUGUGAAAGAAAUGUAUUUUACAUGCAUGUAAGAUAGGGAUUGCCUUUUAAAAAUACUCUAGGUCAAACUUAUCAGUUAGCUGAGUAAUACACCGUACAAUAAUGAACUAACAAAUAAAAUACUUUAAGGAUAGACUCAAAAGAGAGAGUUAUAGGGGGAUCGGACAUCAAAACAAAUUUGUGAACCUAUUGUGCCAGUUUGGAUCUUUUUAUUUAGCUGGAAAAGAAAAAGGGAAAUAAUAAUGGAACAAAAGUAUGAUAAAAUCAUGACAAAAAUCUUUUUUAUGAAUUUUUAAAAUUUUCUUUCGUAAUUUAACAUUUUUCUUUUUAAAAAAUUCUCAAAAUUAAUUAAAUUAUAAAAGUUUUUAUCAUUAUUUCGUCAUACUUGUAUUCAUCUAGAAUUGCUGAAGGUAAAAAAUGAUUGACGCUAUCGAUAAUAAUAUGAAAUAAUAUUGAAUGCCUAUAAUUGGCCGUUGACGACUUGGCGCCGAAGACGAAAAAAGAAGAAAAUAAUUGGUAAGGAUACAACAAGCGAAAAGUCACAGAAAAAUAAUAAUUACAGUUUUAUACGAGACAUUAUUGACUAGCGGGGUUCAAAUAAACCUUUCCCCACCCAUUUUUUAAAUAAAAUUUUAUAAUAGGUAAUAAGUAUAAUUUUUAAAUAAUAAUUUUUAAAAAUAUAAUUAAUUUUUAAUAAUUAAUUUAAUUUUUAUACUACAAUAAUUAAUUUUUUAAAAUUAUUUUAAUAUUAUAAUUUUUAAGUUACAACUUACAACAGUUUAACCUUAAUUCUAAAUAUAAUCGUACUCGAAUUAGUUGGCAUCUAUACUCUUCACCAACCAUAGAGAAAAGUUUAACCUUUUUAUUGCUUUUACAUUUGCUUGUCUUUAUGGACGGGACCAUUUCGUAUUUUCGCGUUUAGUUUGUCAUCACUUUUUUUAUAUGUAUACUUAUCAUACAGUUUAUAUCCAUAUUAAUACGCGUGUCACUAUACAUUAAUUAAAAUAUGCUUUAAAAAAUAAUAAACAAUAAGGUUAUUGUCGUUUGACUAAUUCAUAAAUUAUUUAAUAAGUAUGUUAAUUUAUUAAUUUAUUAUUAUAUUAAAAAGAAAUUUCCAUUUUACUAUAUUUCGUUUGAUACUGUUGGUCCUUUAUUGUUACUAAUUGAAGGGGUAAAAAUGAGAUCACAUAUAAGACCAAUACCAAAUCCUAUAAGCUACUCUAUCGUUAAUUAUUGAAUAAAUCAAAUGUGUUAAUCCAAUUUAGAGGUGUACACGUGACAGCAUAGAGGAGGUUGAAAAUAUUGAGAUGUGGACCCAUUUUAAAUUAUAACUCUGAAUUCCAAAUGUUAAUAAUAUUCACGAGGGAGAAAAAUUUUAAAAUACAUAAAAGAUAAUAUAAUUAAUUAAUAACGUAUGAUUUAUGUGUUUAGAUUUGAUAUAACCUUACUUGAAUGAUGAUUUUUUUAAAAUAAAUAUAUAUAUAUUAUAAUAUAAUUGACUUAUUAUAUGACUGAUAUGGUACCUUUGAUGUACUUUAAAAUUUGUCAGUGAUAGAAGGUUUUGUUGAAUUUUGAAAUAUUAGGCAGUUUUCGCUGUAUUUACCAAAUAAAAAAGUGGUUUUAUUCAUUUCCCUUAGAUUAAUUUUGUAACUAAGGUCCAUUAGAUUCACAUUUCUUUUCCAACAAGCCGCUUACCACAUUGCCCUUAUCUAAUAGCUAUUUACUAGUUAGACCAUUUGCCUGAUGGUUAAUAAUCUUCUUUCUUCAUGGAUAGAAUUACUUUGAACUUUAUUAGAAACCUCAUAUAUUUUGUUAAUAAAUUUCUGUAAGUGUCAAGUACAACUGUAUUGGGUGCUCCGAUAGUAAUUUAAAUGAGAGUGACUGUAAUAUAGAUUAAACAAAAAAGAACGUUUGUAUUAUUUAAUUAUCAAAUGGUUAGGCUUAUGAGAAGGUCUUUUUUUUUUUUAAUAAAAGAAUUCUCAAUAAAUAAAUAAAUAACAUCUAAAAAAUAACAAGUUAAGAGUUGCGAACAAUCUUCCAUCCUUAUAAAACAGCUACGAGAAUAAAUUGUAAAUUCACCCUUUAGCUAAACACACAUGCAGCUUUAUUAUAAUUAGCUUAGGAGACAAUCUUAUAAGUAGAUAGUAUUUUAGAAUUCAUAAAUUUUAAUAUUAAAAAAUAAAGGAGAUUGUUAUGUUAUAUAAUUAUGUAACAUACGUAAUUAUGUAGCAGCCGUUGAAUGAAAAUUUAACAGUUAUAAAAAUAUAAAAUAAUAUUAUUUUCAUGGAUAAAAAUUCAACUACUGCUAUAACCAUAUAUGUUACAUAAUUACGUAACAUAACAAAUCCCAAAAAGAAAUGCUAUAGCAAUCAUAAUAAUUUAAGCGGUCGAUCUUACCUUCUGCUGAGGUGACAGGGCAGCCGACAGAAUGUUACCACAAGUAGCCACCCUCUUAGAUUAGAAAUCUUUGAAGAUAAAAUUAGAAAGUGACGUAACGUGGCAAAGUAUAGUGGGAUAAGUCCAUUGAAGUCAAGUUGUCUUGUGAAAAAUGUAUGAUCUAUUAUUGUGUAUUGUAAUAUACAUGAUUAUGUAGCAAUUGUUAGAUGAAAAUCUAAUGAUUAUAAAAAUAUAAAAUAACAAAAUUAUAUUAUUUUUAUAACUAUUAGAUAAAAACCAACUACUAUUAUAUAAUAAUAAAAAAUCAAUUAUUACUAUAUAAUCAUAUAUGUUAUAUAAUUACGCAAUAUAACAAAAGUAAAAAAUAAAUGCUAUAGCAAACUUAAUAAUUUAAGCCGUCGGUCCUACCUUCUGCUGAGGUGACAGGGCAGCGGAUAGAAUUUUUUGCCACACGUAACCACCCUCUUAGAUUAGAAAUCUUGGAGAAGUCUAUGUUACAGGUUCUGUAACAUACAUCCCCCACUCCAUGCACUCCGCGUGCCCCUCAUGUGGAAACAAAGCAAGCAAAUGGCACCCUUGGGGAGCUGGCUAACCUGGCCUGUAAGGUACAGAAUCUGUACCGUAGCCAGCUCCAGAAAUCUUUGAAGAUAAAAUUAGAAAGUGACGUAACGUGGCAAAGUAUAGUGGGAUAAGUCCAUUGAAGUCAAGUUAUCUCGUGAAAAACGUAUGAUCUAUUAUUGUGUAUUGUAAUAUACAUGAUUAUAUAGCUGUUGGAUUAAAAUUUAACAGUUGUAGAAAAAUAUAAAAUAAUAAAAUCAUAUUAUUUCUAUAAUUCUUAAAUAAAAAUUCAACUAUUACUACAUAAUUAUAUAUGUUACAUUAUUACGGAACAUAACAAAAGCCAAAAAUAAAUGGUAUAGCAAACAUAAUAAUUUAAAAAAUGCUAAGUAUCAAGAAAAACAAGAGAAAAACGAGAGAAUGAAGCAUGUGGUGGGAGGAGAGAGAGAAAAAAAAAAGCUGAUAGCAGAGAAAGAAGAGACAAUUCCCUCGUUCUUCUCUCGUUGUUCUUGAUAUUUAGCAGCACUCUAAUAAUUUAAGCCGUCGGUCCUAUCUUCCGUUGAGGGGACAGGGCAGCCAACAGAAUUUUUUCCCACAAGUAGCCACCCUCUUAGAUUAGAAAUCUUUGAAGAUAAAAUUAGAAAGUGAUGUAACGUGGCAAAGUAUAGUGGGAUAAGUCCAUUGAAGUCAAGUUAUCUCGUGAAAAACGUAUGAUCUAUUAUUGUGGUGGAAAAAGAGAACUAUGUAGUUGGAAAGCGAAGUCCGAUGGUGAAAGUCUGAAGAAAAGGGCCAUUGUUGAUUGACGUUAUCGGUAAUGAGAAUAUCUCGGAUGGCUAGACUUGGGCAUUGACGCCGAAUACAACAAAGAGAGAGGAAAGAUUGAAAACGAAAGUGAAAGCAAACCUGUGUGUUUUGAUAUCUUUAACUUACUUUUAAUUUCCAUCUCAAUGAUAACAAGUUGAGUGAUGUCAAAAAUCUUCCAUUGUAACAAAACAACUACGAAAAUGAAAUACAAAUUUUCGAUAAAGCAUCUAUAAUGUUAUAGAUAACUGGCUUAAAAGAAAUCUUAAACCUUAAAGAGUGUAAUAAUUAUCAAAUAAAAUAAAGAGACACCCAAAAAAUUAAAAAAACAAAAUAGAGAAUGCAUGAUUAAUUAAAUAUGAGAAAGUCAUGUGUAUGGUAGUCCACCACAAAUAUAUUGAUAUGAUGAGAUCGACAGAAUAACGUUAACUGCACAGCAUAAGUCAUCGAUCCUACCAACGGCUGAGGUGGUAGGUUGUUCCAUUGAAUUGUUUUUCGGAAUGGAUUAUCUGUUGGAUUAAAAUUCUUUAAAGAUAGAAUAAUAAGUGAUAUAAUUAGAUUAUUCGGUAAUAGAAUCAAAAGUUAACAACAAAGAAUCUCCGUGUAUAUUAUUUAAUCAAUAAUUAUAGGCGUACAUUGCACCAUGUAAUACGUAGUUAUUGAUCGUCAUCAUUUCCUAUUUAAAUGAUAAAUUUUAAUUGGUACCAAAUGGUCUGGGCCAAGCUUAUCAUUUAGUUGAGUGGUCUACCGUAAAACUCAUUUUAAAGACCCUCUUUAAAGAUGGACUCAAAAAGAGGGAGCUUGCAUAGCCAAUAGGAGUCUUCCACAGGUGUUGGCGAUGAUGCAACCGAGGCAAGGGAACUGUUGAUGCAAGGUUAAAAUGCCGAGGUUGUUAGUUGCAGCUUCUGCAACUUAGCCGCGUCUUAUGUGGUAGAAAAUGUGCCAUGCACACGGAUAAAAUUGUGAGGUCUAUGGAUUGUCGUAGAGUAGUCUAUAUAAAUGCAAAGGACGAGAGUAGUAUUGUUGUUGUAAAGCGAAGCCCUGGCAAUGAAAGAAAAUGUAUUGAAAAAGCUCCACCUGCUAUGUAAAAUCUCAGUUAGCUACUUUUUCGUCACUGCCCUCCGGUUUUAGCUAAAUUGGGUGAAAAUCUGAAGAUAGUUUCCAAUUAACCAAUCUGAAAAUAAUUUGUUUUGCACUUCGUUUUUCCCUUUACAUACCUUAUUCAUCCCACCGUAACGAUUUGAACUAGAGCGUAUUUUUGACUCUGCAUAAACAAUUAAUUUCGUAAAAAACAAUUUGAAGAGAAGUCAUGAAAGCCAAAUUCGAUUAAAAAAUUAUGAAGAGCUUUUUGGAUACUUAACCAACCAUCAUAACUUAUACGGGGCUAUCCUAUUUCAAUUGUUACGAAUGUUGUUGUAUCUUAAUUAAGAGUAAUGAUACAGCCACAAACUCUUGUACAAAUUUAUUUUGUACAAACUGAUGUGGCAUGAUAUGAUUGGUUGAAUUAAAUAUCACUUGGCCCACAUGAUUUGUUUUUAUUAUUUUAUAUUUUCAUUCAAUCAAUCUUAUCAUGCCACAUCAGUUUGUACAAAAUAAAUUUGUACAAGAGUUUGUGGCUGUAUCAUUAUUGCUUAAUUAAAGGUUCGGACAUGUAUGAAAUAAUUAUAAAUAAAGCCGCAAUAAUAUGUUAUUUUUCAGUAAAAGCGGGAUAAAAUUUUAUAAAUUUACAUGACAUUGAUUUAAUUUUUUUUUAAUAGGAGUUAUUCAUUAACGGUAAAACUGAUAUUUUAAAAUUCAACUAUGGUUCAGCUACCGUAACGAGAAAAAUAUAACAAAUUAUAAUUUAAAAAAGUUCAGUAAUAAAAGUUAUUUUUUAAUCAUUGAUAUAAUAAUUUAUUAUUUUGUAAUGCUUGACGUACUAAAAGAGAAUAAUAGCUUUUGUUAAUCAAAUUAAAAAUCACUCUGAUGUUUUCAUAUAUGCAAAUGUCUAUUGAACCCCACAGACCCGUGGAAAACGAAGUCCCAGCCUCCCAGGUCAUAUUUGGUGAAAAAUAAGCUAAACCAAAAUUAAUUAACUGAAUGAAUAUUAAUUAAUUAACAUUGUUCUCCUCUCUAGUAAUCUCACUGAAUGGUUCCGCAGUGCUCGAGCAGUUUAAUAAAAGGUUUACAAAGAAAUAAAUUGAUUGAGUAUUAUAAAUAAAACCGAGGCAAACAGUCUCUAGACUUAUUAUUUAAUCGUUAAUUGAAUGGUCAAGAUACAUACUAUUUAAUUGCUUUAAAAAACAGCCACUUUGAUGCUUUUCCUGCUAAACAAGAUGUAUAAAUCUUUACUAGAUUAUGGCACAAUGAAAUAAGUAAUUGCACAUCAUUAAAAUUUUUAUCAUUCAAUGGGAGAAUGAUAUAUACUUCACUUACGAUAAAAAUAUUGUGUGUUGUAACUUAAGAAGAACUGAUUUAAGAACGAGAAAGAUCAAGAGGGGAUGAUUGAUCACUUUCCUUUUUUGGGGAACAAUGAAAUUGUCAGAACUCAUAGCAUGCUCCCCUGUUAAUUUACAGGGAUCAUAGUUCAAUUGGUUAACCGAAUGAAAAUGGUAGUGGCCUUUGUGCAUGGAUAUGCAAUAAUCAAUUAUGGCCAACUUUAGUUUGUUAUCUCCGAGUAUUAUGCAAUACCAAUAACAAGAGCAUAGCUAAAAACAAAGCCAAGGGUGCUAAACAAAGUCCUUUGCAAGUCAUAUUUAGUUAAAAAAAAAAAAUGACGGUGCACACAAAAUUAAUUAACUGAAUGAAUAAACGUUAAUGUCCUCUUUAGUAACCUCAAUAACAGGCUGGAUCGAAUGAAUAAAUGAGAGAUUCAUAAAUAGAGGUAAAGAUUCUCAAUACAUAUUGUUCAAUGGUUGGAGAGUAACUCAAAGUAUUGCUUUACUCACUUUAAAUAAUUCUCAAAAAAUUAUCUUCCAACUAUGAUGAGAAUGUUAAAAGUGCACUUAACACCACAAGUUUUUGAUAAUAUUUCAGAACCAUUUCAAAUUUUUAUUUCAUAUCAAUUAGUUAUUUUUCCCUUAAUUAUGUAACCAAUGUUAAAAAAUAUAAAAUAAAAUAUUAUUUUAUCCUUGAUUUAUUUAAAGAAAUAAAAUAAAAUAUUAUUUUAUCUUAAAUUAUUUAAUAGUGGCUAACAGAGUUAACAAAAAUGUGUCUAGUUGAUAUAAAACUAAAAAUUAAGGGGGUUUUAAGAAAAAUAAAUGAAGCUGUAUUUAAUUGACUAAUUUUGCAAAAUCUUUAAUUAUUUAAGAUUUUAAAAAUUAAUAUGAACUUUUAUAAUAAUUUUCUUAAAGAGGGUUGGGUAUUAUAAAAUUUAUAGGGUGGAAAUAUGAAGCCGCAAACUGCAGUAUUUAAACGAUUCAGGAUUAACAAUAUGGCAUGCAUGCUACUCAAAACUCAAAUAUCAUCGCAUUCACAAAUUGACAUGGAUCGUAAAUUGUUUGAGGCUGCAGCUAAGGGUGACAUUGAACCCUUCAGGGAAAUAACAAGAGAUGAACUAGAAAGCAUAGUAACUGAUCUCAUGAACAAUACAGUCCUGUACGGGAACAUAACGGCAUCACAUCUGACCCUGCAGUCUGAAGAAGGAGAAAUUGUUAGUGUGUCAACCAAGUUCGUGGAACAGAUACUUGAUUUGAGUCCAUCGGUACUAUUUCAAGCUGAUGCCAAAGGUGAUUCUCCACUCCAUCUUGCGGCCAAAAAGGGGGAUGCUGCUAUUGUGAAAUUUCUGAUUAAAUUCGCGAAGAAACAGCCUAGAGACCUACAAAGGGGUGUCAAAAGCGCAGAGAGGCAGAUGCUAGAGAUGACAAAUGAGGAGCAGAACACACCGUUGCACGAGGCAGUGCGACUUCGUAGCGUCGAUGUUGCGAAAAUUUUAAUCGUAGCAGACCCUCAUGUUCCGUAUUCUGCUAAUCGCAACAAUGAAACUCCACUUUAUAUGGCUGCGGCGAAUGGAUCUGUCGAGAUAGUAGCUAAAAUUUUACAAAAAUGCCCAUCACCUGCUCAUGAAGGUCCCAAUGGGAAGACUGCCUUGCAUGCUGCAGUCUACACAUAUCCCACAGGUACGCUUAAACGACUAUAUAUAUAUUAUACACACACAUGCACAUACACAGUUAUACUCAAAGUGUGGAUAUCCGCUCGAAAUUUGGGGGACAUAAAAAUAAAAUGAGAUAGAAUUCGAUGUUCAGUUGGAUUUGUGAUGAUCAGCGAAUCAACGGUGAAAUUUGUUUAAUAUGUGUCCAAGUCGGGUUCCAAGAAAUUGUCAGCUAAAUUUGUCUGUCCGUAUGAUGAUCUGUAUUUGUUGAGUUGUCAUCCACCAAAAAAAAAAAAAAAAUCAUUAUUUUCACCGUCAAGAAAAUUAAAGCUUUUGCUUUAUAUAUUUAAUUUGUUUAGUUCGUUAUUUAUUAUCUUCUUUCAGAAGUGAUAAAGCAAUUACUUUUACAUGAGGAAAAGAGGAGUUUGACAGCAGUACAAGACAAAUACGGUUGGACUCCACUUCAUCAUGCUGCAUAUAGUGGUCGCGAAUUGACCUCAAAACUUUUAUUAGACCAUGAUAAAUCAGCUGCAUUCAUCGGUGACAAAGAUCGAAAUAUGACAGCUCUCCAUUUAGCAGCCGCCAGAGGGCAUAUAAUGGUAGUAGAUAUAAUUCUUUCCUCUUGUGACGGUUGUUGUGCAAAGGUCGAUGAAAGAGGGUGGAAUUUUCUUCACUUUGCCAUGGUCAGUUUAGAUCUCCUCCAAUCGAGCGGUCUCGUAAUAAAACAUCCGACUGUCAGAAACAGCCGUUUGUUAAUUGCUGAGGACGUAAAUGGAAACACUCCUCUCCACGUGGUUGCUGCUGUCUGUCGACUUUCACACCGUGUGGCUGGCCUUCCGGUCUUUCUCAAAGUUAUAGGCGGUAAUAAUGCCGAAAACAAUGAUGGUAUUAGUGUUCAAGAUGUAAUCCGUCGUGGAUUUCCUGAGCUCGAGGUAAAUUCCUUUUUACUGUUUACUCAUUGCCACCUUUUUUAUUUAUUGCUACUUGCUCCUCACAGCUACUAAUUGUUUAUACGGGCGCAGCUAUGCCAAGUAAUGUUAAUCAAUUCAUACUUUCUUUUUAUUUUUCUUAAAUGGGAACAACUUUUUCAUCGCAUUGCACUGCAUUAUCGAACAUUUGUGAGUAAAAAUUAACAAUGUUGUUAAGAGUUUAACCCAAAAAAAAAGUUUAAAAAGAGCAUGUUUUAUAUGGUCCUAUAUCACUAAUUACUAGAGUCACACGCAUAAGCACGUCAUAACAUUAAUAUAGAGGAAAAUGCUAUUUGUACCUGAUAUUUGUACAUUUUCUACCUAUCAAAUAGAAUGAAGACACUUUUACAUACAAACAAAAAUUAAUAAAUUGAAUGAGCUUGCUUGCUUUGCUUUGCAGUGAAAAGUGUCAUAUGCAAUAUUGUGCGUCAUUAAUGUCUAGCACAAAUAUUUUAUACAUAUAUUUCUUGUGUUUUGUGCUUCACUGCAUAUGACAUAGCGGAUGAUACAUUUUUUUUUUUUGGUGGGUCACUUAACUGACUUUAUAUUUACAAAGUCUAAAUUAGUUUAAUGUGACGAAUAGAUUUCAUCGGUCUUGAAUGUGCUACACACGAUAGAAUAUAUUCAUAAAUUAUUAUGUGUGCUAAAUGAUUACUUACAUUAUCAUCUUAAUUGUUGUAUAAUGAAUGGGGUGAGGUAUUCGUGUGUAUGCCACGUUAUUUGUAUCAAAUGUUAGUGAAGCAUACCACACUCCCUCUCCCUCUCUCAAUAUAUAUACAUACUGUAUUGUAGAUAACUAAAUAUCAUAAAAUAAAGGUAUCUUUUGUCCUGGCAUUCAAAUUGGUCCCUUUUUUUUUAACUUGUUUCAUAAAUUUUCUUUGAUCAAUAUAUAAUUUACCAAAUAUGAUCAACAUGUCACAGCAAGAAAUCCAAGAGUUGUCCAAAAAUGUUGGCCGUGGACAAUAUCCAAAUGGUAUUCUCCGGGUGCAAAAAGAAAAAGAUUCAGUCGAUGAAGAAGCAUUAAAAGAAAUGCAAUCGCUAAAUACGCUAGUGGCUACACUUAUUGCAACAGUUACCUUCGCUGCAGGGUUCACAUUACCCGGUGGUUACUGGGGUAAAGAAGGCCCAAUUCCCGGCACUCCAAUCCUCAUAAAAAAUGCGGGUUUCCAAGCAUUUGUUGUAUCUGAUGUCAUAGCCAUGGUCCUCUCCGUUUCAGCUAUCUUUAUUUAUUUCCUUACUCCAAUUAAGACCCUUCGGCAAACCCCGUUUCUUUCAGAAGGGCCCCAUUAUCUCAUCCUGGUUUCCUUGUUAGCAAUGGUGGUUGCAUUUACUACAGGCACAUACGCAGUGUUGGCACCUUCCGUUGGGCUUUCCGUUGCUACUUGUGUCCUUGGCUCGAGCUUCAGUCUCUUUGCCUUUGUCACAAUGUUCAUGCUUGUUCAUGGACAUUACCAAAGAAUUAUGGGCCAUAACUAAAAGUAUUUGUAUAUAUACCCCUUCUUCAUGAUAUAAUUAGAAAAAAUAAAUCUCUAUGUUAGAGAAAUUAGCAUGAUUCUGUGUAUGUAUAUACAUUACUUCAACUGGGAUAGUGGGAUUGUACUCUGAUUGUGUUGAGCUAUUAUCGUCAAAAGAGGAUUACAUACAAAUACAAGGUCAACGGGAAAUUGAAAGUAGCAUAUUAGCAUUCCAACAUUUCUAACUAACAUUUUUACAAAUUCCACCUACAACAGGGUCAUGUAGAGAUGCUUUUCAAGUGCUGAAGAAAACAUAAAGGUUAGUGCACAGCAGCUUCACGAAGUAAAUCACCCUUUAAAUUGACCAAAGCAUGAAAUUCCCUUUCAACCUCUACCCACAAUAUCUUUCUCAAUCUUCAAGUUCUUGUCACUCAGGAAGACCGGAUUCUCAGCUUGCACAUAACGGUAAUUAGGCAUUUUCGUUCAAGUAAGACAUAUCGAUUGACGCACAGUUGAAAAGAACCCCAUUCUUCAGCAUCUUGUGUGCAAUCCCCUUCAAGAUCUAUCCCCUGAAAAAUCUUGCCGAUGAAAACAACAGGAAAGAGCAUCUCCCCUGUGUUCUCUCUAACGUUUCCCUCCCCUAUGCUCUCCAGAGUUGGGACAGCAAGAUAGCAUCCGAGAUCUUUGGUGGACUUUCUGCCAGCAAAGUCAUCCAACAAACGUAUGACAAUAGACCUCUGAAGCAUCAAUCCCUAGUGACCAGAUUUUCAUCAGGGUCUACAACAUUCGAGGGCAACUUCACUUUGACAAACAUUGGGUUCCACAUGUAAUCAUAAAGCAAAUACCAAUGAGUGAGAUAAAUAAUAAUCUAUUCCAAGUUUCGAUUCCUAAAGUUUUCACAGACUGUGUCUUUCCAUGUCUGAUGAAAUCAUCAAUAUAUGAUGACAGUUGACAGGAUUUGGUAAAUUUGCUCAGAAGAAAACCACAAAAUAUAUAAUUAAAAUGAGAAAUUUGUUUUCUCUAAGCAACAGAGCACAUUGGGAAACAAGUUGGCGGUGGCGGUGAGCAGCGGGCAGCGAAAACCAAUAUGGGAAACAAGUUGGCGGUGGCGGUGAGCAGCGGGCAGCGAAAACCAAUAGUAUAACAUUUAUGGUGUGUUUACUUCAUGGAUUGGAGAAUGAGAAUGAAGGAAUGGGAGGAUUGGGGAAUAGGAAUGAAGGAAUGAAGUAAUGUGAAUGAAACUAAUGUUUACUUAGUAAAAUGUAAUUUGAGAAUGAGAAUAAAAUGUGUGGGUCCCACAAAAUUUGAAAAUAAGUAAUGGAAAUCACAUUCCCAAGGGGGGUUGGGAAUGAAAAUGAAGGAAUAAGAAUAAAAUAUAUGUUUACUUUUGUAUCUCUCUAAUUUUUUCAUAUUUCCCAAAUUACCCUUAUUCAAAUCACAAUUAAUUUUAUUAUUUUAAAUGUCAUUAAUAAUAAUAAUUAUUAUUCUUAUUAUUAAAUUUUAUUAACUUUAUUAUUUUAGUUAUUAUUAAUUAUUUUUAUCAUUAUUAACAAUAAAAAUAAUUAAUUUAUCAUUAAUAACAAUAUUAUCAUUAUUGUUGUUAUUAUUAUUAUUAUUAUUAAAAUAAUAAUAAAAAUAAUUAAUAAUAACUAAAAUAAUAAAGUUAAUAAAAUUUAAUAAUAAUAAUAAUAAUAAUAAUAAUAAUAAUAAUAAUAAUGUAAUUUUCAUUAUCUAUAUACAUGUAUAAAUAUUAUUAUAAAAAUGAUAUUUAUUAAAUUAAUAAUAAUAAUAAAUGUUAAUAAUGAUAAUAUUAAUAAAAAUAAUAUUAACAGUAAUUAAUAAUAACUAAAAUAAUAAAGUUAAUAAAAUAUCAUAAUAAUAUUAUUAUUAUUAAUAAAUGUUAAUAAUGAUAAUAUUAAUAAAAAUAAUAUUAAUAAUAAUUAAUGAUGACUAAAAUAAUAAAGUUAAUAAAAUUUAAUAAUAAUAAUAAUAAAUGUUAAUAACGAUAAUAUUAAUAAUAAUAACAAUAAUUAAUAAUAACUAAAAUAAUAAAGUUAAUAAAAUUUAAUAAUAUUAUUAUAUUAAUUAUUGUUAAUAUUAUUUUUAAUAAUAAUAAUAGAAAUAAUAACAAAAAUAAUGAUAAUAUUGUUAAUAAUGAGAAAUUAAUUAUUUUUAUUAAUUAUUAAUACUAUGAGUAUUUUGGUAAAUUAAUUCUCAUUUUCAUUCCUCAUUCUCAUUUAUUUUGCCAAGUAAACAUAUUAAUAGCAUUCCAGCACAUUCUCAUUCUCAUUUAUUUUGCCAAGUAAACAUAUUAAUAGCAUUCCAGCACAUUCUCAUUCUCAUUUAUUUUUGCCAAGUAAACAUUGAAAUCUGAUUCACAUUCAAGCCCAUUCACAUUUCACCACAUUCUCAUUCCAUGAAAUAAACGUACCAUUAGAUAGUGAAACUCAAAUGCGCAAUCAUAAUUCAGAGUGCUGCCAUAUUAAGUGACAAUUUGUAGAAUGCAGUCCACAGGGCAAGGUUGCACUUAUUUGAAUUGCUACUAAAUAGCUUGAAAACUAUGAAGAAAACAAACUAAUUGAUGCAAAUAUGCACAUCAAAAACAGAACAUAUAAAUCUAUUAAACUGGAAUGUUCUGUGGACGAAAGUUCUAAAGCAAGAAAACAACCUUCUCCGGGUGAGCCUCUAUUUUUGCAUGAAACGAUCUUAGAUCUAAAUAUGCGUCAAGUGGGAACUGUAAAAAUUUCCAGGCUGGGAUACCAAAUACUACCCUUCACACCACCAUGCUAAAUUGUUUAAAGCAUAAAUUUUUCCAAAACUACGAAAAGCAAUGAACUUUAACAUAAUUUUUAUUAACAUAGCUCCAUUCUCAAGAGUGCAAAAAAAUCAGAGUCAAGAAUCUGAAAUUUUGUACCUCAUAAUCCCACUGUCAAAAAUCAAAAGCAACUCAAGGUCUAAACAAGGAUAAUCGUGAUCCGUAUCUAGCAUUUCACUAAACAAGGAACAUCGUGAUCCGUAUCUUGCAUUUCACUAAACAAGGAUCAUCGUGAUCCGUAUCUUGCAUUUCACUAAUACACUAUAACCUGUACAUCCGUUUUGCCACGUGAAAACCCAAUUUCUAUAACUAGCACAUUGUCCUCUGAAAGCCAUACAUUUAGGAGUGUUCAAAAUUCAAUCCAAUCUGCUUAAUCCGUCUGAUCCAUAAAAAUUUGAUCCGUAAAAAUUCGAUAUGUGGAUUGGUGGAUUAGAUUAAAUUAAAAAUUUAAAAAUCCACAGUUGGUGGAUUGAAUAUGAAUUUAUUUCUGUAAAUCCACACAAAAUCGUGAAUCUGCAAAAAAAUAAAAAAAAAUAUUUAUUUAAUUAAAAAAUAAAACUUGUAAAUGCGGUGUUACUACUUAAUAAUAAAUAAAUAAGUUAAAAUGUAGUUGCAUUAACAUUAUAUAUAUCUUAGCCGAUAAAAAUAUAUAAUAAACAUAAUUAAAUAAUUGAAUAAUUAAAUAAACAAUAUAACUUUCUAAACAGUUAAUUCUAGUUAAUUUUCAUAUAUUGAUUUAAACUAAUGAGAUUUUUUUUCUUUUCAUUGUGUUAUAUUUUGAGACUUUGAAUGUAUUAUUCUAACUUCAUUUUAAUACUAAAUUUAUUUAAAUCUUAUUCAAUUUUGAAUCUGAUCGGUAGUAAAAUUAUUUUUAUAUAAGAUUUUUUAUUUAAUUAGUUCGUACAAUAAACAUAAUUAAAAAAUUUUAAUCUGCAAAAUAGUGGAUUAGAUAUGAAUUGGGUUAAAUCUGCAUCCGAUCCACAAACGUAUAGAUUGAAUUUGGAUUGAAUUCGGAUUGAAUUCGCCAAUCAAUGGAUUUGAUUGAAUUAAAAAUUUACAAUCCGUAAAAUUAUGGAUCAGAUAUGAAUUAAUGUCCAAUACACAAAAUCUAAUCCGUGAACACCCCUACAUACAUUUUUAGCAUCUUAAAGCCAUACAUUUUUAGUCUUUUUUCCCCCCAGAUGUCCCUUUAUGUUCAAACUAAUUCAAAGCAAGCCAUAUCAAAAAAUAAAAAUAAAAGAGAGAUGUAUAAAAGACUCGACGUAUUACCAAGAAAUGAAAUACAUUGUUAAUGCUAAACGUGCAAAACAAACAGUCAAUAACAACCAUUUCAUUCGAUCAUCAAAGUGAAAAUUUCAGGGGGGGGAAAAAAAACCAAAGCAUUUGGGUAUCAAAUAGGAAAGAAAUUUUUUUAAAAUAAAAUGAAAUGAUAAUAACAGCUUAAUGAUUAAAACCUUAUCCAACAGUAAGAGUGAUGAAGCACUUUCUGACUCACUGAGUCUGUGACUCGUUCUCUCGCGAUUCUUCAACUGUCCUGCUCUGUGGGAGUUGAGCUCUUUCAGCCGUGGUCAAAAUGGCUAAACUGAGGUCAAUAGUUGCCAGCCACGUCAAAAAUAAGGUGGUGAAUUUCCAGUGAUUUUUAAAAACCCACGCCACUCCCAAAAACUAAUUGCAAUAUACCCACAUUAUUUUUUGAAAAAUAUAAAUAAAGAAGAAAUUUUAGGGAUUUAAUGAAAUAAAAUUAAGUAAUUAAUUAUUAAAUAUAAGAGCGCAUUUUUUUGGAGUUAUUUUGUCAUUUUAUAUUAUUAGGAUAAAAUAGAUAAAUAAAACUUACCUUAAAGUAAUAUUAAUAAUCAAAGAUACAUAAGUGUAAAAUUUAAAAAAAAAGAGUUUUAAGAAUGACUUAAUUGACUAAUUGUCAAAUUUUUUGUUGAUUUGUAAAUUUUAAAUUGACUAAUUGUCAAAUUUUUUGUUGAUUUGUAAAUUUUAAAAAUAGCAUAAACUUGUUGCAAUUAUUUUUUAAAACUGAGGUAGAUUUAUGAAACUAGUGGAGUGAAAAUAUUCCCGGGUAAAAAUAAAAAUUUUGUGAGAGAUAAUAACAUAUGGGUCCCCUUUUUCAUAUUUCCUCAAAUAAGGAUAUAGUUUGUUUAUUAGUACAAAAAGGUCACUAACCCUGUAACCCAUACGAAACGACUAAAAUGCUUUACAUUGUGCUGGUCGAAACUCUGAAAUGUAAGGGCAAUAUAAUCAAUUUUAUCAAGUGUUAGGAGCUUAUUUUAUACAAAUUAGCAAAUAAUAUGAAAAGUAAAGGUAUUCAGUGAGUCUAAUGUUAUUCUGUUUCCGUAAACUUUUCAUUCUCCAAUUCUACUUGUUGGAUUCUUGAACUUGGGCAAGCUUAUGCUAUAUCAAAACCGAUUAAACAUAUUAAUAUAGACUCAAUUACAAGUCUCAAAUCAUUUCUUUUUCUAAUUUUUUUUAUUACCAAAUUUGUGCAAAAAAAAGGCUUAUAUAAAAUAAUGAUAGAUUUUCACUACAUUUUGAUACAAAUUGUUCUUUAACAAAAUGAGUGAGAAAAUAUUUAAGAAACAAUAAUAAAAUGUGCAAUUUCUAGAAUAGGGAAUUGCAGAUUGAAAUGAUGAGACAAUGAAAUAGCUUGUGUAAAUUAAUAUGCAACAAAACAGAAGAAAGUAUCCGUCAUUUCCAAUUCUAGUAUGCUGAGAAACAAGCCUUCGAGGCUUCUUCUAUGUAAGUAGCAGCUACAUAUCCAUAAGAUUUUUCUUUUUUAAGUAAUUUACAUAAACCUCUUCUUGCUUAUACUGCAAGUAAAUGUAGGUCUAUUCACUAUUCCUUCAUAGUAUGAUAAAAAAUUCUAUCGGCUGCCCCGUCACCUCAGCGAAAGGUAGGACCACCGACCACCGGCUUAAAUUAGAAAUCUUUAAAGAUAUAAUUAGAAAAUGGUGUAAUUACAAUGUUUGGUAGAGUAUAAUGGGAUAAAUCCAUUGAAGUGAAGUCAUCUCGUGGAAAACGGGUGAUCUAUUAUGUAUUAUGAGUAGUAUCUAGUUGUAAAGUGAAGUCCCAUAGUGAAAGUCUGAACUCUGAAGAAAAGAACCAUUGUUGGUUGCCGUUAUCGGCAAUGAAGUAAUCUUGGAUGGCUAGAGCUAGACUUGGGCGUUGAUGCCAAUUCCAACAAAAAGAGAGAAAAGAUUGAAAACGAAAGUAAAAGCAAAGUGUGUUGAUAUCUUUCAUUACUUUUAAUUUCCAUCUCAAUCAUAACAAGUUGAGUGAUGUCAAAAAUCUUCCAUUAUUACAAAAUAACUACGAAAAUGAAAUACAAACUUUUAGAUAGAAGUAUCUAUAAUAUUAUGAUAACCGGCUUAAAAAGAGAUCUUAAAUCUUAAAGAGCAUAAUAAUUAUCAAAUAAAAUAAAGAAACACCCCAAAAAAUAAAAAAAUAAUAAUAAUAGAGACAGCGCAUCUUUGAAUGUAUAAUUAAUUAAAUAUAGAAAGACUUGUGUGGUAGUCCACCACAAAUAUAUUGUUAUGAUUAGAGCUGACAAAAUUUGACACGAUCCGAUUAUUCAACACGAACACGACACGAAUAAAUAGGUAUAAGUCAUCAAAUUUGACAUGAUUAUUAAAUAGGCCGAGUCUGGGUUGACAUAAGUUUUUCAUGUCCGGUUAAGGUUAAAGUUUUUGACUCAUUUAUCCGACUAAUGACACAAUUAGAUUUUCUUUUUUAAAUUAGUUUUUAGAUUCUUGUCAUUAAAACUUAAAUAAUAGACAUGAUUCUCUCUUUUUAUUUUUUUGGAAGGGUAGAUGUAUAUACAAUGUUUUAUUUAUAAAACUUUAAAAAGAUUUAAAACUUUAAUAGUGUAAAUGUGUGAAAUAUUGGUACACAUGUAUACCAAUAUGAUGUUGAUAUAUAGUAUUAUUUACAUAUAUAUAUAUAUAUAUAUAUAUAUAUAUAUAUAUAUAAUUUUUAAUAAUGUAAAUGUGUAAUAUUUUGAGGAUUGUGUGUAUAUGUGGGUAUGUGUGUAUAUAACAUUUGUUAAAUAUAUAAAUAUUAAACGAAUAAUUGGAUAGUCUAUUUAUUUUCUGUGUCAGGUUUGGGUCUUAAUAUUUUGACACGAUUAUUAAAUGGGUCGGGUUUGAAUCAACAUAAAUUUGACACGACUCAAGGACCCUUUUUGCCAGCUCUAGUUAUGUGAGAUCGGUAGAACAAUGGUAUAGCAUGAGUCAUCGAUCCUACCACCGGCUGAGGUCGGCUGAGGGGGUAGGCUGGUGUAUAGAAAUGUUUCUCAAAAUGAAGUGUUAGAUUAGAAAUUUUUGAAGAUAAAAUCAAAAGUGAUAUAAUUACAUUAUUCGGUAAUAGAAUCAAAAGUCAACUUAAUUAUUUAAUUAUCAAAUGGGGACAAAAAGAGAAUCUCUGUACAUAUUGUUUAAUCAAUAAUUAUAGGCAUACAAUGUACAUGUGAUACGUAGUUAUUGAACAUUUUCCUAUUUACAUGAUAAAUUUUAAUUGGCACCUAUGUAAUUGUCAAAAUGGUCUAGGCCAAACUUAUCAUUUAGCUGAGUAAUAUACCGUACAAUAAUGAACCGUCAAAUAUAAGUAAUUCUUUAAAGAUAGAUUCAAAAGGGGGUACUUACAUUAUGUGGUAGAAAUUGUGGCCAGGUGCAAAGUGCAUACGGAUGAAAUUGUGAGGUCUAUGGACUGUCACAGAGUAGUCUAUAUAAAUGCAAGGACGAGUAGUAUUGUUGCUGCAAAGCGAAGCCCUGGCAGUGAAAGAAAAAGUAUUCAAAAAGCUCCAACUGUUAUGUAAAAUCUCAGUUAGCUACUUAUUCGUUGCUGCCCCCCAGUUAUCGCUAAAUUUUGUAAAAUACGAUUUAAAGAGAUGAAGUCAUGAAAGUCAAAUUUGAUUCAAAAAUUGUGAAGAGCUUUCUUGGAUACUUGACCCUCGAUUGUAACUUCUGUGGGGCUGUCCCAUUUGAAUGGUUAGAAAUGCUGUUGUAAUUUAAUUAAAGGUUCACGAAAGAAUAAAGAAUAAUUCCUUUAUAAAAAAUAGUAAUGAAUCUUCAGACAUAUUAUUUAAUUGUUAGAUGGUCAAGGUAUAAUUUAUAAUUGGAUAAUUAUCUUUUCAGUAUGCCACGUAUUGCGAAAUAACAAAUCAUUACACGAAUUAUUAAAAGUAACACUUUACUAUAUUAACUUCUUUAAAAUAACAGUUUAUUAUGUUUCCAUUAAUUUAUAAUUAAUUAUACAACAGAUCAAUUGUAGGGAUAAUAUUGUCAUUUAAUUAAAAUUAUAAAUUUAAGCAACAAUGAUAUGUCGUUUUGCACUAAAAGUGGGGCAAAAUUUAUAAAUUCACAUAGCAUUGAUUUAAUAUUUGCUUUUAUUAUAAGAGUUACUCAUUAAGGGUAAAACUAAUAUUUUAUAAGUCAACUAUGGUUCAGCUACGGAAACGAGAGAAGUAUAAUAAACUGUAAUUUAAAAAAAUUCAAGUAAUAAAAGUUAUUUUUUUAAUAAUUCAUAUAAUAAUUUAUUAUUUCGUAAUGCUUGACGUAUUAAAAGAAAAUAAUAACUUUGUAAAUUAAAUUAAGAAUCACUCUGAUGUUUUCUUGUAUAUAAGUGUCUUUUGGACCCACUGACCCCACAGAGCAUGUUUAGGCACAAAGCUACGCGUGGAAAACAAAGUCCCAGCCUCCCAUGUCAUAUUUGGUGAAAAAUAAGCUAAACCAAAAUUAAUUAAGUGAAUGAAUAUUAAUUAACGUUAUUCUCCUCUCUAGUAAUCUCCCUGAAUGGUUCCGUAGUGCUCGAGCAGUUUAAUAAAAGGUUCACAAAGAAAUAAAUUGAUUAAGUGUUAUAAAUAAAACCGAGGCAAAGAGUCUCCAUCAAUAUUAUUUAAUUGUUAAUUGAAUGGUCAAGGUACAUAUUAUUUAUUUAUUUAUUUAUUUUAAAAAGGGUCACUUUGAUGCUUUUCCUGCCAAACAAAAUGUAUAAAUCUUUAUUGGAUGACGGCACAAUGAAAUACGUAAUUGCACAUCAUUAAAAUUUUUAUCAUUCAAUACGAGAAUGAUACUUAUGAUAAAAAUCUUGUAUGUUAUAACUCAAGAAGAACUGAUUUAAGAGCGAGAAAGAUUAAGAGGGGAUGAUUGAUCACUUUUCUUUUUUGGGGAACAAUGAAAUUGUCUGAACUCAUAGCAUGCUCCCCUGUUAAUUUACUGGGAUCGUAGUUCAAUUGGUGGACCGAAUGAAAAUGGUAGUGGUCUUUGUUCAUGGAUAUGCAAUAAUCAAUUAUGGCUAACUUUAGCUUAUUGUCUCCGAGUACUAUGCAAUACCAAUAACAAGAGCAUAGCUAGAAACAAAGCCAAGGGUGGGGGGAACAAAGUCCUAUGCAAGUCAUAUUUAGUUAAAAAAAAAAUUGAUGGUGCACACAAAAUUAAUUAACUGAAUGAAUAAACGUUAAUUUCCUCUUUAGUAAUUUCAAUAACAGCUUUGUGAUGCUGGAUCGAAUAGUUAAAUGAAAGAUUCACAAACAAAGGUAAAAAUUCUUAAUACAUAUUAUUCAAUGGUUGCAUAGUAACUCAAGGUAUCACUUUAAUCACUUUAAAUAUAAAGAUUCUCAAUACAUAUUAUUCAAUGGUUGGAUAGUGAGUUAAGGUAUAUUUUUAAUCACUUUAAAUAAUUUUGGAGAAAUUAUCUUCCAACUAUGAUGAGAAUGUUAAAACUGCAUUUAGCCACCCAAGUUUUUGAUAAUAUUUCAUAACUACCUCAAAAAAAUUUUUUAUAUCAACUAACUACUUUUCCCUUAAUUACAUAACCAUUGUUAAAGAAUCUAAAAUAAAAUAUUAUUUUGUCCUUGGAUUUAUUUAAAGAAGUAAAAUACAAUAUAUUUUUUUAUCAUAAAUUAUUUAACAAUGGCUAAUGGAGUUAAUGAAAAAGUAUUUGGUUGAUAUAAAAUAAAAAUUUAAGGGGGUUCUGAGAUAUUAUUAGAAAUUUGUAGUGGCUAAUUAUACUUUUGAUACUCGAUUGGGGAUAAUUUCACCUCACUAUAUUUGUAACCCACCCCAUGUCCCCAAGAUAAUUAUAAUAAGUUGACAAUAUUUUACAAAAUUUAAAUCAACGAUAAGUUUGAACAAUUAAUUAAUUAAAUAAUUCUUUUAAUAUCUUUUUUUCUUUUCUUUUUUGACUUAGAUCGUUUAACAAUUUUGAUCAUUUGAGGUAGUCUUAAGGUUAGUUUAUUGUGACUAUUUUGUUCUUAUAAUAUAAAAUGACCAAAUUGCCCCAAGAAACAUGCAUUAUUGUAACUAAUAAUUUAGACAUUUAGUUUUAAUGCUUUAUAAUCUAAUAUAUUUUAAAUAAGUUAAAUUUAAUAAUUUUCAAUAUCCCAUGUCAUAAAUACAUUUUAUUAGGUUAGUUGAAUAUUAAUAAAGUAGUAUUGAUACAUCGUAUGAAAAUAAUAAAUUUUGUAUAUAAAAUUUAUUGAAGUCAAAAUAAAUUUUUAGAUAUUUUGGUAUUUAUAUCUUAUGAGGUUAAAAUAGACAUAUUAAAUUUAUGUUAAAAGUAAUUUUAAUAGCCGACUAUAAUAAAAAAAAAAUAUAGUCACGGAAUAAUAAAUGAAGCUGGAUUUAAUUGACUAACUUUGUAAAAUCUUUCAUGAUUUAAAAUUUUAAAAGAUAAUAUGAACUUUUUAUAAUAAUUUUCUUAAAAGGGGGUGGGUUUAUAAAAUUUUAUAGGGUGGAAAUAUCAGGCGCCAAACUGCAGUAUUUAACGAUCCAGGGUUAAUAAUUUGGUAUGCAUGGUACUCAAAACUCAAAAAUCAUCCCAUUCACAAAUUGAUAUGAAUCCUAAAUUGUAUAAGGCUGCAGCUAAGGGUGACAUUGAACCCUUCAAGGAAAUAGCAAAAGAUGAACUAGGAGGCAUAGUAACUGAUGACACCUUCUCAAAAAAAAAAAAAAAAAAAAACUGAUGACACGAACAAUACAGUCCUGCAUGUGAACAUAAUGGCAUCCCCUCCGACCCUGCAGAUUGAAGAAGGCGAGAUUAGUGGUAUAUCAACCAAGUUCGUGGAACAGAUACUUGAUUUGUGUCCAUCGUUACUAUGUAAAGCUAAUGCCAAAGGUGAUUCUCCACUUCAUCUUGCGGCCAAAAAGGGGCAUGCUGCUAUUGUGGAAUUUCUGAUUGCAUUCGCGAAGAAACAGCCUAUAGACCUAGAAAGCGGUGUCGAAAGCACAGCGAGGCACAUGCUAGAGCUGACAAAUGAGGAGCAGAACACACCGCUGCACGAGGCAGUGCGACUUCGUAUGGUCGAUGCUGUGAAAAUUUUAAUCAAAGCAGACCCUCAUGUUCCAUAUUCUACUAAUCGCAACGGCGAAACUCCACUUUAUAUGGCUGCGGCGAAUGGAUCUGUCGAGAUAGUAGCUGAAAUUUUACAAAACUGCCCAUCACCUGCUCAUGAAGGUCCCGAUGGGAAGACUGCCUUGCAUGCUGCAGUCUACACAUAUCCCACAGGUACACUUAAACGACUAUAUACACAUACACAUAUACAUACACAGUUAUACUCAAGAAAUAAAAUGUGAUAGAAUUCGAUGUUCAGUUGGAUUUGUGAUGAUCACCGAACCAACGGUGAGAUUUGUUUAAUAUGGGUCCAAUUUGGUUUCCAAUAGUAAAAACUCAAUUGAGCGCGGAGUCAUAGUCCAAAAAAUUGUCAGCUAAAUUUGUCUGGCCAUAUGAUGAUCUAUAUUCGUUGAGUUGUCAUCAAACAAAAAAAGAAUCAUUGUUUUCACCGUCAACAAAAUUAAAGCUUUUUCUUUAUAAAUUUAAUUUGUUUAGUUCGUUAUUUAGUAUAUUCUUUCAGGAGUGGUGAAGCAAUUACUUGAGAAAAAGACGAGUUUGACCGGAGUACAAGACGAAUACGGUUGGACCCCACUCCAUCACGCUGCAUAUAGUGGUCGCGAAUUUACCUCAAAACUGCUACUAGAAUAUGAUAAAUCAGCUGCAUACAUCGGUGACAGAGAUCGGAAGAUGACAGCUCUUCUUUUGGCAGCCAGUAGGGGGCAUAUAAGGGUAGUAGAUGAAAUUAUUUCCGCUUGUCCAGAUUGUUGUGAACAGGUCGAUGAAAGAGGCUGGAAUCUUCUUCACUUUGCUAUGGUCAGUUUAAAGGACAUCCAAUUGACCCAUCUCCAAAAAAAAUGGCCCGACCAGAUGCAGAUGCUUAUGAACGAGAAGGAUGUAAACGGGAACACACCUCUCCAUUUGCUUGCUGCUGUCUGUCGACUUUUAUCCGAUGAGAUUGUCCCUCCCAAAAAAGGGCCAGGCAAUUAUAAGGCCUGCAACAAUGAUGGUAGUACUGCUGAACAUGUAAAACUUCAUGGAUAUCCUGAGCUCGAGGUAAAUACGUUUUUCACUUUUACUCGUUGCGAGCUAUUGCAGUAAUAUUAGUCAAUAGUCAUAACUUUUCCUUUUUCUUUUUUUCUUUUUUUCUUUUUUUCUUUUUUUUUUUCAAAUGGAAACAACUUUUUCAUUGCAUUGCACUGCAAUAUGGAACAUUUGUGAGUAAAAAUUAACAAUGGUGUUAUGAAUUAUUUAAAAACAAAAAAGGAUGUUUGUAUUUAAAAAGACCAUGUUAUAUAUGGUACUGGUUCCUAGAGUCACAUGCAUAAGGCAGACCAUAACAUUUAUAUAUAGGAAAAUGCUAUUUGUACCUGAUAUUUGUACAUAAAAUUGUACAUAACCAAUAGGACGAAGACACUUAUAUAUGUAAAGAAAGUCAAUAAAAUGAAUGAGCUUGUUUUAUAGUGAAAUGUGUCAUAUGCAAUAUUUUGUGUAAUUAAUAGCCAGUGCAAAUACUAUGUAUAUUUCUUGUGUCUUGUGCUUCUCAGGAACUGCGUAUGGCAUACAGCCUAAUACAUUUUUUUUUUCUUUUUGGGUGGAUCAAUUAACUCAUUUUUUAUUUACAAAGUCUUCGUUAGUUUAAUGUGACUAAUGGUUUUCAUCUGUCUAGAAUGUGUCACAUAGGACAUAAUAUUAUCAUAAAUUAUUAUGUGCGUUAAUUGAUUACUUACAGUAUCAUGUUAAUUGUUAUAUAGUGAAUGGUAUGAGAUAUUCAUUUGUGUGCUACGUUAGUUGUAUCAAAUGUUUAGUGGAGCAUACCACACUCCCUCUCCUUACAUAUGCGCAUACUGUAUUUUAGGUAACUAGAUAUUAUAAAAUAAAGGUAUCUUUUGUCUUGCCCUUAAAAUUCGUCCCUUUUUUUCUUUUUUUAGUGCAAUAUAUAAUUUACCAAAUAUGAUCAACAUAUCACAGCAAGAAAUCCAAGAGUUGUCCGAAGAUGUUGGCCGUGGACAAUAUCCAAAUGGUAUUCUCCUAGUGCAAAAAGAAAAAAUGGCAGUCGAGGAAGGAGAAAUAGAAGAACUGAAACCGCGACAUACGAUAGUGGCUACACUCAUAGCAACAGUUACCUUCGCUGCAGGAUUCACAUUACCCGGUGGUUACUGGGGUAAAGAAGGCCCAAUUCCCGGCACUUCAAUUCUCAUUAAAAAUGCAGCUUUUCAAGCAUUUGUUGUAUCUGAUGUCAUAGCCAUGGUCCUCUCCCUUUCUGCUGUCUUUAUCCAUUUCCUUACUUCAACUAAGACCCUUAUGCAAAUCUCGCUUCUUUUCAAGGUCGCUCAUUUGUUCAUCAUGGCUUCCAUGUUAGCAAUGGUGGUUGCAUUUGUUACAGGCACAUACGCAAUGAUGGCACCUUCUGUAGGGCUUUCCGUUGCUACUUGUGUCCUUGGCUUGAGCUUCAUCCUCGUUGCAUUUUUCGCCAUGUCCAAGUUUGGUCAUGGAAUACAGCAAAGGUUUUUGGGCUAUAUAUAGAAGUGUUUGCAUAUAUACCUCUUCUUCAUGAUAUAAUUAGAAAAAAUAAAUCUCCAUGUUGGAGAAAUUAUCAUGAUUCUGUUGUUUGUAUAGACAUUACUUAAUCCUGUGUUUUGUUGAGCUAUUAUCAUCAAAAGAAGGUUAAGUACAAAUGCGACGUCAAUAUGAAAUUGAAAGUGGCAUAUUAGCUUUCCAAUAUUUCUAUUUAAAUAAAACACACUUAUAUUGUGUUGGUGAAAGCAUUAUAAGGCUAAUAUAAUCAAUUUUAUCAGAUGUUACCGUGUUAGAAGCUUGUUUUAUACAAAUAGACAAAUAAUAUCUUUAUUUGAAAAGUAUAUAUAUUCAGUAAGUCUAAUGUUCUUAUUCUGUUCUCAUAAACUUUUCCUUCUCCAAUUCCACUUUUUAGAACCUGGGCAGGCUUAUGCUAUAUCAAAACCGAAUAAACAUACUGACAUAGACUCAAUUAUUGAGUCUGAAAUCAUUUCUUUUUCUAAUUUGUAUAACCAAAAUUGUAUAAGAAAAAUAAAGAUUAUAUAAAAUAUUGAUACAUCUUCGUUGCAUUUUGAUACAAAUUGUUUCUUAACAAAAUGAUUUGAGAAAAUAUUUUAAGAAACAAAAAUGAAAUAUCCAAUUUUCAUAUUAAAAAAUUGCAGAUUAAUUGCAAUUCAAAAUAACUCGUAUAAAUCAAUAUACAAUAAAAUAGAAGAAAGUAUCCAUAAUUUCUAAUUAUAGUAUGAUGAGAAACAAGCCUUCUAGGCUUAUAUGUAAAUAGCAGCUACAUAUCGAGAAGUUUUUUUUUUUGGGUUAAAGUAAUUUACAUAAACAUCCUCUUGCUUACACUGCAAGGAAAUGCAGGUCUAUUCAUUAUUCCUGCAUAAUAUGUACAGGCGUUUACAAGUCAAUAUCACCAGGACCAGUCCCACCGGAUAAUAAAAUUGGUCCAAUUGAUUCACCUUCUACUCUGCCAAAUACCAAGUACUUCCGUUUUAGAUUUCUCCCUUAGCUUCCCUGAUCCAUCGCACUGCAAUCACUAAGAAGUGGACCACCACACUAUUCCCUAUCUUUGGUUGUUGGUCGUAUGAGAAGAAUGGCUUUUUCUUGGAAACAUGGCGGUAAGUUGGCACCCGUCGAGGUGACAUUAAAGUAUAUUUCACAGGACCAUACCGCAAUAUGACUCAAAGCUAAAUGUUGCAUAAAAAACUCCAUGCAAGACUUCUCCCUUGACGGGCAAGAAAGUGCGACACAUAAAUGCUAACGGAAGUACACAACGCCUGACCAUUCACAGAGGACCCCUCUUUGCCAAUUCUCUUCAAGUUGGUUACUGAAAGAAAGUAACCAUGACCCUUGCAAGCCUUCUCAUUUAUCAAGCCCUUCAAGUUGGUUACAAACUUAAAAUAUAUCGCUGAGGAACCUGCAGCCCGUUUGGUGUCCAAACUUUUAGCAGGCACCGCUACAUCCCUGAUCAAUUCCAGUUCCAGAUUCUAUGCAGCCAUACAGCAUUUAUUAUUGCAAAUCUUCCCAAAUACAGUACUUGUGAAAUGUUGUAUCGUUAGCCAUUGCAGUAUAAUGCUGUUUAGAAAUCUAAUCGAAAAAAUGAACAAGAAUACAAUGAUGCUGAUACCACGGUAUGCAACCCCAACUACCACCACAAGAAAAUAGAGUAUUGGCUACAAAUUCUAUUGCAACAAAACUUACUUUAUUGCUAAAAUUCAUAUCUUGCAACAAAAAUUAGUCUUUAUCGCUAUAGCUAAACAGAUUUUAUUCUUCUUAAUGAUGUGGAAUAGGCAAGAAAAUUAGAAUAUAUGGCAACAAAAUAUUUUCUUGCCCUAUGCUAUGUUUGGCAACAAAAGUGUUCUUGUUGCCUAACAAGCUUAAUGAAGGCAAAAUAUGUUUUGUUGCUCAAGUUUUUCCACAACAAACACUUGAAUCAGUUGCAACAAAUGAAAUAUUGCAAAAAAGUUGUGAUUAGCGAGAAAAUUUGUUUUGUGCUCUCAGAGUUUUUUGCAACGAGAUUAAUUUUGUUGCGCAAAGGUUAACAAAAAUAUUAAAUUAAUAAGUGAAAAUAUAAAGAUAAUAUAAAAGCAAACAUGACUUUGUGGGAGGCUUUUUAAUUUUUUUAUUUCCGCGCCCUUUAUUUAAUAAACCGCGUGCUAACCGAAGUAAAGUUUCCAUCUCCAAUUUUUUCUUAAUUAAAAUAUUGCUUCUAGAAUAUUUCCACUUUACUCUUCGCUUGUUUCUUUUGCCCUGCCAUGGAGUCAUUCUCUCUGCCCAAGCUUUAAGCCAUUGAAGAGUUGUACUUGGAAGGCACCACUCAAGACAACGAUUUCUUCAAGUAAAUUUAGUUUUAUUUUAUAUAUUGGCCUGUUGAGUUUGAUUUUGUUUAGUGGGUUUUGCUUUAAUUAUUUAUUAAGUGGGUCUUUGUUUCAAUUUUUAAUUUGUUAAAUUAAAGUUAAUGGAUUUUUCAUGGUGAAGAACCUGAGUUUGUGGACAAUAGUCAAAUGAAUGUAGGAUCUAUGCCCAGUAAUAGGAUCUUUCAUGUUAUAAUUUCUUUGACAAAAUUAUAGUUAUCUUGAUUUAUUUUUAUGUUGAUUAUUAAUAAACUCUAAUGUAUAUUUUUAAUAAUUACUAGAUGGGUCCUGGACAUAGAGUUACCAAACGUGUAAGAGCAGAAAUUGUUGUCACAUCUACAAUUCCCCAAUCUCAGCCUGUUAUGCUCAGCCAAGAGUUUGUGCAAGGUGUUGUUACAACUCUAGAAUUUGGUAUUUAAAGAGUUUAAUUGGUAGGUUUUGUUUGAUCGACUAUUAGUAAGUACUUAUGAUUAUUAAUAUUCUUCAUCUGUCAUUUUUUUUAAUUAUAAACUGAGUAUCUUUUUUUUCCUAAAUUCAGUCAAAGUUUGAGAUUGAUUUGAACUUACCACAUGUUCGUCGAUGUGUGAAUAACAUUAUGGGUGGGAGAUAUUGUGAUAUGAGACAUUGGAUGUAUGAUCAUUACUUAGAUUAUCCAUCCUUUGAAGAGGCACUUAAGCAUUCAUAUCCAGGCAUAUGUCCAGAUGAUUGAGCUUGGCUUUGUCAUAACAUUUACAAUUCCGCAAGUUUCCAAGUCCAAUGAUAUUCAUAUUAUGAACUUUAAAUUGUCCAACUAGUUGUCAAUAUGCUUGUAUAUGUAUCUUAUUUUCCACUGUUAUAUUUUUUUAAUGUAGACUCAAUCUACCAAAAACAAAGCUAAUCGUGCUAAGCUCCCAUAUGUCCAUUGUGGGGGAUCAAGACCUUUUGUUAAUUAUCUUGAGGAUGACAUGGUUGAUGGUGAAAUAGAAUUAUUUUGCGUCACUCAUUUCAGCAAGACAAAAGGUUGGGUGAAUGAGGUGGCACACUUAAACCAUGUAAGAUGCUUUGUUGGAAACAAAAUUUUUAAUUUUAUUAUUUCUUAACACCUACAUACUGUUGAUGAAAGUUUACUCAUUGAGUUUUUUUUUCUUAAUUUUUCUUUCAUGCUCUAAUUAACUUUAUUAUUUGAAAUAUCAAAUAAUUAGAUUUAUAAGUAUAACAGCAAGUUUCUUUUUUUUUUUUUCAAUUUAUGCCUUAAUACAAAUUAAUUCCAUGACCAAUGGAUUAAAUUUCAACUAUUUAAUUAAUAAAAUUCUUUUUUUUUCUUCCUUCAUUUACUAACAAAGCUUUAUGUAUAGGACCAAAUGGUAGAGAUACAACAACAACAACAAAUAGAUCCUCAAGAAGCAAAACCACUAACUCAAAGGGAAAUAUGCAUUGAAGUACUUGGAAAGAAAUCAGGCUAUUUUCGAGGACUUGGCAACGGACCACGCCCAACUUCAAACCAUGGUGUUGAUACUUCUGAGGCUGACAGAUUGCAUGGUAUUAUAUCUUAACAACAAAGUAGAUUGGAUUCACAAGAUGUUGAGCUUCAAGAACAAAAGAAGACUAUUGAUCAAUUGGAGUCCAGAUUGUCCCAAUUUGAGGGUAUGAUGCAGCAAUUUUUUUCUUCUUAAGGAUCCGCUUUUCGCUUUACAGAUUCAGCUACUCAAUGAUUACUCAUUUCAAUGAUGUCCUUAGAGUAUCUUGAACUUGUUAGUAUUUUGAAUUGGUCAUCACUUGAUCUUUUUGGUUACUGCUAGUGCAUGUCAUAUCUUUAAGUAUUUGGAGUUUGGAGUAGUUGUAAUUAGAGAUCGUUUAUAAUUUUUGCUCAUUACAUUUUUGGGAUAGAUGACAAUCCACUUUUGUAUUUGACUAUCAUAUGUGAUUCUUAAAGUCAGUUUUGUAUAUAUAUAUAUAGCUUGGAUACUGAAUGGGCCUUUAACUUUUAAAUUAGUACAAUGACAUUAAUGAUUUUUUUGUUAGAUUUCUCAACAUAUAUUUCUAGUUUAUUAUUGUCAUGGUGGGGGAAAAAAUUGGUAUCUUUCCCAACGAACUUGGUUUGCUUUCUUUUAUACCAUGUUAUUAUUAAAAAAAAAUUGUAGUAUUUUUUAAUGACAAAAUUGAUUUGUUUCUAAAAAUAUUUAAAUAUUUAUUGCAAAUUUGUAAAAUUCAACAUAAAGAAACAAAGUAGUUUUGUUGCCUAAAAUGAUCUUAGCUAACAAACACAUUUGUUGGUACACGUUUUUUUUUAUAAAAUGUACUUUAUUUCUUAGCAACAAAUUAGUUUUGUAGUAAAUAACUAUAUAGAAACAAAAUUAUUUUGUUGUGUAAAACUGUUUAGCGCAACAAAAAUGUUUGUGGCCAAAUUAUUCUCUAAACAAGUUGAAGACUUUUUCACAACGAAUCUGUUUUGUUGCUAAAGGAAGUUUGAGGCGAGAAAUGUUUUGAUAUGUUGUUAAACAUAGAGGGCGACAGUGCUAGGCCGACGACCGGGCCGACAAGCUUGUUUUUGUAGCAAUAACCUAUGGCAACAAAAUUGGCACUUUAAGCAACAAAAUCUUUUUGUUGCAAAAAGCCAUUUCUGUUGUGGCGUACGCCAUGACUUGGAUGUUAAUUUGAAAACUAAUCAAGAUUUUAAAAUUAGUAUUGUAUCGAUCCACAAAAAUCAAAGAACAAACUAAUAACAAGGUUGUACCAAAAUGAGAUCAAUGACUAAAGGACCAUUUUCAGAUACAUUCCAAACAGUAUAUAUUUUGAACAUAAUAAUUUUUUCCUAUCAACAUAUUAGUGUUUCUGAUCAUUACUCAUCAGUAAUCUAUUUGAUUGUGUAUAUAGCUUCUCUUGCGUACCAACUCAUGUUAAAUAUUUAAAGUAAUUUAUGCUACCUAGCUCUUCACUAACACUAAAGCAGCAAAAAGCACUGAUACUCUCUGCAGUUAACAUGACCAACAAGAAUUUCAAAAUUUAGAUGGGAUGUAAACAAGUGCAUGAGGCUCGCUGGUGAGUCAAACUCAUUAGGCUUAAACGGCAGCGUUUUGGUGUGUUACAAGCAUUAAGAAGUCACGAGGGAAAAAAAGCACGUGUUUUCACUUAAUACCCCUUAAGCUUCAAAACAGCAGUGACUUGUGUCGUUUUAAUGAAACUUUAAGUGUCACAUGCGAUGGUCAUGUGAGUUUGCUUAAGCCGGUUCGGUAAAGCCGUUGUCCCACGUGUCAACGAGCUGUACAUUCUUGGUUUGCCGGUUUGUUGUUGUUAUAGCUAUAAAAGCUGGCUAGUAUAACAGUUUUGAUUCAUCCUUGUAAACAAUAUAGAAAGAGAGAAAGACUAGAGAGAGUGGUUAAGCUUUUUCUUUGUAACCUCUUGUGCAAGUUGUGUAAAAGAUCCUCCAUUGUUCUUCAAUAAAACUCUCCAGAAAGCUUCUCCCGUAGACGUAAGUUGUGCCAUUUUUGGUAGAGCCGAACCACGUAAUUGUUCUGUGUUGGCUGUGAUGGUUUCUGUUUUUAGUUUCUAGAUUCAUUGAUCUAGUAGAGACUUCUUGCAUUAAACUAAUUCUUUCUGGAUUUAAUCUUCUCAUUGUGCAAUUUGAAUAAAUCCGAUUAAAGAUCCAGGGAAGUGGUUGAGUCUUGCAAAGGUUACAAGCAGAUUCAAUCACCACAAAGUGUAAUAACCAUUUAAAGAUCUUAUUUCACAACACUCACUAUAAAGGCCAUAGUCCUAAUAUCCAAUACAAAAAAAAAACAGAAUAUUCAUGCAAUGAGCAAAGAACUUAAAUAACCUUCAGGGUUUAAAGAGAAAUUAGAACAUGCAAAUGCACACAGAAAUAGAAUUGAACUGAGAUGAAGAGAUCAAGUGAUGGGGUUGGUUUAAAUAGAAAAAACAGAAUGUUCUGACAUCAGAUGAUGAUAUAAUGGUAUCUUCACAUUAUAUAUAGCGUGUUAGUUAGUCCGGAUUCGAAUUUUAAUGAUGAAAAACUUAACCUGUGUUUCUUCUUCGUUGACUUUGAGCGGGACAAAGUUAAUAUGUUGGAAACACUCUGCAAACGCACUCAUGUUUAACGUUUUGGAGGCAAUGAUAUGCUAUCGGUAUUUUUCAUGUUGUCAUAUCACUCAAGUCUUGCAAAGUUUUUACGUUAACAUUUUAAUGUCUUAGUAUUAAUUCACUUGCAAAAAUAUAUUAAGAUCUAGAGCCCCACAUGGAAAGUGGAUUUUUAAAUUAAUUGAGUUUUACCCAUAUUUUCAUGAAUAAUUGGAAAAUUUACACCAAUAGCCAUAGAAUUUUGGCUUUUUCCAUCUUAACCCCUCAAACAAAUUUCUAUCAACAUUAGCCAUAAAAGAACCUUUGAGAGCAAAAUACCCCUCUCUCUCAUCUCUCCCCCAACACUCUCUUUCACUCAUCUCUCCCAAACCGAACAAACUCCCAUCAUCAGCGGUAACAUCAGCCCUCGUCGGCGGCGGCUUCAUCCCUCAUCGGUGUCCGAUCUACCAUCUACAAUUUUCAACAAAACCUAAGUUAGCUAUUUUAUUUAUUUUCAUUAAUACAUAGUGGUAUGAAUUAUUUUCUGAACUUGCUCGAAAGUUAACAUGUCGCCAGAUUCACCCACGACUUGCAGUUCACUGAAACUCUCGAGCAAGUUCAGAAAAUAACUCAUAUCACUAUGUAAUGCCGAUUAGUGUUGGAUCCGAAUAUAUUAUGAUCGGAUUUCACUUUUAUCGUUGCCUUUUUCGUCGCCGUUGGUUGAUGAUUCAAGAGUGGAAAGCUGCCUUUGGUUUGACGAAAGGAGAGAAAGAAAGUUGCUUUUGGUUUGUAAAGAAGGAUAAUUUUGGGAGAAAAGCGUAUGUUUGGCUAAUGUUGAUAGAAAAAAGUUGAAAAGGUUAAUUGUGAAAAUAGUAAAAAUUUUAUGGUUAUUUUCGUAAAUUUUCCCGAAUAAUUAGUAUCAGAAUAUGAUUUCACAUGAAGUAAUAUGCGGCUUCAUGACUGUUGUUGUCUUAUUCAGAACUGAACAACUUUGGGGAGUUUAGGAUUUUACUCGUGGUAAUUUUCAAAUUGCAGUGUUUAUAACAUAAAACAAAAAAUUUGCUUUUAAAAUAGGAGAAAUUUUAAAAUACAUCUAAGAUAUCAUAUCGGUCAUAUAAUAAAUAAAUAAUAUCAUGAUAUGUGUGUAUUUAUUUUGAAAAACUAUCAUGCAAGUGAUAGUUAUAUUAAAUUCAACUACACAUGUUAUUUAUGCAUCAAUUAGUUGUAAUACAUCUAAAUUAUUCUAAAAUUUCUCUUAAAAAAAAGAAAUAAAGAAAAAAAAGACCUUUGUUACAUAAAUAAAGAAUUUCCAUUCGAUAGAACGAAUAAUAUACUUUUAUAUUAGAAUAGAAGGACGCCUUUACUUGGUGCAGCUCCAAGUAGUUUUUAAACUUCAUACUUUAAUUAAUAUUAGUAAGUAAUAUAGGAUUUUUACAUGAAAUAUUUUUGUUAGUUUAGGAGUAAUUAAUAUUAGUAAGUAAUAGGGUUGGACAGGUCUUGUGUUAAUAUUUUACUUUUAAAAGAUUUUCCAAUCAUAUUAAAUUAUUAAUAUCUUCAAAAUGUAGAUAUUUAUUUUGAUUUCUAUUUUCUUUUCAGUUAAGAAGCGGAUAAUAUUUAUAUAUAGAAUUUCUCUGUUUUUUAUAGUUUUAUUUUUUUAUUUCAUUUCAUUUUUUAUAAUCCAAAUAUUAUUACCUUAGAUAUUUUUCCUCGCCGCAGAUAACAUGGCGAUGGCAAAAUACAGUCGAGAAGAAAUAUGUCAGCGUCUAAUUGCUGCCGAACUUCCAAAACCCAAAACCUCAAAUUUGUAGCCUCAAAACAGUUGCAAUCGAUGCUUGCUUUUCACUAAAUUUAGUUUAUGCGCUGAAAAUCUUUAGCUAAUUAAUGAUAUGGCUCUAGUCCCUAGUCGCCAGUUCUGCCCAGCAACAGCCAUUUUCGAUUCGUUUCAAUCAUCCUUUUCAAAGUUCCACGGUACCCAUUUUCAUUUCUUCAGGUGCGGUCACUCAAUUCCUCUUAAAAAUCGCUUCUUUUAUCAAAAUUUCUCUUCAAAUUCUGCCCAUGAAAAAAACCGUCCAAGAAAAAUUUGUUCUUUUUCCACAAAUAAAUUUUUUUCUCACCAUGAUAAAGAUGAUAAUGCAAACUUAUGUUCUAGUAGCAGUUGGUUAGUUAAAUGGAACAAACCCAAUAAAUAUUACCGCCUGAAACCGCCUCAGGCAAGCGUGAAUUACAGAAAAAAUAAUGUGGAUUUGUCAGCUCUAGGUUUUGCUAGGACUGAUAGUGAUGGUAAUGGCGUUGGUGGUGUUGAUGAUGGUGGUAGUACAAUGGGGAAGAUUGUGGAGAAACUGAAGAAAUUUGGUUACGUCGGUGAUGGUGAUGGUAAUGGUGAUAAUGAUGAGAGGAGAGGGCAAGGAAAAGAGAGAGUGAUUGAAAAAGGGUCUAUAGAGGAUAUAUUUUAUGUGGAAGAAGGAUUGUUGCCGAAUGCACGAGGAGGGUUUUCAAAAGAAUCGCCGUUGGGGCUAGGAGAGGAGGUAGGG
rnacentral:lncRNA from 1 species